GACAUCUUCAACUCCAGAAUUGAGCUUUCUAUCCUCUUUGUCAAAUUGCAAGUCUUUAACACAUAUUGGCUUAUCAAAUAAUCCACUAGAUUGCAUUCUUCCUAAGACGUCUAUCGGAAAUCUUUCUCAUUCUUUGGAAGAUUUUAAAAUGCACAAUUGUAACGUUAGUGGUGGCAUCCCUGAAGAGAUAAGCAACCUGACCAACUUGACAACCAUUGAUUUAGGAGGCAAUAUGUUGAAUGGAUCAAUUCCAAUUACUCUCAGCAAAUUACAGAAGCUUCAAGGUCUGCGUUUUGAAGAUAACAAAUUAGAAGGAUCAAUCCCUGACAGUAUUUGUCGUUUGACUGAACUGUAUGAGUUGGAGUUGGGUGGCAAUAAGCUUUUUGGAUCAAUCCCUGCAUGCUUCAGUAAUCUGGCUUCUCUGAGGAUACUGUCGUUGGGUUCCAAUGAGUUAACUUCUAUUCCCUUAACUUUUUGGAACCUUAACAAUAUCUUGUACCUCAACUUUUCUUCAAAUUUUUUUACUGCUCCACUCCCAUUAGAGAUUGGAAAUUUGAAGGUUUUGGUUGGAAUGGAUUUUUCGAUGAAUAACUUUUCAGGCGUUAUCCCAACAGAAAUUGGAGGCCUAAAAAAUCUAGAAUAUCUCUUCUUAGGAUAUAACAGAUUGCAAGGAUCAAUUCCUGAUUCAUUUGGUGACUUGAUAAGUUUGAAAUCCUUGAAUUUGUCUAAUAAUAAUCUCUCUGGGGCUAUUCCUGCAUCUUUAGAGAAACUCUCAUAUCUUGAAGAUCUAAAUCUUUCUUUCAACAAGCUGGAAGGAGAAAUUCCUAUGGGAGGAUCUUUUGGAAACUUCUCAGCUGAAUCAUUUAAGGGAAAUGAAUUAUUAUGUGGUUCACCCAAUUUACAAGUCCCGCCAUGCAAAACUAGCAUCCACCGCACAUCAUGGAAAAAUUCUCUUCUCCUCGGGAUUGUGUUGCCAUUAAGUACUGUAUUUAUGAUAGUAGUCAUUUUGUUGAUCCUAAGAUAUCGACAUAGAGGAAAACGGCCAUCGAAUGAUGCUAGUAUGCCACUAGUAGCAAUGUGGAGAACAUUUUCAUACCUAGAACUCUGUCAAGCAACAAACGAAUUCAGUGAAAACAAUCUAAUCGGCAAAGGGGGUUUUGGCUCUGUUUACAAGGCAAGACUUGGGGACGGGAUGGAGGUUGCAGUGAAAGUUUUCAAUUUGCAAUGUGGAAGAGCAUUGAAGAGUUUCGAUGUUGAAUGUGAAAUGAUGAAAAGUAUUCGCCAUCGAAACCUUAUCAAAGUUAUUAGCAGUUGUUCAAAUGAAGAGUUUAAAGCGUUGGUAUUAGAAUACAUGCCUCAUGGAAGUUUGGAGAAGUAUUUGUAUUCAAGUAACUGCAUUUUGGAUAUUUUUCAAAGAUUGAACAUAAUGAUAGAUGUUGCAUCAACUUUGGAAUAUCUGUACUUUGGUCAUUCAGCUCCAAUAAUUCACUGUGACUUAAAGCCAAGCAAUGUAUUGUUAGACGAUAAUAUGGUUGCUCAUUUGAGUGAUUUUAGCAUCGCAAAAUUGCUAACAGGAGACGAUCAAUCUAUGACUCAAACACAAACAUUUGCCACAAUAGGCUAUAUGGCACCAGGUUUGUCAAUAAAAAAAUUUUCUAUUUCUUGUAAACUUCCUAAUAAGUUGUUUAUGUUUCAUGAUCUUCAUUAGAUGAGGAAAUUCUUAUUGAUGAUAUAUCUUACUAUGUAACUAUUGCAAUUCAUAGAGUAUGGAAGAGAAGGACGAGUAUCCGCAAAUGGAGAUGUUUAUAGCUUCGGGAUUAUGUUAAUGGAAACUUUUACUGGGAAGAAACCCACAGAUGAAAUUUUUAACGAAGAAAUGACAUUAAAGCAAUGGGUUAAUGAUUGGCUACCCAUUUCCACAAUGGAAGUUGUUGAUGCUAAUUUGCUUAGUCCGGAGGACGUACAUUUUGUUGCAAAGGAGCAAUGUGUGUCAUUUGUCUUCAAUUUGGCUAUGGCGUGCACUGUGGAAUCUCCUGAGCAGAGAAUCAAUGCGAAAGAAAUUGUAACAAAGCUCUUAAAAAUUAGAGGCUCAUUACUUAGAAAUGUUGGAGGCAGAUGUAUAAGACAAUCAAAUUUAAAUUAAUUCUGCCCCUCCAUUGCUUGCUAUCCUUUUCAAAGACUUGAACGGUUAAACUUCAUACCAGUUUUGUUGAUAUGUUUUGUUAUUGCUCUUGCUCAUGUUUGUUUCUCUAUUUCUUUAAUUUGCAUGCAUGUAUUUUUCGUUCUCUUUUAUGUUUUUGUUAGUUUGUAUGUAGUUUGUUUUUAGGGGUAAGGUUGAUUAUGUCCUCCCCUAAUUAGACGUAUCCUUUUUAUUUUUAUUCAAUAAAGCUUCUCUAAUACUAUCGAGGUUCAUCAACAGAAAAUUUUAAAUUAAUUUUCUUUUCUAUGUUAGAUAAUGAAAUUCUAAUCUUCAUAGUGAAUAACUUCAAUAAUAGAGUGUAAGAGUAUUAGUAGUUAUGGUUGUUUUCUGAACCUGAAGUCAAGAGCAAUUUAACAGCAACAAACAAGUCUCUUGUAUUAUAGGCAAAAUUCUUUUCAUUAAUCUUAUUUGUCUACAUAUUCUCCUAUUUUCUCCAUUAAUCUUCGCUCAAAGUUUCAUGCUUCCUCUUUGAUAAAGGAAAAUAUUACUCGUGAAUAUUUCAAAUUUUCAAUUUGACAUGAGCGACUGUUUGCCAGCCAUUUGAUAAAAUGGAUAUGAGUGGAGUUUUCAAUCAUUACCUCCUCCAAAAUCCUUACAACACCACUUUUUAAUUUUAUUUUUUAUAAUCCAUUCAGUUUAAUUUAAAAAAAUAAAUCCAUUUGUGGAAUUUAAUCUUUUUCUCAUAAAUUUCAACCUAAAAAAUAUAUUUCUCUUAAAUUUUUAUUACAAAAUAUUUACAAGUUCUAAACUAUUAAAUUAUUUUCUUCUUAUUAUAUAGUUUAUAUCUCCAUAACUCUAAACUCCUAUAAUUUUUUAAAAAAAUAUUUUUUAAUUUAAAAUAUAAAUAUAAAAUAUAGAAUGGAGUGAGAAUAAAAAAACUUGUUAAAAGAAUAAUUCAUUUAAGUAUUUAACUGAAUUUUAAAUUAAAAUAAGAAAUAAAUUAAUUUAUUUUUAUUAGUUAAGUAAUUUUCAAUUGAAAAAAAGCUUUUAGUAAUAUUAUUGAAAUAUGAUUAAAAUUCUUAUGAAUUAAACAUUUCGUAUAAAUACUAGUGAUAAUUACAGAGAAAGUAUGAUGAAGUGAAAAAACUUAAAUAUAAAUACUCUAGUAUAAUUUUACACAUGCAACUUAUGAACCAGUGAUCUUUAGAGCAUCAUAAAAUUGUUUUAACACAAUUAAUUGGUUUGAAAAAUUGCCAAUAAUGUCUACAAUGGGAUUUAAAAGAUUAAACUACAUAUAUAAGACAUGAUAUCAUUUAAGACGGCUUACAGAUUAUGAGAAAUAUUUUGAUCUUCCAAAUAUUUAAAAUGUCAAUUAGACUGAGUCUAUGCAAUGAAAAUUUCAAAUAAAAAAUAAACCCUUUUUUUUCUUUUAAUCAUAAGUGUGAUCUUAAUCAUUAAAGUCAUUUAAUGUCCAUUACUUAUUCAUUUUUUUAAUUACCUAAAUGACAUUGAAAACUCUACUCAAUAUUAAUUCAUUCAAAUGUUUUGUUUUAAGGUAAUCAGAAACUGCAAAUGAAACAAAUGCUUGAAAUCACAAACGGCCUAAAAUUAGAUUUUCAUUUUUCAAUGUUGCAGUGACUUUGAUCUUGAUAUUGAAAAUUUAUUUGUAACUUAUAUAAAUGCCUCAAUUUUAUCAUAAUUGGUUAGUAAGGCUACGUAGGGAGCAUGGAUAAAUUUUGGGAUUGGAUUAUAUUUUUGGAACUAAAAAAUUAAUUUCAUCCAAUGUUAUAUUUGGCUGUCAGAACUAGCAACUUAGUCUAAAAUUAUUGAAAUUAUUAAUCUUUUAUAUUAUAAUCUUUUCGUUCCCACUUUAAAUAUUAUUGGUAGCUUAAAUCAUUUUUUAAAAUUAAAUAUAAAAAUUAAUUUAAUUAAAUAUAAAAAUCAUUUAAAUUAAAUAUUAACAUUAAUUCAUAAUUUUUACCUAGAAUUUUAUACUAUAUUAAAUACUAAAAUUAUAUUCGAUAAUGUAUUAUCAUUUAUUUAAUAAAUGUUUAGGUUUUAGUAUGUUAUAUUAUUAUUUAAAUUAAUUUUUUAUUUACAUAUAAACAUAAAUUAUUAUUUACUAAUUUAAAUUUAUUAUAAUUAGUUAAAUAAUAAAACAUAAAUGAUUAUGUUGAAAAUAUAAAUAGUAUUCUAAUGUAUUAUAGUCUAAAUCUUACCCCUAUGAGAUUAUUUUAUACACCUUUUAUUAUAUUAACCACAUUUAUAAUGCAGUGCAAUGUAACAAAAAAUUAUAACCAAAUAUGAGUUAGCAUGAAAAUAAUAUUUUAGUGCAAUAUAAUACAAUGUAAUGUAAGCUAACAAAUGGAUAUUUAAUGGAAGCAAAAAUUGCAUAUGGCUUGUGGGUCUCUUAAAAGACAAUGAAUAAACCAAUAUGAUACACUGAUUCUGUCAUCUUUAAUGAUGUCUUUACUAAAUGGGAAUCAGAAUAAGUUAGAAUUGGAAUGAGCUUGAAUCGAAAUAAGGAAUUAUAAUAAAAAUGAAUUGUUUAUUUAAUUUGUAUGAAUCAGAAUCGGAAUAAAUUUUACUCAAAUUAAUAUGUUUAUUUUCUCUUAAAAUUAUAAUGCACUAUUACAAGUUACUAAAAAAAUCAUUUGGUAAUUGUUGUCUCUACUACCACUACUACUACCACGACUACUACUACUACUACCACUACCACUACCACUACUACUACCACUACCACUACCACUACUACUACCACUACCACUACUACUACCACUACCACCACUACGACUACUACGACUACUACUACCACUACUACCACUACCACUACCACUACUACCACCACUACCACCACUACCACGACUACCACUACUACCACUACUACCACGACUACCACUACUACUACAGUCUCUCAUUUUCUAUUUCUAAUUUGAUGUGGGUCUUAUUAUUUGGAUUCUAAUUCUUAUAUUUAUUUGUGAGACAAAAUUAUGGUGCAACUGUAGUACCAUUGGAUCCAGCUACAGUUAUCAUCAUGACUUGAUAUAAUGAUUAAAAGUAAUUGUGGUAUAGUACCAUAGUUGCACCAUAACUGAACAUUUAUUUAUGAAGUAAAAUGAUGUUAAUAAUUUCGAUUUCCAAUUCGAGAAGUAAACACAUUAUAAUAUUUUUUUAGAUGCUUCUAUGCCAUAAUCUCAUUGGUCCAUUUUUCUUCACGCCUUAGAUUCAACUUCAAGAUUCAAGAUUCAAGAUUCAAUUUGAAGCAAACACAACUACAAAACAAAUAUAAUAAGCGUUAAUAAGCCUGUGGCUGACUGGCUGUGGCCAAGCAAAUGUACUACCUCAUAGUGAUUAGUGACCGUAUCAUAUCUUAUUAUCUUACGCCAGAAGCUAAACAAUGUUCCCAUUCCACGUGUCACUCUCUGACCAAUCCCCGAACUUUCUUCAUAUUUCCAAAGAAACCCUCACCAAGUCAGGAUAAUUACCUUCACUCUACUCAUAUAAAUACUGUCCUCCAUUCAACUGAUGUCUGAUAACGACAUAUCCUUAGUCUUUAUUUAAAAGGGGAAAUUAUAAAAAAUUCUCCUCGUUCCCUGACAAUCUAGGGUUUCUCAAGAAUCGCUAAACCUAGGUCCCAAUCCUUCAAAAUCUCAAUUUAACCUCUCUAGGGUUUCAAUUGUCGAGGAUUCGCUUCAAAAUUUAGUAUUUUUUAGGGGAUUUUGCUUGUCUCGUAUCCUUCAAUUGUUGUUCGGUUCUGAAAAUAAUUUGGAAUUUUAGGGAUUUUCAGAUUAUUUGGUUUUGCUUGAGCGCAAUUUCCUCUAGUUACGGUUUCAGUUUGAAGGGUUAAGUGCGAUUUCGAAUAUUUUUAUAAAACUAAAAUUAAAAUUCAUAAAACGAUUGGGCGUUUAAUAAUUAAUUGAUGGCUAGCGAUACUACAACGGCGGCCGCAGCUGCGGAAGAAGCAGAGGCGGUGGAGGAGUAUGAUAGCGAUCCAGAUGAAGUGAAACGCUCUCUUGCGAUGCGCAGAAGGGAAGCCAGCGAUGAGGAGGUUGAGGAGGAUAAAGAUUCAGAGCUUCCAAUAGUUCAAAGUGUCCACAUUCCUGCGGGAAGCCGAGGCUGUGGAUGAGUAUGAGAGCGAUCCAGAUGAAGUGAAACACUCUCUCAUUAUGCGCAGAAGGGAAACAAGCGAGGAUGAUGAGGAGGAGACAUAAUUUGAGCGUCGAAUGAAUUGAAGGGUCCAUAUUCACUCUUACAUUGAAUCUGAUGGCCAAGGUGGUGCUCCAGCUGAGUAUGAUGAUGAAGAAGAAGAAGAGGAACAUGACAGAGAAUUAGAAGAAGAAGAUGAAGAAGGGGAUGUUUAUGAGGCUGUAGAGGAAGAAGAAGUUUAUGAAGAAGAGGAGAGGAAUGAUGGGGCGGUUAAAGUCAAAGGAAUAGAGGGUAAUGAUGCAUGAGGAGUACGGAGGGUGCAGUGGAAGUGAGUAAAGGGAAUAAUGAUAAUCGCAAUGGUGCUAAAAGAAUGAUGCAGCAGAGGAGGGAAUGGAGGAAGAGAAGAAGGAGAGUAAUGAGCCUUUUGCACAGCAGCUGGGGCUUUUUAUAUGGGACAAUGUUGCAGGUCGACACAGGUAUUAUUUGAUUUGAGUGACAAUUUAUAAAUAGCUAAUAGCUAUGGGACAAUGUUGCAGGUCGACACAGGUAUUAUUUGAUUUGAGUGACAAUUUAUAAAUAGCUAAUAGCUGUACUUUCAUUAGGGCUUGUCAAUUAAUCCAGUCUCGAGUUUUGGUGCUGUAUAAUGAUUGUUUGCUGGAAUCUGUGUAGAAGGCUUUUGGCCUAGUAGGUUGAAAGGAGAGAAAGUUCUCAAAUAAACAUCUGUGCUUUGUGAAAUAUAAUUAAUAGGUACAAAGCAUACUAAAUUACUUGACAGAUAGAUGCCGAGCUAAUCAUGGGCUAUGAUAGCAUUAUCCGUGCUUUCUGUAUUUUUAAUAGGGCUUGUCUAUUUCAAAGUGUGUAGUGUAGAAUUUUUGGGUUUAGUUUGAGUGAUGAAGUGUUAGAUAGGUUUCUGUUUGGCAUAGUUAAGUGGUUAAUACGAGCUAUUGAAGCAAAUAUGGAGUAGGAUAUCUAGUUUUGGGUUUGGUCUUAGUUUGAAGAUGGCUACUGAUUAUGCAGCUAGGUACGUAUUAGUGUUUGUGGAUUGCUAAAUGCUUUCUGUCAAAUGUGAGUAGAUUAUUACUUGAAGUGCAUGGAUCUUACACUUAAUUAAUUAUAUAUCCAUUUGUAAUGUUCAAAAUGAUCAUGUACUAUUGCUUAAAAUUAUGUUUUCAAGCCAUGGUUGUAAUGUGUCUCUAAAUUCAGUAAUACAAGUUCUGUCAAUUGCUGUCGGAUGGCAGUGACUUGAAUAGUUUAAUGUUCAUUUGCAGACAAAAUUUGAGAAAGAAAACUAAAAAUUUCUGUGCGUUCUGCUGGAAAUUUAAUUAGCUUCAUUUGAGCAUUAAUUGCUGGCAUUAUCUCUUAGAUUUCUCUUGCAUUGAAUGAAUGGAUGAGUGCUAAUCCAUGCAAAGACUCCCAUGCAUACACAAUGAAUGCUUCAUCAAAGGUAUGGUAAAAUGUCAACACGCUUGGCCCAAAUUAUCAAGCUGGUGUGGUGGCUGCUAGAUUUGUUCAUCCGGAUUUUGGACCAUUUUCAUUGACAAUGAGAAAAGCUGCAAGAUCUGUAAAUCGGAAACUCAUUGAAGUGCCAAAAGAGAGAUGGAAGUGAAUAACAAGAGAGUUAGUGAAGAGAGGGUGCAGUGAUUGUGUGGGAAGCUUUGGGUUUACUUGGGGUUUGGAUGUGAGAUAAAAUAAUUUGAGAGAGAGGUUGUAACAAUUUUUCGGUAAUAGAGUUUUUCAGGUAACUCUUGUGUUGUGUGCUUAGAGUAUUCUCUAUUGUAUUUUUUUUUUGUUAUUUAUUUGACGUAUUGCUAGCGGAGAUCUUGGGUGGGAACCAAAAAUUCCCAACAAUUGUCAAUUGUUUUAAACUCUAUUUCGAACAGAGCAUGAAGGGAUUCACUUAUCUGAUUAUGUCUUUUAUGCUUUAACUUCACUUGAUUUCAUCUUGUCUGUCACCUUUAUUAAAGUUGUAUAUGUUGGAGUAUUAGGUUCAUCACAGGGAUCAUAUUAUGGCUAAGGAAGGGGCACAGUUUAUCAGCUGCACUCAAGUGUAGCAGAGUAUUUGGAUUCAAGACUGUUAGAAGGUUGUUACAAUGCAAGGCUGUUGCUGUGUAACUGUAUGCCAUUCUCGCAAGUGCACUCUUAACAGAUUGCUGAGCUGGCACCGGAUGUUUUUAGCUAAUAUUAGUUAUUGGUCUAGAGUGUUCUGAUUUAUUCUAUAAAUAGCUCAUUUGAGCUUAGAACCUUUAUAGUGUAUCAUACGUUUCUGUUUCUUCUAAUAACGAUUUUCUCUAUUCCUUUUUCUUUCACUUUCUCUUUCAUUUUCAUGAUCCCCAAACACCAUCAAUCCAUGAUUUUCUAGAGUAUUAGUUGUCUAUUUCUACAAACAUAGAAUUGUUGUUUUAAGAAACAAAGUACUCUGUCCUGUCACCCGCGGUCUUCUUGUUUAUCGACUUGUGAACAGGGCUAAAUAAACGGCAAAUAAGAUAUUGGGUCAAUGGGUCUAACAUGACAAGAUAUUGAAUUAUUGCCCUUUUCUUGUCUCCACAAAUUUUUGGUAAAUUUUUAGGUUCCCUCAACUUUUUUCCCCUUUAGCACUAAAAUUCAUUUUUGAUACUUUAUGCAAAAAUUAUGAUGAAAAUGAGUCACUUUAGAACAUCAAUAAAUUUUUAUUUUUACAUCCAAGAUGACGAUAGUUACACUUAGAUCACUCUCAUUUAGUUGAAUUAUAUAGGUAAUAAAGUUGGCUUAACAAAAUAUGAUUCUUAACUGUUGUAAUUAAGGGUUAGUAUUCUUUGGUUUUAGUUGUAGGGCUUAUAAUGCUGUGGCUCAGUUCUUGGUGGGUUCGAAUUAUUAGACGAUCAUUCUCAAUUCUUUACGAUUCAUAAUUAAAAAUUCCUAUAUCACAAUUAGAACUUACAAACAAGUCAAAGUGGGUUAAAUCUUAUGUAUAAAUUUGAGGUCUAUUACAAACUUUUAAAAAAGAUUUUUACCAUAUAAAAAAAUACUAUUCCAAAAAAAAUUGAAAAUCCAACCAAUUGAAUCGGUUCAGUGUCACUCAAAAUGUGUGUGUGUGUAAAACAACACAAUUAUCAUAUUAAUGAGGCACUGUUAAAUUCAUUCAAUGAAUAUUUUUCCUUUUCAUUUUCAAUGAAUGCUUAAAAUGACAAACAAUCGCUUGUUUUACAAUUCUUUUAUAUAUCUUUGAAACUUUCAGCUUCCCAACACAUCAUAUUGUUCUCAAUUCGUCUAAAUUAUUAUUAUUUUUUUUCAAACACUGCAGCAACAACCAGUAUAAAAUAGAAUAAACUCAUUUAAUGGAAAUUUUCCUAGAGGCUUUCAUGGCAGAAUCUCAUUGGUCUAUUUCUCUUCGCACCUUAGGUUCCUCUAACAAACCUACCUCUUAACUCUCAUGUCCGAAUUUAAACUUAAAAGAUGUUCCCCGUCCCACGUGUCCCCAAAUAUUUGUAUUUCCAAACAAACCCCUGCCAACUAAGUCAAGUGAUAGGAUGGCUUUUAUUACAAACUGUAUGAACGUUAUGGCCAUGGGACAUUGGAUAAAACUAAUGGAAUGUAAAGCAAAAUUACCGAUUAAACUAAAUUGAAAAUCCAACCAAUUGAAUCGGAUCAGUGUCACUCAAAAUAUGUGUGUGGUGGUGUGUGUAAAACAACACAAUUAUCAUAUUAAUGAGGCACUGUUAAAUUCAUUCAGCGAAUAUUUUUCUUUUUCAUUUUCAAUGAAUGCUUAAUAUGACAAACAAUCUGUCUCAUUGAGCACUGUUUAAGUCAUUCAAUGAAAAUGAAUACUUCUAUAACAAAACAAUAAUUCCCUUAUUUAUUUGACACGCAAAGAAUUUUCUUGCUCAGCUCGGCGGCCAAUCCUUUAAAAUUUGUUAAAAUUCAGUUAAUUGAUGAACGAGACAUAACCCAAUAAAUCGUUUAAUUUGUAUAAUUGAUAAAAAUUUAAACUUCAAACAAUAUAGAUAGAAUGAAUAAUGUUUUUCAAUAUUUAGAUAAUUUAUAUAUGUCAUGUUACUAUGAGUAAAAGAAUGAAGUGUAUGAUAGAAAACAUAAUGUUUAUGUUUGUAUUAAAAAUUCUAGGUGCAAAUCUAUUUAGUGUAGGUUAGACAUAAAAAUAGUUACCAAGUUGUCUUGUUUCUCAUUUUGUUUAAUUUUCCUAAUUUGAAUAACUAUUAAUUAUGAGUCAAGGGUUUAUUGUAAAAAUAUGGUCUUCCAUUUACUAUAAAAAGAUUAGCAUGAUUUAAUUAUUUUUCUUUUUGCUUGGUGUCUGUAAAAUUAUGAAUACUUUGGUAAAUAAGAUAAUUAUAAAUACCAUUUUGAAAACCCAUGGCCAUGGUUGUGAUGUAUCUUUAUCAAUCACGGAUACAAAAAUUAAUCAAAAUUAUCGAUUGAUUACUUUUUAUACUUUGACUUCACUUAAUACAGCUUCUUCCUCUUUUAACUGUAUGCCAUGCCGGCAAGUGUAUUGUACAGAUUACUGAGCUAGCACCGAUAACUAAGCUAAUUAUUAGGAAUCAAUCUAGAGCGUACCUGUAAAUACAAUAGGUUGCUUAGGUGGCACCAAUAUACUAACUUUAUGCCGUGUUUCUGGUGUGUCUUCACAAAUUCACCGAUAAAAAUUAAUUUCUACCAAUAUUACCAAAUGAUUGUAUUUUACGUUUCUAUUUACUUGUAAUAAAGAUCUUCCAUGUGUAUAUAAGUGUUGAUUUUAACUGAUAGCUGAUAGCUGUAUUUUCAUGGUCAUUCAAUUUUAUUGGGUACAAAAUUCUCUAGGAUUGCAUGUACAUUAUACUUUUAUAUACAUAUUUUCUUCUUUCUCAUUCGUUUUCUGGGUGAACAUAUUAUUUUCGUCAUCAUCUCUAUAACAAUCAAGUAAAAAUAGUCCUCAUUUAAAGUAUUGGCAGCAAUGUUAUACUCAAUAUAACGUAUAAAGCACGCAUAAUUUACUCAAUGGGGCAGCUGCUAGUACCUUCUUUAGAAGAGAAUUAUUGCAGCAAGUUAAUUGGAAGCUCAAAGAGUUUCCGUAUUAGCCGAAUCUAAGCGAUAAGUGUUUCCAUGUGAGCCAUAAUUUGGGAAAAAGACCAAUUCGAGUUAAAGAUCAGAAAACAAACAGUGUCAACAAGCAUUAAUGUCAUUUGAUGCAUGAAAGACAAUUAAUCCCAUUUUUUGUCCUGUUUACUUGGCUUGGGCAAUUUGCCGUCAACUUUUCUCAUCCACGUCAGGUAAUGUGGCUUUUAUUUGGUAUGAAAAAGGCAAUGCUUUACGAUAAAACUAUCACACACAUAUUAUCCAUCUGUAAUGUUCAAAUGACACUGAAGUAUUGCCUAAAUUAGCCUUUCAAAAAUUUAUUUUCAAAAACCCAUGGUUGUGAUGUGUCUCUAUAAAUUAAGAUCUAUCUAUUACCAACUGUUUUAAUUCUGUUCUGAACAGAGCUUGAAAGGGUACAUUCACUUAUCUAGUUAUGUUUUUUAAGUUUUCACUUUACUUGAUUCACCUUAUCCCUCUUUUUAAAAACAAUUGUUCACUGGCUGCACUCAGUUGACAGAAUAUUUUGGGAUUCAAGACUUGGUUGUUACGGAUGCAACUUGCAAGGCUGUUGCCAUGCUGGCAAGUGUGCUGCUGUAACUGAUUGUUGAGAUGGCACCAAAGAUUGUAAACUAAUUAGUACUGGAAAUUCAUGAGUUUGAUGAUGAAGAGGACGAAAAAUAUUAUUUUAUUAUUUAAAAAUAAGACUAUCAAUUAUUUCCAUGGUCAUCUUAUUUUUUUUUAUUAAUUGGCCUAAAUAUUGUAUUUUUUGUCAGGAGUCUUGCAAUGCUGCGUAGCACCGUAAGUAAGAAGAAACGUGUCUAAGGUUGCCACGUGUUGUCUCAACAUCUGUGUGAAAACCGAAUUAACCAGUUUGCGUUCGACAACAAAGGAAAAUGCUUCUUGUUGCUGACCGAUUGCUAAGUAUUUCAAUACCUCCACCAAAAUCUUUAUAACACCCUUUUUAAUUUUAUUUCUGAAGAGUAAUGAUAUAGUCAUAAAUUCUUGUACAAACUUAUUUUGUACAAACUGACGUGGCAUGAUAAGAUUGGCUGAAUUAAAUAUCACUUGGCCCACAUGAUUUGUUUUUAUUAUUUUAUAUUUUCAUUCAACCAAUGAAUUAAUGCCAUGUUAGUUUGUACAAAAUAAGUUUGUACAAGAGUUUGUGGCUGUAUCAUUACUCUUUUCUAAAAUACACUUAGUUUAAAAAAAAAAGAGCUUUAUGAGAAAUUUUCAGUGUGUCAAAAGGCCUACUUAAUGGACUGGAUCCCGACUCAUUAAUUUUAUAACCCGACUUACAAUCCGACUCAUUAUUCACAGAGAUUAAUUUUCUAUUGCUUAAGGCACAAUAUUUACUAAGCAAUUUAUCGGCAAUAAAACAUGUAUAUUAUAGUGGUUUGUAAUAAAAUUGGAAGAAGACAUCACGUACGAAUUGGAUUUAUCCCAUGAAAUUUGAUUAACGAAAGUGUAUGAAAAUCUAUAAAGAAAAUAGUAAAAACAAUUGUUGUGUAAAUGCUGUAUAGGUGAUAUAUUACUUUUAUAAUCCAUCAAGGUACAUUUGAUUUUAAUGAUGAAACAAAUACAAAUAAAUCCAUGUAUGUCAAUGCUAGAUGGUUCCAUAUUAAACUUGUGAAGUAUAGAAAAUAAGCGAGAUUCGUAAAAAAAUAUUUUAGAUAAUACCACUGAAAAGUUAUAAAAAUAUUUAAAAAAAAAAAGAAAUACAUACUUGAGACACCAAGACUGAUACGCACAAACUCACACAUUUACAUAUUAAUUGAGGGAAAAAAAUAAUAUUCUGAGUAAUAUUGUUGACAUAUGAUUAAAAUUCUUUUUAAUGAAACAUUUUCGUAUAAAUACUAGUGAUAUUUGUACAGAAAGUAGAAUGAAGUGAAAAAAAAAACUUGAAUAUAAAUGCUCCAAUAUAAUUUUUCCCAUGCCAAUUAUGAACUAGUGAACUUUAAAGCAUCAUAAAAUUGUUUCAACAUAAGUAAUUAGUUUGAAAAAUUGCCAAUGUGGGAACGAAAAGAUUAUAGUAUACGAGACACGAUAUUAUUUAAGACAACUUAUAAAUUAUGGGAAAUAUAUCGAUCUUACAAAUAAUAUUUAAUAAGUACAAAUUUCAAAUUAAAUAAUAAAUCCUUAAUUUCCCUUUAAUCAUAAUUAUGAUCUUAAUAAUUAAAGUCAUUCAAUCUUAAUCACUUUUUCAUUGUUUUAAACUAUCUAAAUGACAUCGAAAACUCUACUCAAUAUGGGAUUUUUAUUGAAUUAUUUAAUAAUAUACUACUAUCUAAUAAAUGAUUAAUUUCCUUUUAUUCGAAUUUAAUAAUAUACAUCAUUUGAGCGUCGAAUGAAUUGAAGGGUCCAGAUUCACUCUUACAUUGAAUCUGAUGGCCAAGGUGGUACUCCAGCUGAGUAUGAUGAUGAUGAAGAAGAAGAAGAGGAACAUGACAGAGAAUUAGAAGAAGAAGAUGAAGAAGGGGAUGUUUAUGAGGCUGUAGAGGAAGAAGAAGUUUUUGAAGAAGAGGAGAGGAAUGAUGGGGCGGUUAAAGUCAAAGGAAUAGAGGGUAAUGAUGCAUGAGGAGUAUGGAGGGUGCAGUGGAAGUGAGUAAAGGGAAUAAUGAUAAUGGCUAACGAAGGACCACAGCUCAUUGGCUGCACUCAUGUGUAGCAAAGUAUUUGGACUCAAGACUGUUAGAAGGUCGUUACAGACGCAAGACUGCUGCUGUGUAACGGUAUGCCAUGCUGGCAAGUGGGGCACCAAAUAUUGUGAGCCAGUAUUCGUAAUUAGUGUAGAGUGUUCUGAUUUAUUCUAUAAGUAGCUCAUUCGUGCUUAAAACCUACAUGUAUUGUACGUUUCUAUCGGUAAUUUGAUUACCUUUCCGUACUUUAUCAAUCAUUGAAUGAUUUUACUGGUUUAAUUGCUUGAUUGUUUGAGUAUAAUCGGUAAUUUGAUCGUCUGUCAGCAAGUGAUUUACAAUUCACUCUCCAAUUUUCAUUAAUUUAGUGUAGCAAAGCUUUAACUAGAUAGGUAGAUAACGUGGACAUGAAAACUUGAUUAAGAGUUUAGAGCAAUCAAAUCUACUUUAAUGAUUAUUUAAUGCACGGAGAUUUAACAUCAAUUAUCAUCACGUUAUUCUAACAACGAGAUUGCAGAACUUGGAUCUUUACUCGAACAAUUUCAAUUCCUGUAUGAUCAUUUCCCCAACUAUUAUUUGAAUAAUUAUUUAAUGCCGUUCAUUCCAGCUCUGUUUGGCUGUUAACUUUAUUUAGUUAUUUAUGAGGAGAUUCAUUUCUCACCUGAAGCUAGAAAUUUACGAAUCAAUGACUUUUUAUUUUUUCUUUUAUAUGAUAGCUUGCAAUCCCUGGUGUGUGUUGAUAGUGCCUUACAUGAAUACAAAAAUGAACAUUUUUUUUUUUUUUUUUUUUUUGGGGCCAAUUGCAGUUUUGAUAACAACUAAAAUCUGUGUGGUCCGGUUGCUACAAAGCCUUGCCCCAGAUCCCUGCCAUUUUCUCCUCCACCUCCAUUUGGGGAAAUUACUACUUACUUUUUGCCAAUUUUUCUUGAAAUAUUUAUUUUAAGAAGAAAACCAACAAUACAUUUUAUGAUUUGGGCUGUUUCAAAGAUCUUCGCUUGAUGUCUCUGCUACUGGCUUUCAGCAGAGUGCCAAAAAUAAUCAGUGCACGCACUAUAGGCUCUAUUAUUAUCAGUAAAAGGCAUUAAUGAUAUAUUGGGAUCGACUUUUUUAUUUGGGAGUGGAAGGAUGCUUGAAAGAGUAGAGUGGUGCAUCUUGUUCAAACAUGCACCGUAGAGCCAAUUCCAUUUUAUGAAAUAGAAGUUAGACUGAACAACGUUAUGUCUUCGUUAUCAUUUCAGAAGGAAACAAAUCAAACAAUGCCGAAAUUGAGUGCCCACACAUUUUCAUGCCCAAAUUGAGUGCUGGAAUGGUGGUCAAAUCUCGAACGAAGACAGAUCUAUCAAACUCCAAAUCUCGAACAAGUAAUUGAAAUCUGAAGUUUACGAGCAAACAAACUGAAAUCUGAAGUUUACUGAAGUUAAGGGACGAGCGCAAAACAGAAACUCUGUCCACUACUGAUGAUAUAACAACGAACCUUUGUAUUUUUUUUAAAAAAUAAUAAUAAUAAUACAACUAAACUUUGUUUUUUUUUUUUUUUUUAAAAACAGUAACAAAAUAUCAUUAGACAAAUGAAAAUAUUUUUUCAUGUCGUUCAGAUAACUGAUUGAUAAAGUAUCAUUAGACAAAUGAACCUUUGUUACCUAAUUCAGACUUGUUUUCUUUGAACCAGCGCCUGAUUCACAAGAAUCCAGUAAUUUGGCUUUUGAUCAACUGAUUGAUAAAUGUUCAAUUUCUUUGGUGAUAAAUGUGUAUGUGAAGCAGGCGAUGGCGAUGCAAGUUUCGUCUUACUAUACAAAGUCUUUUUAAUCUCAUGUCAAUCUCAUGUAUUAAUUGUAACCCUUCCGUUACUGCAAUCUGCAAAUGUGUCAAAAUCGGUUAGCACGAAUUAUGGCAGAUUGUUGAAGAUAAAUAUUCCACAGAAUCAUCAUUCUUUGCUCCACAAACUUUUAACUUUUUAAAACAUUGAGUUUGUAGUUAAAUGUCAUAAUGAUGCUUUACGAAAUUACGAUUAUGUUUACUGCUUGCACCUUUUUGAUGAAUUUGAUUAUGAUGGCAUUUCUAAUCAUAAAUUAUGUUAUUAUUGUAUGAAUUUAUUAUUCUGAUGUUAUUUAUAGACGAAUGUCAAUAAAUAUUAACAUAUUUUUGGGGUUCUCUUUUUUGUAUUUAAAAAAAUGAAGUAUGUUGUUUGACAACAUUUUGGACCAAAUCAAAUUAAGGAGUCUUUAAGAGUUAUUAAACGUGGGUAUAAUAUGCGCAAGUUGGAGUGCAAGGGGGGCGCCAUUGGGAGCUCUCACACACGACUGUGGAAAAGAGAAGAUUUUAGUGAAAGGCGAGACUCAGAUAAUUCUACGCGUUUUGGCUGAUUUAUAUAAUUCGUGAAAUUUUAUUUCCAUCUGUUACAAGAUCAAACUGAAGCAUAACUCAGAAAAAUAUUCUAUUUCUUGCGGCAAUCUUGCCUUCAUUCAGACUAUGAACCAUUUCCUUUCACCAAGUUCUUCCUAAACAUUGAAUAAGUUUCAUGGUUGGACAUAGUUAGCUUCUGUAUCUUUUGGUGCAUUUAGGUGCUAUCAAGUGACAGCCGUAAGUAUGAUUGCAUUAUUGGGAAAUUUUACGAUUUGAUGGUUCCCCACGUUAUUGCCAAGAAAGAUGUCAGAAGCUGCGGUUCUUUUCAUCAGCCUGAACCCGAACCUGUCCCUAUGGAUAAUUCAGGUUUUUGUCAUCAACUAUAUCAUCUUUUUCACUGUUUUGAAACUCUUAAUAUUAAACUUCAGUAAACUUCAGAUUUCAGUUUGUUUGCUCGAAACUUGUAUGGUGACAAGGAUACUGGCAAGGAUAAUGAGAUAGUUUUUUGUGUGAGUGAAUUUUGAGAGCUCGAGUGUUCUGGGAUUUGCAAUUGCAAUCAUCCUCUGUUUCAGGUGAUUUCUUCUCCUGCUCUGUCUUUAUUUGCUCUCUAAUUGAAAAGCAUAAAGUAUUUCAAUCAAAUUCUGUACCAGGAAUACUUUAAAGUUACUGAUACUUUAUUUCCAUCUGUUUGCAUUGAUAACUUGGCGGCAUAUGUACUAGUUAAAAAACAAACAGAAGUAGAGAAGUAGAGUUCAGGAAAAAGCUUCUUCGGCCACCAUAUUUGAAAAUGAAACCAUUUCCUGGAAGCAGUUGGCAGCAAAUUCAUAUAAAGUGUAGACAAUGAUUAGCAGAAAGGUGAUUCACAAUUUCAUUUUUUUAAAAUGAAAUUAUUUGUUAAGUUGGAGCUGAUACUGUUAGAAGGCCAAUGAGCUAACCUAUGACACUGCUUGCCUAGUUUGCAGGAGGUCAAGGCUCAAAAGAAGCACUGAAUUUUAAAAGUCAUGCAAUAAUUCUUAGGGCCAUAUGUCAAUUCAUGUAAGUUUGAAUAAGUUUAAUGGUGGAACGCUUUUAGCUCCUUUUCCUUUCGUGCAUUUUGGGGUGCUAUCAAGUGACCGCCGUAUGUAUGGCUGCAUAUAGCUGCUGCUGGGAAAUUUGAGGAUUUGAUGGCUGCCCGUAUUAUUGUCUUAAAUUAGAUGUGAUAAGCUGUUGCUUAGAGAUUCUGUUGCCAAGACUUUGCUCACAUCAGAAGCUGUGGAACCUGAACCCUUCUCUAGAUAUCAUCUUUUUCAUUGUUUUAAAACUCUCAGGAUUAAACUUAAGUAAAUUUGUUCGGUUGUCUAUAUAAUCAGGUCAAGUAUACUGGGCAGGCAAAUGUCAGAACUCGGUUUAUUCGACAAAAACUUGUUUAAGAUUCUUGGCAAAGCUGCAUGGAGUGAAUUUUGGGAGCUUGAGAGUGAAAGAAGUUAGAGAAUGUAUUAGGAUUUGGGUUUAUUAGGAAGUUAUGUAUUUCAUUAUCAGUUUUUUUUUUCUUUUGUAAAAAGUAAGGAUGGGCCAAAUCCAAGUAGCUUUUAUUUUCCUCUUUUCUCCCUUAAGGCUCGAACCUCCUUUAUUAGAAAAAGUCUUAAGUGUUCUUACUCAAUGGUAGAAUCAUAAUUUUACUUCAAUGGAAGCCAUACUAAUUAGAGUAUACUCUUUUGAUUAAUUACUUAUUUGAUGUUGCUCUCUCUACCUUCAUCUCCUUCUUUAUGAAAAAUUUAUUGUAAUACAUGGAAGUAAAUAUUGUAUUGAAUAAAAUGAAAUUGUUCAAAAAUUAACAAAUUCAGCUUUAUUAUAAUCUAAAACAAAGUAAAUAAAAUAAUACCCAUCAAGUAAAAAUAAAAAAAUAAAAAAUUUUGUACCACUUUGAAUCUAUUUUAAAUUUUUUGGUAAAUCUCAAAAGCACAAACUUUGAACAAUAAUAAUAGGUAAAAACUAAUAAUCUUAUAAUAAAAAGUAAGAAAAAAAUAAAGUUGAUUUAGCAUGUAAGAAUAAAAAAAGAAGAAUAGAAAGAGAGAGAAAUUAGUUUAGGCUUUAACUAUUGUUAUAGUAGAGAAGUAAUUUUAUGACUUUUUAGAAAUGAGUGAAUUAAAAUAGUAAGUUAUAAUUUGAUAACUAUCUUAAUUAAAAAAGUGGGUGUUGAAAUAAAAUUAAUGGAUUCAAAUAGCCCACCCAAAAUCCAAAAUUGCAUGCCAAUUAUUUUCUAAUUUACAUAAAGUUCUUCAAUUUUUUUUAUAACAUUUGUUUCUCAAUUGGUCUAAUGGAGAAACAACCAGCAAAAAAAUAAAAUGAAUGCAAUUACAUGGAAAUUUGAAAAGAGCAGUAGAUGACAUUUAUGUGCAAGCAAAAUGCAAAAUUGCAUUCUGUUUGUGGGAUCCUGGAAAAAAUAAAAGAAAGAAAACAGAGUAAGACGCUGAGACCGGGGGCUUGCUUCCAUGGCAGAUUCUCGUUGGUUCAUUUUUCUUUACGCCUUAGAUUCUAAUCAUUCUAUGAUUCAAUUUCAAUAAAAUACGACAAACAAAAGAAGCUUUUAAGCCUGCAGCUGAAAUAGAUGGCACUUUAAUUUUCAGCUGAGAAUCAAAUGAAAUAGAUGGUAAGAUUAUCAUUAUUGAGCUUGAUAACUGAUAAGGCUAUAGAAAAUUCAAUAUCCAGAUCGGACAAGGAUCCAAUAAAUUAUAAAAUAUUGCGGCUCAAACCCCAUAUGAUCAUGGGCCACCGCUUGCUCAUGCUUUGAAUCAAAAUUUUCUAAUGAAGUGAGGUUGGAAGCUAAAAGGGGCAAGUAAUGAAAUGGGGUUCAUCAUAUAUUGAGCCCAAUGGGACAAGAUCAUCAUUUAAUUCCCUCCUCUUGUCGAUAGAUAUUUGCCGAAUUCUUUCAUUUAAAAAAUAUUAUAUUGGUUAAUAGAAUUUGAAGUUUUACAAAAUAUAAGUUUAAUUUUAAAAAAUUAUAUUUUUUAAUUUAAAAUUUUCAUUUGGUGGUUAUGUUUGAAAAAAAGUUUAGGUAUACUCGGACAUACUCUCUUAUUAUUCAUUGAAUUUGGGCAUUUAAACAUAUUAGUAUGCAGUAUUUCUAGGUAAUUAGCUGAGAAGUAUAGGUGACAAAAAUAUAACAUGUGAAACAAUACACAAUGAAAUUAUCUACAAUUUUCCAUUGACUUAGGUGGCGUUUGUUUUUUUGUUUGAAAUCUGAAUAGAUCUGAAUUAGUCUGAAUUCUGAAUAGGUCUGAAUGUCUGAAUCUGAAUAUUACGUUUGUUUUUUCGUCUGAAUCUCGGAAAAUAAGUAUUAAGUUGUUUGUUUUUUUCAACUUAAAAAGUUGAAAAUAUGUACUUUUACAUUUGUAUCCUUAUUAAAUUUAAAUGUCAAAUAAAUAAUAUAUUAAAUACCAUAAUAUUUUAACAUUUAUAAGUAAAACUAUAUUCAAGUUAAUACAUAAUUAUUUUAGAAUUUUAAUAUAUAAAAUAUCAUAAAUUUCAAAUUUUAUCAUAUAUAAUAUAAAAAAGAAAAAAUAUGGAUAUUUUUAUGUGGGGUAAAUAUCUAUAGGUGAGUUUUGGGAUAGACAUGAAAAAUAAAUUAUAAAACAGGGAUAUUUUUUACAUUAGCAAGUAAUUGACUUAAUUCAGAUUUCUCCAUUAAGUAAAAAGAUAAAAAAAUUAGCUUAUUUUAUUAAGUCAAAAUUAUCUAAAAAGUCUUAUUAAGUUAUAAAAACAAACACAUCUAAUUAACUUAAUUAAUUAAGUUAAGUCACUUUAAGUCAUUAAGUUAAAAAACAAACGCCACCUUAGUCAACUCUUCAUUGAUUUCAUUGACUUGAUCAACUCAUGAUCUAACUUGACAACUUAAAAAUUAAAUUAUGCUAGUAAUUCCGUAAAAUUAAAAUUUAUCUCUCAAAAUUGAUAAAUACUGUGUCACUUUGUCAAAUUACUUAGGGUAAAAGCUCUGUGGCUAAAAACUUUUAAGAUUAGAUGUAUGCUAAUUGAGAAGGACAAGACACAAAACACAAAAGAAUCAAUGAAUGCCACAUCAUGUAACACUAACACUACUUACUCUUAACAAAUUCUUACAAACGUGAUUCAUGAAAUUAACUUGACUUUUUGUCUAAAAAAGGCCUAAAGAAACAUGCCAAGCAACAAAUAAAGUAGUCCAAACGUGAUUCAUGAAACUUGAUAGGCGCUAUCUAAAUAGUAUUAAUAUGGCAACCGAAAACAUGCGCGCAAAGUAGACUUUCUUGGACAAUCCAUGCCAAUCAGCAAAUAAAGUAGUCCAAACGUGAUUCGUGAAACUUGACUUCUUGUCUAAAAAGGCCUAAGGAAACAAGACCAAAAGUUCCAUGCAAUAGCAAUAUGGUGGCCACAAUGCACUUUUUAAGCCAUUUUUCAAAACUAAGUUUCUUCGUUUCACAUGCACUAUUCAAGCAAUUUAACAUUUUCUCCUUCCCCUGAAAGCUAUUGGAGAAAAAUUAGUUUCUUAAAUUUUAAUAAAAACUUUUAGAACCGAUCUCAUACAAUAGAUAAGAAUUCGUAAUCUAAAAAUCGUACCUUGAAAAUAUGAGAAGAUGUACAAUCUUUGUUUUUUUUCCUCUGAACUGAUUUAGGCUCCCAGAUCACGAUUUGUCAUCACCACACCUGUUAGAUCACGAUCCGUCACCACCACGCCUGUUAGAUCACGAUCCGUCACCACCACGCCUAUUAGAUCAUGAUCUGUUACCACCAUACUUGUUAAAUCACGAUCUGUCACCAAAGAUCUUCCAAGUUAUGACUCAGAUUUGAUCUGCACUUGAUGUGUGGGCACCUUUAUCACUACUAAAGCAACUAGCAAGAGAAAAUUUUUCUCUUAAAAUUAAAGAGAAAAAUUCUUUUUCUCUGAAUUAUAUAAUACGACUCUAUCUUUUUUCUUUAAAGAAAAUAAAUCUUUUUAUAUCUCCCUUCAAUGAAAACGCUCCAAAUAAUAAAAACCAAUCCUUGAUUUUCUAGAGUACAGCUAUGCAGUUCUACAAACACGAAACUGCUGUUGGUCCAAUUACUUUCAAGAAACAACGUACUCUGUGGUUUAUUGACUUGUGACAUGGGCAAAUUAGUCACGGUCCGAUUCUCUCCUCUUCCACUGACUCUGUCAAUUCAUGACUUUGGCACACAGUAGAAGCCAGCUGCCUGCUCCAUUUGACGUGCAAAGAACUUUCUUGAGUCGGGAUAAAAUCGAUUAAUUAUUUUGUUUGGUGAUGAUGAGUUAGUUGUCAAUUCAUGAGUUUGAUGCAGUGAAACACUUAACGCUCUCUUGUGAUGAGUAGGAGAAAAGCCAGCGAUGAUGAAGAGGACUAAAAACAUUAUUUUGUUAUUUACAAUAAGGCUAUCAAUUAUAUAUUCCAAAAUAAUUGGGUUUGGAUGGUCAUUUUGUUUUCUAAAAUAUCCAAAUGGAAACAGAAUUUAUAAAGUGGGAAAAUCAAGAAAUUAAAUACUCUUCAUAUAGUGGAAGGAGAUUUGGUUGCCGUUAUACUAAAUAAAAGAAAAAUAAAGUAAAAUUACAAUACUUUAAUAAUCUCAUUCCCAAUCGUACCGGAAAUAAAAUUUUCUGUAUAUUUAUGAAAUAAUUACUGAUUGGUGCAAGAGAUUGGUGGGACUCAUUUGAUUCAAGAAAAACAAUCAGUCUCAUUUGGUACGCAAAGAGCUUUUCUACUCUGUAGCCAAUAUUUUGAUGAAUGUGACGUUACUGGUUUGUAUAAUUUUUUGGAUAUUAUCUCAAUUUUACUUCUGUAGGUUUGUGGUUUGUAUAUUAUCUCAAUUUUUUAAAAAAUGUAAUUGCAAUUAUCAAACACGACUAAUCCCAACAAUUUAUCCAAAAUUUUUUAUUUAAAGAAAUGUAGCAUUUAUGAUAGAAUGGCUAAUUUUUUCAAUCAACUUUCUGGAAAAUGAUAAUUUUUUGAUAGAAAUGUUACUUACUUAUUACAGGAAGAAAAUUAUAGAAUAAUUUUUUGAAUUAAUAGUAUUACUUUACGAUAACACUAUCACAAUCUUAAAAAAAAAAAAAGUUAUUCUUUAAAUUUCGCAUUACUAUUCCUACUUUUCUUGUUAUACUACUUAAUGGCACUAGUGAAUCCUCGAAUUAUCAAACAAAAGGCAAAAAUAGUUCAAUAUCUGCUGUCCCAUUGAGCAUUGUUAAAUUCAUACGAUAAAAUGAGUACUUAUAUUAAAAAAACAAUCGGUCUCAUUACGUGCUCUUUCACUGACAUAGGCAAGUUGCGGCCAACUUGUGGCACUUCUAUGAAUUUUCAAGACUGGUGAAUUUUUCAAAUUUCAAAGAAAAAUAUACAGAAAUGUAAUUUCAAUUUAUCCAAAAAUUUGAGUUUCAUGGAAUAUAGCAUUUAUUAUAUGUCAUGUUAAUAUAGAGAAGAAAAUUUUAAAAACUUCUUUUUGGAUGAAUAAAAGUAUUUUCUGAUAAAUAUUUCACAAUCAUAUUUAAAAAUUUUCACUCCUCUUGGUACAUAAUUUAAGAAUUUAACAUUAUAAAUUAAUCUUUUUAAUCAAAGUAAUAAUCUCUCCUCGGGUCUGCAAAUGCUAAAAUUUAAUAUUAUAUCCGUUGACGAUAUUUGCUCCAAAUUCAUGAAAAUAAAAUUUCGAACAGAAUUAUGAAAUUCGUUACUAGAAAUUUGUAUAAAAGUUGUGAGAAUAGAAGGUUUGAUCAUAGGAAAUUAAUAUAUCCCUAUCCGAUGCAAAAAUGAUUGUAAAGAAAAACAAAAGUCACGGGCUUAUUUAGAAGAAAAGAAAAAAUUACAUUCCAUUUUCUAGUUAUUAAAAUAACUAGAAAAUAGAACCGCGCUUCACGCGAUUUUUAAAAAAAAUUAGUAUUAUCUUUUUUUCUUAUUUUACACUUAAUAAAACUGAUAAAAAAUAUGAAUUAGUUUUUUUUAAGAUGAGGCAGCCUUAUAAAAAAUAAAAAAUAAAAAAUUUAUUAGCCAGCAAUACAAAUAAAGAAGCAAUGCAAGAUAAAAAAUAAAAUAAGAUAAUAUAUUAUAGAGUGAUUUUAUUCAUUCUAAUUGUGUGUGUACAAAACAAAAAGAUGAACUUUCCUUUUAUAGUUACAUAAUCACUCCAUGAAAUUAAUGAAAAAUUAUGGAUCAUAAUUUCUUGUGAGAUAGUGAGAGUUAUAGGGAAGCUAAAGGUUGCUAAUGGGAGAUAGUGGGGAGACUAAGAACUAUAUGUUAUGAACAUCUACAUUUAUUUUAAUAAAUUCAUAGCACUCCCUCUUGAAUGUUCAUUACAAAGAAUAUGACUCAUUAAAUUAUUUAUAUAAUUGUUAUUGCGUAAUAACAAUCAAAUUAAUUAUGAGAGGAUGAAAAGCCAAAUUUAAAAGAAAAUUUUCUAUUUAUUAGAUAAUAGAGAAUAUAUAAAGAUGACAAACGGUGAUGCAACAUCACCUCCUCAAGUCUCAACUUUAUAUAUAUAUAUAUAUAUAUAUAUAUAUAUAUAUAUAUAGAUUAAUUCAUGUAUUUUAUGCCACUAAAGUUUAAUUGCUAGCAUAAUAAAAUAAAUAAAUGUUUCAAAAGACUUAUAAUUAAUAUUAUUAAUGAUUACAUAUUGUUGAAUUUAAAUAGAAAGAGAAAAAAAUUACAAAGAAUAUCCACCAAUAUUUUAGAUAUUUUAGAUAAUAGAAAAUAUAAAAAGAUGAGGAAUGAUAUAUAUUAAUAAAGUUACUAUUUAUUAAAUGAGUUAAAUACAAUCAAAUUAAUUAUGAGAAGAUGAAAGGUCAAAUCUAAAAAAAAAUCUCUAUUUAUUAGAUAAUAGAGAAUAUACAAAGAAGCAAAAUGGUGAUGCCGCAUCACCUCCUCAAGUCCUAACUUUAUAUAGAUACUAGGAAAUAGAACCGCACUUUGUGCGGUUUUAAAAAAAGAAUUUAAUAUUAUCUUUUUUUAUUACUUUGCAUUCGAUGAAACUGAUAAAAAAUAUAAAUUUUUUUUUUUAAGAUGACGCAGCCUUAGAAAACUAAUGUUAUUUAUGAAAGUUUAUUAUUUUUUUGUUAACAUUAAAAAAAUAUAUUAAUGUGUAUAGUUAAGUGUACACAACUUUUUCAUCAAUAACAAUCAUGUUCAUACUAAUCAACUCUUUAUUUUUCUUGGUAUUAACAGACUCCCACAUCUUACAAAGCCUAACCCUUAUCAUCCAACAAUGUUUAUCAUUGUUUAACUCAUGAAGAAAAGAGUACUCAAUGAAGCACACAAUACUAAAAAUUUAAAUAAGUCAAAAAAUAAAAACACAAUAACAUUUUUAAAGAGGAUGUUCGUUAAAUAAUAAAAAAAAAAACUUAAACAUAACAAAUCUUAAAUGCUUAAUAUUUAUAGAGUUUGAAGAAGCCAAAAGACACUAAAUAAAAAGUUGCAUAAUUAAAUAUAGGAUUAUGACAUUAAAAUUAGGUCCUAAUGGCAUUGGUGAGGGAAGAUGAAGGAACCUUCCUUCCUAUAUUAAUUAGUUGAUGUAUUUUAAACCACUAAAAUUUAGUUGUUGGCUUAAUAAAAUAAAUGAAUGUUUCAAAACUUAUAAUUAAUUUAUUAUUAAUGGUUACAUAUUGUUGAAUUUAAAUAGAAAGAGGAAGAGACAUGUAAUCUUUUGUAAUCUAUUAAUUAUUUUCUAUUUUUAAUAUUUUGUCAUGUAAUUAUUUUUUAAUCUCAACCAAUAUAUUAGAUAAUAGAGAAUAAAAAAAGAUGAGAAAUAAUGAUGCCACAAAUCUUAACUAUUUAAUAUUUAUAGAGUUUGAAAAAGCCAAAAGGCACUAAACAAAAGAUUGAAUAAUUAAAUAUGAGAUUAUGACAUUAAAAUUAGGCUCUAAUGGCAUUGUUGAGGGAAGAUGAAGGAACCUUCCUUCCUAUUAAUUAAUUGAUAUAUUUAAGCCACUAAAGUUUAAUUGUUGGCAUAAUAAAAUAAAUAAAUGUUUCAAGAUUUAUAAUUAAUUAUUAUUAAUGGUUACAUAUUAUUGAAUUUAAAUAGAAAGAUGAAGAGACAUGUAAUCUUUUAUAAUCUAAUAAUUAUUUUUUAUUUUUAAUAUUUUGUAAUGUUUUAAUAUCAACCAAUUUAUUAGAUAAUAGAGAAUACAAGAAGAUGAGAAAUAAUGAUGCAAUAUCACCUCCUCUAGUCCUAACUUUAUAUAUAUAUAUAUACAUAGAUGAAUAUAGAUUUUUAAUAUUUUGUAAUGUAAUUAUUUUUUAAUCUCACCAAUAUAUUAGAUAAUAGAGAAUAAAAAAAAGAUGAGAAAUAAUGAUGCCACAAAUCUUAAAUAUUUAAUGUUUAUGGAGUUUGAAGAAGCCAAAAGGUACUAAACAAAAGAUUGAAUAAUUAAAUAUGGGAUUAUUUUAUUAAAAUUAGGCUCUAAUGGCAUUGUUGAGGGAAGAUGAAGGAACAUUCCUUCCUAUAUUAAUUAAUUGAUGUAUUUUAAGCCACUAAAAUUUAAUUGUUUGCAUAAUAAAAUAAAUGAAUGUUUCAAGACUUAUAAUUAAUUAUUAUUAAUGGUUACAAAUUGUUGAAUUUAAAUAGAAAGAGGAAAAGACAUGUAAUCAUUUAUAAUCUAAUAAUUAUUUUCUAUUUUAAUAUUUUAUAAUGUAAUUAUUUUUUAAUUUCAACCAAUUUAUUAGAUAAUUAUAUAUUAACUGAUAUCUUUAUUAUUAAUAUAUUUUUUAUCUUUAUUUUUUUGAGUGUCAUAAUAUGAUAUAUGUACAAAGAAUAUCCACCAAUAUUUUAGAUAUUUUAAAUAAUAGAGAAUAUAAAAAGAUGAGGUUGAAAGAAGAUGAAAGAACCUCUCUUCCUAUGUUAAUUAGGUGAUGUAUUUUAAGGCACUAAAGUUUAAUUGAUAGCAUAAUAAAUUUUGAAGAAGCCAAAAGACACUCAACAAAAAGUUGUAUAAUUAAAUAUGAGAUUAUGACAUUAAAAUUAGGCCUUAGUGGCAUUGUUGAGGGAAAAUGAAAGAACCUCUUUUCCUAUAUUAAUUAAUUCAUAUAUUUUAAGCCACUAAAGUUUAAUUGCUAGCAUAAUAAAAUAAAUAAAUGUUUCAAAAGACUUAUGAUUCAUUAUUAUUAAUGAUUACAUAUUGUUGAAUUUAAAUAGAAAGAGAAAAAAAAGUACAAAGAAUAUCUACCAAUAUUUUAGAUAUUUUAGAUAAUAGAAAAUAUAAAAAGAUGAUGAAUGAUAUAUAUUAAUAGAGUUACUAUUUAUUAAAUGAGUUAAAUAUAAUCAAAUUAAUUAUGAGAAGAUAAAAAGUCAAAUUUAAAAAAAUCUCUAUUUAUUAGAUAAUAGAGAAUAUACAAAGAAGUGAAAUGGUGAUGCCACAUCACCUCCUCAAGUCCCAACUUUAUAUAUAUAUAUAGAUAGAUAUAUAGAUAUAGAUAUAGAUAUAGAUAUAGAUAGAUAGAUAGAUUAAUGAUUACAUAUUGUUGAAUUUAAAUAGAAAGAGAAAAAAAAGUACAAAGAAUAUCCACCAAUAUUUUAGAUAUGUUAGAUAAUAGAAAAUAUAAAAAGAUGAGAAAUGAUAUAUAUUAAUAAAGUUACUAUUUAUUAAAUGAGUUAAAUACAAUCAAAUUAAUUAUGAGAAGAUGAAAGGUCAAAUCUAAAAAAAAAUCUCUAUUUAUUAGAUAAUAGAGAAUAUACAAAGAAGCAAAAUGGUGAUGCCGCAUCACCUCCUCAAGUCCUAGCUUUAUAUAUAUAUAUAGAUAUAGAUUCUAAAAUCGCUAGGAUCACAAAGGAUAGCCUUUGGUUGACUGAGGUCAGCCUUAACGCAUGCCGGUCUUUUUCUCCUCUACAUUCUUAGAAAUUUUGGUUUCACUAUAAAUACUCGGUAUAUAGCAAACUUAAGUGUUCUUGCAUUACCAAUCCAACUAAGCACACGCUUACAAUAUAAAUACUCUCAUCUCAUGGAAAGAGUUCAUUCUCUCAGGAUGAUGAGCAGAUUUCUCUUACUCCAUUGUUUGAUUAUUAUUUUCUUAUUUAUCUCGGCAGCAGCAGCCAACACAAGUUCUACUAUCACAGACCGAGAAGCUCUGUUAGCCCUGAAAGCUCACAUAACUCAUGAUCCGACCAAUUUCUUGGCUAAGAAUUGGAACACAAGUACUCCUGUCUGUAAUUGGACAGGUGUCACUUGUGAUGUCCAUAGCCAUAGAGUCACAGUCUUGAAUAUUUCAAGCUUAAAUCUCACAGGCACCAUCCCUUCUCAACUUGGGAAUCUUUCUUCUCUGCAAUCACUCAAUCUCAGUUUUAAUCGACUUUCUGGUUCCAUUCCCUCCGCCAUCUUCACCAUGUAUACACUGAAAAAUGUUACCUUCCGUGAAAAUCAGCUCUCUGGACAAAUUCCUGCAAAUAUUUGCAGUAGUCUUCCUUUUCUUGAAUUUCUUUCUUUGUCCCAAAACAUGUUCCAUGGCGGAAUACCGUCCACUCUAUCAAAUUGCACAUAUUUAAGAAUCUUAAGUUUGUCAUACAAUGAUUUCUCGGGAGCCGUACCUAGAGAAAUCGGUAAUUCGACCAAACUUAAGAUAUUAUACCUUGGUCGUAACAGACUCCAAGGUGCGCAUGAUCACGAAGUUUAAUUAUGAAAAUUGUUGCAUAAGUUGUGGUAUGAAUAAUGUUCCAUAAUACAGUUUACACACGUUGAUUAAUUUGCAGGAGAAAUUCCUCGAGAGUUUUGCAAUCUUACGGAAUUGGAGCAUAUGUCGUUGGCAGGCAACAAUCUCCAAGGCAUGAUUUUUAACUUUUUGCUAUUUUAUUUUAGCUAUGCUUGCUUCUGUAUUCAUUCGCUUGUUCUUUGAUUAUGCAAUGAUUUAUUGUUUUUCUUUCAGAUAGAGAUAAAGCUCCAUGUCUCCCCUCACUCAUUUCAUUCUUUAAAUUAUGCAGAUUAAAAAAAAAGAAUGUUCUGUAAUUUUCUUUUGUCAUAUUACCACUUCCAUUUUGAAGCUUCCAAUUAAGUCGAUGAAAAUAAAUGAUGUUUCAUUCUUAUUCUUGUCAGCCUAAUUCUUAUAUAAUUGAAGAGUAAAUUGUUAUUACGAUAUUCGUCGGCCAAUAAAUUCUUCUUUUUUUCCCCCAAAUAUGAGUGAUCAAAUUGUUUGCGCAUAUAUAAAUGUACUUAAUUUGCAGGAGGUAUUCCACAGGAAUUGGGGAAUCUUGCAAAAUUGGAGAUGUUACAGCUGUUCCAGAAUAACUUGACUGGUAACUUUCUUUACGAUAAAUAUAUGAGACAUCUUCCGCUUCUUAAUUAAUAGAUGUCUUAAUUAAAAGAUUUCAAGUCUCUCAUUAUAAAUUCUCAUAUGAGGAUGUGUAGUUACCACUAUCUAACGUUAUUCCUUUUUUAUUAGAAAUUAGUUUGUGUUAAUUCAAAAUUCUGUAGCAUUUAAAAAAAAUUAAGAACACGUGGAAUAAAUCAUCAAUCUUUCUACUUUACUGAAUUUGGAUUUCUCAAAAAUUAUCUUGACAAAUUUGCUUCACUAAUGAUAUGCAUGUGUGACAACUUCAUAAAAUAUUUUACUUGGAAUCACCAAUUAUCUUUAAAUAAUUGGAGAUGCCAUCAGCGAGACAUAAUUUCUUAACAAGCACCAUACCAAAAGAAAUUAAUAAUUUUAUUAAUCUUAAAGAGUUACAUCUUCACUGCAAUUAUGACAUAAAUUUUUAGUCAUCAAUCGCAUAAUAUUUUAUCUUAACGGAUGAUGUUCAGUCUUGGAAUUUAUAAUAUCUUGAAGGUUAGUAGCAUUGAAAAUAAGAAAUUGUUCAUGUGCUAAAAAGUUAACUUAGGAUUUAAGUUUUCCAAUAAAAGCGUUGAGAACUGGCGCUCCAUAGCAUUUCAUCAGAUAAAUAUGAAAAAUAGGCUAGAAGAAAUUAUUUUACUGAAAUAAGAGUUAAAAAGAGAGGAGAAGUACAGUACUCAUUACUUAGGUUUGCUGUGUGAGCUUAUUCUACUUGGGCUUUGGGCUUGAUUACACCCGUUAUAAUAAUAUGCUUUUACUUUCACCACACAUGAUGAUUUCUUUACCUUCCCAAUUAGGUUUUAGCAAUUUAUAUAUAAAUAACUAAAGCAUACUAAAGCUAGCAUUGAUGUACAGAUGAGUGGCGUAAAAAGUGUAUCUGUUUUCAUGUAUUAUUUAUUCUCUAAAACAUAUCUGAAUACAAUUCUUUCAAAAUACCGAGGAAAUAGCACAUGAAAUCGGAAAUAUUUUAUUGCGAUGAAAAUUCGUAUAUUCAUUGUAGUAGAACAUAUAAAAUAGAUUAUAAAUUUAUUAUUCUUUGAAACAAACCUGAUUAUAAUUCCUUCGAAAUUAAGUUUGUCAUUAAAUGAUUUCUCAGGAGCCCUACCAAAAGAAAUCGGGAAUUUGACCAAACUCAAGGAAUUAUCUCUUAACCAUAACAGGCUCCAAGGUGCGCACGAUCACAGAGUUUAAUUAUGAAAAUUGUUGCAUAAGUUGUAGUAUGAAUAAUGUUCCAUAAUACACUUUACACACGCUGAUUAAUUUGCAGGCGAAAUUCCUCGAGAGUUUGGCAAUCUUGCCGAAUUGGAGCUGAUGUGGUUAUCAGAAAACAAUCUCCAAGGUAUGAUUUUAAACUUAUUGCAAUUUUAUUCUAGCCUCUGCUUGCUUCUGUAUUCAUUCGUUUGUUCAUUAAUUAUGCUGUGAUUAAUUGUUUUUCUUUUAGAUAGAGAUAAAGCUCCAUGUCUCUCCUCACUCAUUUCCUUCUUUAAUUUAUGCAGAUAAAAAUUAAAAAAAUGUUUUGUAAUUUUCUUUUGUCAUAUUGCCACUUCCGUUUUGAAGCUCCCAAUAAGUCGAUGAAAAUGAAUGAUGUUUCAUUCUUAUUCUUGUCAGCCUAAUUCUUAUAUAAAUGAAGAGUAAAUUGUUAUUACGAUAUUCGUCAGCCAAUAAAUUCUUUUUUUUUCCCCCAAAUAUGAGUGAUCAAAUUGUUUGCGCAUAUAUAAAUGUACUUAAUUUGCAGGAGGUAUUCCACGGGAAUUGGGGAAUCUUACAAAAUUGGAGAUAUUACAUCUGUGGAAGAAUAACUUGACCGGUAACUUUCUUUACAAUAUAUAUAAGAGACAUCUUCCGCUUCUUAAUUAAUAGAUUUCAAGUCUCUCAUUAUAAAUUCUCAUAUGAGGAUGUGUCGUUACCUCUAUCUAACAUUAUUCCGUUUUUUAUUAGAAAUUAGUUUGUGUUAAUUCAAAAUUCUGUAGCAUUUAAAGAAAUUAAGAACACGUGGAAUAAAUCGUCAAUCUUUCUUCUUUACUGAAUUUGGAUUUCUCAAAAAUUAUCUCAACAAGUAUGCCUCACUAAUGAUAUGCAUGUGUGACAACUUCAUAAAAUAUUUUACAUGAAAUCACUAAUUAUCUUUAAAUAAUCAGAUAUGCCAUCACUGAUACAUAAUGUCUUAACAAGCAUCAUACCAAAAGAAAUCAACAAUUUUAUUAAUCUUAAAGAGUUACAUCUUCACUGCAAUUAUAACAUAAAUUUUUAGUCAUUAAUCGCAUAAUAUUUUAUCUUAACGGAUGAUGUUCAGUCUUUGAAAAUAAGAAAUUGUUCAUGUGCUAAAAAGUUAACUUAGUAUUUAAAGUUUUCCAAUUGAAAAUUUUGAAAAAAGCGUUGAGAACUGGCGCUCCAUAGUAUUUCAGCGGAUAAAUAUGAAAAAUAGGCUAGAAGAAAUUAUUUUACUGAAAUAAGAGUUAAAAAGAGAGGAGAAGUAUAGUAUUCAUGACUUCGGCUUUUUGUGUGUGCUUAUUCUACUUGGGCUUUGGGCUUGAUUACUCCCGUUAUAAUAAUAGGCUUUUACUUUCAGCACACAUGAUGAUUUCUUAACCUUCCCAAUUAGGUUAUAGCAAUUUAUAUAUAAAUAACUAAAGCAUGCUAAAGCUAGCAUUGAUGUACGGAUGAGUGGUGUCAAAAGUGUAUCUGUUUUUAUGUAUUAUUUAUUCUCUAAAACAUAUCUGAAUACAAUUCUUUCAAAAUACCGAGGAAAUAGCACAUGAAAUCGGAAAUAUUUUAUUGCGAUGAGAAUUCGUAUAUUCAUUGUAGUAGAACAUAUAAAAUAGAGUAUAAAUUUAUUAUUCUUUGAAACAAACUUGAUUAUAAUUCCUUCAAAAUUAAGUUUUUCAUUAAAUGAUUUCUUAGGAGCCAUACCAAAAGAAAUCGGAAAUUUGACCAAACUCAAGGAAUUACCUCUCUACAGUAACAGGCUCCAAGGUGCGCAUGAUCACAGAGUUUAAUUAUGAAAAUUGUUGCAUAAGUUGUAGUAUGAAUAAUGUUCCAUAAUACAGUUUACACACGAUGAUUAAUUUGCAGGCGAAAUUCCUCGAGAGUUUGGCAAUCUUGCCGAAUUGGAGAUGUUGUCGUUAUAUGAAAACAAACUCCAAGGUAUGAUUUUAAACUUUUUGCAAUUCUUAUAUUGUUGAAGAAUUAAUUGUUAUUAUGACAUUUUGAGAUUAAUUGUCAUAGGAGGAUGUGUUGUUAUUACUAUUUAACAUUAUCUCGUUUUUUAUUAGAAAUUAGUCUGUGUUUAUGCAAAAAAUUUUAGCUUCUAAAAAAAGUAUAAAAACACAUGGAAUAAAUCGAAAAUCUUUCUUCAUUACUGAAUUUGGAUUUCUCAAAAACUAUCAUGAUAGUUAUGUUAGUGUCUUACUAAUGAUAUGCAUGUGUGACAGCUUCAUAAAUUAUUUUAUAUGGAAAAUAUGAAAAAUAGACUUGAAAAAAAUUAUUUUACUGAAAUAAUAGUUAAAAAGAGUGGAGAAAUACAAUACUCAUGACUUAGGCUUGUUGUGUACUUAUUUUGCUUGGGCUUCGGGCUUGAUUACACAUGGUUGAACACUUACAUCCCCCCACAUAGGCUUUUAGGGAUGAGUGGCGUCAAAUGUGUAUCUACUUUUAUGUAUUAUUAUUCUUUGAAACAAAUCUGAUUAUAAUUCUUUUAAAAUACAGAUUAAAUAGCACGUGAAAUCGGAAAAUAUUUUACUGCGAUAAGAAUUCAUAUAUUCAUUGUACUAGCACAUAUAAAAUAGACUAUAAAUUUAGUUCCAAAAUACAUUCUUAUCUUCAUAUAAAUUUUACAUUAUUAAUUUAAAUUAAUAUUAAAAUAUGUUGUUUCUUUCACUAUGUUAUUUUAUUUACACAAUGAUGUGACUAUUGGAAUUAAUAAUACUUUUAAUGAUUUUGUAAAAAUAUAAAUUUAAUACUUUGUUAACAUUUUAUCUACAUAUAAUAAUUAAACUGAAACUUGUAUUUAAAAAAUUCUAGUUACACAUAUUCAUUUCAUGACAUAAAAGUGUAUAUUUAUGCUAAUUUACCAUUAUCAAAAAAAUGCUUUGAGACAAAUAAUCUAAUUUAUAUUUUUAUAUUUUAAAAUACUUGCAUUUAUUAUAUUUUGAAAAAAAUUUAUUUGCAAUUAUUUUAAACCGUUGGAUUCAAAUUUUCGUUGUUAUUAAAGUCAAAUGGUAUAAAUGUAUAAUAGUCAAAAACAUAUUUGUAUGAUCAUUUUUCAAUGUAUAAAUUUUCUUAGUUUGUAGGAAAAUUAGAAAUUGUUGAUUUACUCAUAAAUAAAUUUAAUGUUUAGCAUUUCAAUUUUGGAAAAUUUGAGCUACACUUUGAUAACUUUGAAUUGGUCGAGCCGAGUUUCGCUUCCUUGAUCCAUGGACCCAUUGAAAGUUCUAUCGAACUGAGUUUCCUGGUGCUUAUAAAAAGCAUUUCUUUUCCUUGUCGCAGUAAUUUAUUCACAAAUGAGUUGAUUAGCAUCGAAGUUACCUGAGAGUCUGAGACUAUGUUAAUAGGAGAAAUUUGAAAAGAAAUUAUUUUACUGAACUAAUUUAUUUUAUCUUGCUGUGACUGAAAUACUACUUUUUUUUUGGAGCAAUCACUGGGGCUUGAUUUACUUUAAUAGUAGCAGCCACCGACUUAGUCAUUUUUUACUUCUCACCACACAAUUUGAUCUUUUAAUUUGUUUUAACCAAUAAUCUAUCUAUCUAUUUCUCACCUAUUGCUUACUUAAAACACAUACAUAUUUUACCUACUAAUUUUUAUAAAUAUUAAUCAAAUAUAUUUUAUUACGUUUCCCUCGUAAUUGCUCCAAAUGUGUACAAUUAAUACUUAACCCUCCCUUUACUGUGCAAUCUAUCUAUCACUUAAGUCACAUAUAUAUUUUACCUAUAUUUUACCCUAAAAAAUAUAAAAAUAAAAGAAAAAGAAUAUGUGUAGCAAUUUGCAUAUAACUAACAAAGCAUUGACGGUGUGUAGCCUUUCAAUACUUCACGACUGGCUUUUCUUGUGUGUUAGUACUUGUAAUAAUUGUGUAGUGUAUAAAUGACAUUUUAUUAUUAAAGUGCGUCCAUUUUUAGAUAUUACUUAUUAUUUGAAAAAUAAACUGAAUAUAAUCAUUUAAAAUACAGGGGAGAUACCACUUGAAAUCAGUAAUCUCCAAAAACUGGAGGACUUGGGCCUUGGUCAAAACAAAUUAAUUGGUAUUGUCCCAGUUGCAAUCUUUAAUGUGUCAACACUCAAAUUUCUUGAGCUUCAAGAUAAUUCUCUCUCGGGAAGUCUUUCGUCCAUCGUAGACGUCCUACCAAAUCUUGAAAAGCUUCUUUUGUGGGGUAAUAAUUUUAGUGGCACAAUUCCUCAUUUCAUCUUUAAUGCUUCUAAGCUCUCUAUACUAGAGUUAUCACAGAACUCAUUCGCCGGUUUUAUUCCCAACACAUUUGGCAACUUAAGAAACCUUCAGCGGCUGAAAUUAUAUGAUAAUUAUUUGACAUCUUCAACUCCAGAAUUGAGCUUUCUAUUCUCGUUGUCAAAUUGCAAGUCUUUAACACAUCUUUCCUUAUCAAAUAAUCCACUAGAUGGCAUUCUUCCAAGGACGUCUGUCGGUAAUCUUUCUCAUUCUUUGAAAGAAUUUUACAUGUCCAAUUGUAAUGUUAGUGGCGGCAUCCCUGAAGAGAUCACCAACUUGACCAACUUGACAACCAUUUUUUUUGGGGGCAAUAAAUUGAAUGGAUCAAUUCCGAUUACUCUCGGCAAAUUACAGAAGCUUCAAGGUUUGGGUCUUGAAGAUAACAAAUUAGAAGGAUCAAUCCCAGACAAUAUUUGUCGUUUGACUGAACUGUAUGAGUUGGAGUUGGGUGGCAAUAAACUUUCUGGAUCAAUCCCUGCAUGCUUCAAUAAUCUGGCUUCUCUGAGGAUACUGUCGUUGGGUUCCAAUGAGUUAACUUCUAUUCCCUUAACUUUUUGGAACCUUAAGGAUAUCUUGCAACUCAAUUGUUCAUCAAAUUUUUUGACUGGCCAACUCCCAUCGGAGAUUGGAAAUUUGAAGGUUUUGGUUGGAAUUGAUUUUUCGAUGAAUAAUUUUUCAGGCGUUAUCCCAACAAAAAUUGGAGGCCUAAAAAAUCUAGAAUAUCUCUUCUUAGGAUAUAACAGAUUGCAAGGAUCAAUUCCUAAUUCAUUUGGUGACUUGAUAAGUUUGAAAUCCUUGAAUUUGUCUAAUAAUAAUCUCUCUGGAGCUAUUCCUGCAUCUUUAGAGAAACUGUCAUAUCUUGAAGAUCUAAAUCUUUCUUUCAACAAGCUGGAAGGAGAAAUUCCUACCGGAGGAUCUUUUGGAAACUUUUCAGCUGAAUCAUUUGAGGGAAAUGAAUUAUUAUGUGGUUCACCCAAUUUACAAGUCUCGCCAUGCAAAACUAGCAUCCACCGCACAUCAUGGAAAAAGUCUCUUCUCCUCGGGAUUGUCUUGCCAUUGAGUACUACAUUUAUGAUAGUAGUCAUUUUGUUGAUCCUAAGAUAUCGACAGAGAGGAAAACGACCAUCGAAUGAUGCUAGUAUGCCACUAGUAGCAAUGUGGAGAACGUUUUCAUACCUAGAACUCUGUCGAGCAACAGACGAAUUCAGUGAAAACAAUCUAAUCGGCAAAGGGGGUUUUGGCUCUGUUUAUAAGGCGAGACUUGGGGAUGGGAUGGAGGUUGUAGUGAAAGUUUUCAAUUUGCAAUGUGGAAGAGCAUUCAAGAGUUUCGAUGUUGAAUGUGAAAUGAUGAAAAGUAUUCGCCAUCGAAACCUUAUCAAAGUUAUUAGCAGUUGUUCAAAUGAAGAGUUUAAAGCGUUGGUAUUAGAAUACAUGCCUCAUGGAAGUUUGGAGAAGUAUUUGUAUUCAAGUAACUGCAUUUUGGAUAUUUUUCAAAGAUUGAACAUAAUGAUAGAUGUUGCAUCAGCUUUGGAAUAUCUGCACUUUGGUCAUUCAGCUCCAAUAAUUCACUGUGACUUAAAGCCAAGCAAUGUAUUGUUAGACGAUAAUAUGGUUGCUCAUUUGAGUGAUUUUAGCAUCGCAAAAUUGCUAACAGGAGACGAUCAAUCUAUGACUCAAACACAAACAUUUGCCACAAUAGGCUAUAUGGCACCAGGUUUGUCAAUAAAAAAAUUUUCUAUUUCUUGUAAACUUCCUAAUAAGUUGUUUAUGUUUCAUGAUCUUCAUUAGAUGAGGAAAUUCUUAUUGAUGAUAUAUCUUACUAUGUAACUAUUGCAAUUCAUAGAGUAUGGAAGAGAAGGACGAGUAUCCGCAAAUGGAGAUGUUUAUAGCUUCGGGAUUAUGUUAAUGGAAACUUUUACUGGGAAGAAACCCACAGAUGAAAUUUUUAACGAAGAAAUGACAUUAAAGCAAUGGGUUAAUGAUUGGCUACCCAUUUCCACAAUGGAAGUUGUUGAUGCUAAUUUGCUUAGUCAGGAGGACGUACAUUUUGUUGCAAAGGAGCAAUGUGUGUCAUUUGUCUUCAAUUUGGCUAUGGCGUGCACUGUGGAAUCUCCUGAGCAGAGAAUCAAUGCGAAAGAAAUUGUAACAAAGCUCUUAAAAAUUAGAGGCUCAUUACUUAGAAAUGUUGGAGGCAGAUGUAUAAGACAAUCAAAUUUAAAUUGAUUCUGCCACUCCAUUGCUUGCUAUCAUUUUCAGAGACUUGAAUGGUUAUCCUUCAUACCAGUUUUGUUGAUAUGUUUCGUUAUUGCUCUUGCUCAUGUUUGUUUCUCUAUUUCUUUAAUUUGCAUGCAUGUAUUUUUCGUUCUCUUUUAUGUUUUUGUUGGUUUGUAUGUAGUUUGUUUUUAGGGGUAAGGUUGAUUAUGUCCUCCCCUAAUUACAUGUAUCCUUUUUAUGUUUAUUCAAUAAAGCUUCUCUAAUACUAUCGAGGUUCAUCAAAAGAAAAUUUUUAAUUAAUUUUCUUUUCUUUGACAGGUAAUGAAAUUCUAAUCUUCAUAGUGAAUAACUUCAAUAAUAGAGUGUAAGAGUAUUAGUAGUUAUGGUUGUUUUUUUAACCUGGAGUCAAGAGCAAUUUAAUAGCAACAAACAAGUCUCUUGUAUUGUAGGCAAAAUUCUUUUCAUUAAUCUUGUUUGUCUACAUGUUCUCCUAUUUUCUCCAUUAAUCUUCGCUCUAGGUUUCAUGCUUCCUCUUUGAUAAAGGAAAAUAUUACUUGCGAAUAUUUCAAUUUGACAUAAGAGACUGUUUUGCCAACCAUUUGAUAAAAUGGAUAUGAGUGGAGCUUUCAAUCAUUACCUCCACCAAAAUCCUUACAACGCCACUUUUAAAUUUUAGUUUUUAAAAUACAUUCAGUUUAAUUUAUAAAAAAUAAAUCCAUUUGUUAAAAUUAAUCUUUUUCUCAUAAAUUUCAACCUAAAAAAUAUAUUUCUUUUAAAUUUUUAAUUAUAAAAUACAUACAAGUUCUAAAUUAUUAUAUUAUUUUCUUCUUAUUAUAUAGUUUAUAUCUCCCUAACUCUAAACUCCUAUAAUUUUUUUAAUUUAAAAUAUAAAUAUAAAAUAUAGAAUGGAGUGGGUAUAAAAAAACUUGUUAAAAGAAUAAUUCAUUUAAGUAUUUAACUGAAUUUAAAUUAAAAUAAAAAAUAAAUUAAUUUAUUUUUUAUUAGUUAAGUAAUUUUCAAUUGAAAAAGAGCUGUAUGCGUAAUAUUAUUGAAAUAUGAUUAAAAUUCUUAUAAAUUAAAUAUUUUCGUAUAAAUACUAGUGAUAAUUACAGAGAAAGGACGAGGAACCAAAGAAAACUUGAAUAUAAAUACUCCAAUGUAAUUUUACACAUGCAAAUUAUGAACCAGUGAUCUUUAGAGCAUCAUAAAAUUAUUUUGACAAAAUUAUUUAUUUUGAAAAAUUGCCAACAAUGUUUAAAGUGGGAUUGAAAAGAUUAUACUACUUAUAUAAGACAUGAUAUCAAUUAGACGGGCCCAGCUACCUUCCACCCGCUGGAAGGUAUAGCUUAUUUUGUCCUCUAUUGUUGUGGGCGUUGGAUAUUUGAGAAGUUGAUCUAACGGUUCUUGUUCGGCAGCGUGAAAUUGAAUUUCAAUUGGCAACCGUUUCAUGAACUUUGCAAGAGACAAUUAUCUACAAAAAUAUUAAAAAAAUAAAACCAAUUUUUCCCUUUCAUCAGCCGCCGCCGCCGCCAUCCACGAACCCUUAAUAUCAUCAUCACCAUCCCAAUCCUUAGUCGCCAUCCACAAGCUCUAACAACCACCAUGACUGCCAUCACAACCACCACUCCUCACAACCCCUAGCCACCACUACAAACAUUCACAAAUUCUAUCCAUCAUUGUCAGUUCACCAGCCUUAUCCUCCAUUGCCGCGGCCUACCAAUCAUCCACAACACCUAACCGUCGUCACCAACAAACUUUCGCCGCCGCUUCCUACAAGGAAGCCUCACCACCCACCGCCGCACACACUCAAAGCCACACCAACCUCCAUACUAUUGCGAAAGAGGCCACAAUGUAGAAAAAUUCCAGCAGAGGAAGGAUGUUUUCCUUCUCCAGCUGACUAUUCCUUUUUAUCCUUUUUUUGUUUUUUAAUUAUUAUAUUACUUUUAGUUAUUUUUAGUUUUUCUUUUAUUUUAUCUAUAUUUUGGUUGUUAGAAUGUUUUUGUUGUUGUUGUUGGCGGCAGUGCAGUUGUAGCUCGUGAUGAUGAUGGUGAUGUUGGUGUCAUUUUAAUCGAGAUUUGUUUCUUUUUACCGGCUACGUCAGUCAUCUUCAUUCACUACAUGUCCAUUUCUAACAUGUUAGAUUUUACUACUUUUUAAUCCAAGAGUUAGACCACAACGAGACAAAAGAUGGUGUACCUUCCAACGAGUGGAAGGUAGUUCGGCCCAAUUUAGACAGAGUCUAUGCAAUAAAAAUUUCAAAUUAAAAAAUAAACCCUUUAUUUUCUUUUAAUCAUAAGUGUGAUCUUAAUUAUUAAAGUCUUUCAAUGUCCAUUACUUAUUCAUUUUUUUAAUUACCUAAAUGACAUUGAAAACUCUACUCAAUAAUAAUUCGUUCAAAUGUUUUCUUUUAAAGUAAUCGGAAAUUGCAAAUGAAACAAAUGCUUGAAAUCACAAACGGCCUAAAAUUAGAUUUUCAUUUUUCAAUGUUGCAGUGACAUUGAUCUUGAUAUUGAAAUUUUAUUUGUAACUUAUAUAAAGGCCUCAAUUUUAUCAUAAUUGGUUAGUAAGGCUACGUAGGGAGCAUAGUCUGUUAGGACUAGCAACUUAGUCUAAAAUUAUUGAAAUUAUUAAUAUUUUAUACUAUAAUCUUUUCAUUCCCACUUUAAAUAUUAUUGGUAACUUAAAUCAUUUUUAAAAAUUAAAUAUAAAAAUUAAUUUAAUUAAAUAUAAAAAUCAUUUAAAUUAAAUAUUAACAUUAAUUUCAUAAUUUUUUUACCUAGAAUUUUAUACUAUAUUAAAUACUAAAAUUAUAUUCGAUAAUGUAUUAUCAUUUAUUUAAUAAAUGUUUAGGUUUUAGUAUGUUAUAUUAUUAUUUAAAUUAAUUUUGUAAUUUUAAUAUGGGCAAAUUAGAUAGUCCAGUGAACAAGAGACUGAUUCCCAACCAUCCUAAGAAUUAGUCCCUCAUUUUUUAUUUCUAAUUGGAUGUGGGUCCAGUUAUUUUGAUUUCUCUUGCAUUGAAUGAAUGGAUGAGUGCUAAUCCAUGCAAAGACUUCCAUGCAUACACAAUGAAUGCUUCAUCAAAGGUCUGGUAAAAUGUCAGCACGCUUGUUCAUCCGGAUUUUGGACCAUUUUCAUUGACAAUGAGAAAAGCUGCAAGAUCUGUAAAUCGGAAACUCAUUGAGGUGCCAAAAGAGAGAUGGAAGUGAAUUACUAGAGAGUUAGCGAAAAGAGGGUGCAGUGAUUGUGUGGGAAGCUUUGGGUAUACUUGGGGUUUGGAUGUGAGAUAAAAUAAUUUGAGAGAGAGGUUGUAACAAUUUUUCGGUAAUAGAGUUUUUCAGGUAAUUCUUGUGUUGUGUGAUUGGAGUAUUCUCUAUUGUAUUUUUUUUAUUUGUUAUUUAUUUGACGUAUUGCUAGCGGAGAUCUUGGGUGGGAACCAAAAAUUCCCAACAAUUGUCAAUUGUUUUAAACUCUAUUUCGAACAGAGCAUGAAGGGAUUCACUUAUCUGAUUAUGUCUUUUAUGCUUUAACUUCACUUGAUUUCAUCUUGUCUGUCACCUUUAUUAAAGUUGUAUAUGUUGGAGUAUUAGGUUCAUCACAAGGAUCAUAUUAUGGCUAAGGAAGGGGCACAGUUUAUCAGCUGCACUCAAGUGUAGCAGAGUAUUUGGAUUCAAGACUGUUAGAAGGUUGUUACAAUGCAAGGCUGUUGCUGUGUAACUGUAUGCCAUUCUCGCAAGUGCACUCUUAACAGAUUGCUGAGCUGGCACCGGAUGUUUUUAGCUAAUAUUAGUUAUUGGUCUAGAGUGUUCUGAUUUAUUCUAUAAAUAGCUCAUUUGAGCUUAGAACCUUUAUAGUGUAUCAUACGAUUCCCUCUCUUCUAUUAAUGAUUUUCUCUAUUCCUUUUUCUUUCACUUUCUCUUCCAUUUUCAUGAUCCCCAAACACCAUCAAUCCAUGAUUUUCUAGAGUAUUAGUUGUCUAUUUCUACAAACAUAGAAUUGUUGUUUUAAGAAACAAAGUACUCUGUCCUGUCACCCGCGGUAUCCUUGUUUAUCGACUUGUGAACAGGGCUAAAUAAACGGCAAAUAAGAUAUUGGGUCAAUGGGUCUAACGUGAAUCGAGGGGGCUUGGCUUGUACCAGGCUCUAAAAGAGUUUUCUACGAGCGAGCAGUCUUUCUAUCCUUUUUUUGGGGUUGCAUGCCUUAUAUUGAAUUAUUGCCCUUUUCUUUUCUCCACAAAUCUUUGGUUAAUUUUUUAGGUUCCCUCAACUUUUUUCCCCUUUAGCACUAAAAUUCAUAUUUGAUACUUUAUGCAAAAAUUAUGAUGAAAAUGAGUCACUUUAGAACAUCAAGAAAUUUUUAUUUUUACAUCCAAGAUAACGACAGUUACACUUAGAUCACUCUCAUUUAGUUGAAUUAUAUAGGUAAUAAAGUUGGCUUAACAAAAUAUGAUUCUUAACUGUUGUAAUUAAGGGCUAGUAUUCUUUGGUUUUAGUUGUAGGGCUCAUAAUGCCAUGGCUCAGUUCUUGGUGGGUUCGAAUUAUUAGACGAUCAUUCUCAAUUCUUUACGAUUCGUAAUUAAAAAUUCCUAUAUCACAAUUAGAACUUACAAACAAGUCAAAGUGGGUUAAAUCAUAUGUAUAAAUUCGAGGUCUAUUACAAACUUUUAAAAAAGAUUUUCUCUGUUUUUUUUUUCUUUCACCUUCUCUUCCAUUUUCUCAAUCCCCAAACACCACCAAUCCCUGAUUUUUUUAGUAUUAGCUGUCUAUUUCUACAAACAAGUUCUUGAAUUGAAUGGCUCCUCUUUUAUCCAUAGAUCUUUGCUUAAUAUUUUUGUUCCCUCAACCUUUUUCGGCCCUUUGCUCUAAAAUUCUUUUUUGAUACAUUACGCAAAAAUUAUGAUGAAAAUAAGUUACUUUAGAACAUCAAUAAAAUUUUAUUACAUCUAAGAUAAGACAAUUAUACUUAGAUUACUCUUAUUUAGUUGAAUUAUAUGUAAGAAAAUUAGUUCAAUAAAAUAUAAUCCGUAAAUAUUCCUUAUCACAUGAUUAACGUACUUAAAAAUUCUUAACUGAUCGGUCGCUUGUUUUACAAUUCUUUUAUAUAUCUUUGAAACUUUCAGCUUCCCAACACAUCAUAUUGUUCUCAAUUCGUCUAAUUUUUUUUUUUUCAAACACUGCAGCAACAACCAGUAUAAAAUAGUAUAAACUCAUUUAAUGGAAAUUUUCCUAGAUGCUUUCAUGGCAGAAUCUCAUUGGUCUAUUUCUCUUCGCAUCUUAGGUUCCUCUAACAAACCGGCCUCUUAACUCUCAUGUCCGAAUUUAAACUUAAAAGAUGUUCCCCGUCCCACGUGUCCCCAAAUCUUUGUAUUUCCAAACAAACCCCUGCCAACUAAGUCAAGUGAUAGGAUGGCUUUUAUUAUUUUUAAUCUCAUAUAUGAACGUUAUGGCCAUGGGACAUUGGAUAAAACUAAGUAAAGUGAUAGUGAUAGGAUGUCCCACUGUAUGAACGUUAUGGCCAUGGGACAUUGGAUAAAACUAAUGGAAUGUAAAGCAAAAUUACCGAUUAAACUAAAUUGAAAAUCCAACCAAUUGAAUCGGUUCAGUGUCACUCAAAAUAUGUGUGUGGUGGUGUGUGUAAAACAACACAAUUAUCAUAUUAAUGAGGCACUGUUAAAUUCAUUCAGCGAAUAUUUUUCUUUUUCAUUUUCAAUGAAUGCUUAAUAUGACAAACAAUCUGUCCCAUUGAGCACUGUUUAAGUCAUUCAAUGAAAAUGAAUACUUCUAUAACAAAACAAUAAUUCCCUUAUUUAUUUGAGACGCAAAGAACUUUCUUGCUCAGCUCGGCGGCCAAUCCUUUAAAUUUGUUAAAAUUCAGUUAAUUGAUGAACGAGAUAUAACCCAAUAAAUUGUUUAAUUUGUAUAAUUGAUAAAAAUUUGAACUUCAAAUAAUAUAGAUAGAAUGAUUAAUUUUUUUCAUAUUUAGAUAAUUGAUAUAUGUCAUGUUACUAUGAGUAAAAGAAUGAAGUGUAUGAUAGAAAACAUAAUGUUUAUGUUUGUAUUAAAAAUUUUAAGUGCAAAUCUAUUUAGUGUAGGUUAGACAUAGAAAUAGUUACCAACUUGUCUUGUUUCUCAUUUUGUUUAAUUUUCCUAAUUUGAAUAACUAUUAAUUAUGAGUCAAGGGUUUAUUGCGAAAAUAUGGUCUUCCAUUUACUAUAAAAAGAUUAGCGUGAUUUAAUUAUUUUUCUUUUUGCUUGGUGUCUGUAAAAUUAUGAAUACUUUGGUAAAUAAGAUAAUUAUAAAUACUAUUUUGAAAAUCCAUGGCCAUGGUUGUGAUGUAUCUUUAUCAAUCACGGAUACAAAAAUUAAUCAAAAUUAUCGAUUGUUUUAAAUUCUGUUUUUAACAAAGCAUGAAGAUGUUACUUAUCUAGAUUUAAUUUUUAUGCUUUCACUUCACUUAAUACAGCUUCUUCGCAGCAAGCAGAAGCGCUAUUGGUGACGAGAGGGAGAUCAACGGAACGCGGCCCCAGUGGGAGUCAAAAUCAGGGUAGAUCAAAAUCCAGAAGUAAGAAGAAUGUUAAAUGCUACAAAUGUGGCAAGAAAGGGCACGUCAAGAAAGAAUGUUGGAGUAACCAGAAGAGAAAAGAAGGCAAAGAAACUGAGUCAUCAAAUGCUCAGGGUUGUGUAGCAAGUACCUCGGAUGAUGGCGAAAUUCUUUACAGCUAGGCAACAACUGUUUCAGAAGGCAGAAAACGACUUUCUGAUGUCUGGCUUAUAGACUCAGGAGCUACCUGGCACAUGACCUCUAGGAGAGAAUGGUUCCACACAUAUGAACCUAUCUCAGGAGGAUCUGUAUAUAUGGGAGAUGAUCAUGCCUUGGAGAUCGCUGGUAUUGGUACUAUCAAAAUAAAAAUGUUUGAUGGUACAAUUCGCACAAUUGGAGAGGUACGACAUGUCAAUGGCCUGAAGAAAAAUCUAUUGUCUUUGGGACAAAUGGAUAGUCAUGGGUACAAAACUCAUGUGGAGAAUGGAAUUAUGAAGAUUGUUAAAGGCGCGCUUGUAUUGAUGAAGGCAGAAAAGAUCGGUGCUAAUCUAUUCAUGCUUAAAGGAGAAACACUACAGGAGGCUGAUGCGUGUGUCGCGUCAAAUGGAGAAGAAUCAACAAUGAUGUGGCAUCUCAAACUUGGUCACAUGUCAGAACAAGGUUUGAAGAUUCUCUCUGAGCGAAAAUUGCUUCCGGGGCUUAAAUCGGUAAGUUUACCAUUUUGCAAGCAUUGUGUUACAAGUAAGCAGCAUAGAUUAAAAUGAAGUAUUAUUUUCGACGAGGCGCCACCUAAUCAUUCGUUUUCUGGGUGAACAUAUUAUUUUCGCCAUCAUCUCUAUAACAAUGAAGUGAAAAUAGUUCUCAUUUAAAGUAUUGACAGCAAUGUUAUACUCAAUAUAACGUAUAAAGCACGCAUAAUUUAAUUAAUGGGGCAGCUGCUAGUACCUUCUUUAGAAGAGAAUUAUUGCGGCAAGGUAAUUGGAAGCUCAAAGAGUUUCCGUAUUAGCCGAAUCUAAGCGAUAAGUGUUUCCAUGUGAGCCAUAAUUUGCGAAAAAGACCAAUUCGAGUUAAAGAUCAGAAAACAAACACUGUCAACGAGCAUUAAUGUCAUUUGAUGCAUGAAAGACAAUUAGUCCCAUUUUUUGUCCUGUUUACUUGACUUGGGCAAUUUGCCGUCAACUUUUAUCAUCCACGUCAGGUAAUGUGGCUUUUAUUUGGUAUGAAAAAGCUAAUGCUUUACGAUAAAACUAUCACACACAUAUUUAUCCAUAUGUAAUGUUCAAAUGACACUCAAGUAUUGCCCAAAUUAGCCUUUUAAAAAUUCAUUUUCAAAAACCCAUGGUUGUGAUGUGUCUCUAUAAUUAAGAUCUAUCUGUUACCAACUGUUUUAACUAUGUUCUAAACAGAGCUUGAAAGGGUACAUUCACUUAUCUAGUUAUGUUUUUUAGGCUCUCACUUCUCACUUUACUUGAUUCACCUUAUCCCUCUUUUGAAACAAUUGUAUAUGUUGGGGUAUCAAGUGCAUCACAUCGAUCAUAAUCAUAUUAUUCACCUUAUCCGUCUUUUUAACAGACUGUUGAGAUGGCACCAAAGAUUGUAAAGUAAUUAGUACUGGAAAAUCAUGAGUUUGAUGAUGAAGAGGACGAAAAAUAUUAUUUUAUUAUUUAAAAUAAGACUAUCAAUUAUUUCCAUGGUCAUCUUGUUGUCCUCUUGAUCUUCAUAACAUCCAUAUUAAAUUACUGAGAAAUACGAAAGCGGAAGCGUACCUGAAUCCAUGAUGAUUCGUAGUGGUUCUUGAGUGUAGGAGACGGACUUCCAAUCUUCUCUUUCUCUUGAGUUUAGAAUUCUCUUUGAGAGGAUUAGAGAAUUGCAAAGGAUUAAAGAGAUUGGGGACCAUAACCCCUUUUAUAUAAAUAUCGUGACUAUUGGUAUUCUUUUAGAAAACCCAACAGUCACGUUAUUUAUGAUAAUAAUUAUCACUUCAGCCCCUCAUUAAAGUGAUGAUUAAAUUCUGGUAUCUAUGCAUUUAAUCCACAACAAUUAUACUCUUAGCCAUUUAAUUACCUUCAAAUAGAUCAUUUAAUUCUUGGCUUAUUAAAUAAUAGCACACACAUUUUAUUUAUUUCAUGUGUGGCCCCAAAUAUAUUAGAUUAAUAUAAAAUUGAUCUAACACAUCUUACUUUUUUUUUAUUAUUAAUUGGCCUAAAUAUUGUAUUUUUUGUCAGGAGUCUUGCAAUGCUGCGUAGCACCGUAAGUAAGAAGAAACGUGUCUAAGGUUGCCACGUGUAGUCUCAACAUGUGUGUGAAAACUGAAUUAACCAGUUUGCGUUCGACAACAAAGGAAAAUGCUUCUUGUUGCUGACCGAUUGCUAAGUAUUUCAAUACCUCCACCAAAAUCUUUAUAACACCCUUUUUAAUUUUAUUUUCUGAAAUACACUUAAUUUUUUAAAAAAAGAGCUUUAUGAGAAAUUUUCAAUCUGUCAAAAGGCCUACUUAAUGGACUGGAUCCCGACUCAUUAAUUUUAUAACCCGACUUACAAUCCGACUCAUUAUUCACAGAGAUUAAUUUGCUAUUGCUUAAGGUACAAUAUUUACUAAGCAAUUUAUCGGCAAUAAAACAUGUAUAUUAUAGUGGUUUGUAAUAAAAUUGGAAGAAGACAUCACGUACGAAUUGGAUUUAUCUCAUGAAAUUUGAUUAACGAAAGUGUAUGAAAAUAUAUAAAGAAAAUAGUAAAAAAAAUGUUGUGUAAAUGCUGUAUAGGUGAUAUAUUACUUUUAUAAUCCAUCAAGGUACAUUUGACUUUAAUGAUGAAACAAAUACAAAUAAAUCCAUGUACGUCAAUGCUAGAUGGCUCCAUAUUAAACUUGUGAAGUAUAGAAAAUAAGCGAGAUUCGUAAAAAAUAUUUUAGAUAAUACCACUGAAAAGUUAUAAAAAUAUUUUUUUAAGAAAAGAAAUACAUACUCGAGACACCAAGACCAACACGCACAAACUCACACAUUGACAUAUUAAUUGAGGGGAAAAUGAUAUUCUGAGUAAUAUUGUUGACAUAUGAUUAAAAUUCUUUUUAAUGAAACAUUUUCGCAUAAAUACUAGUGAUGUUUGUAGAGAAAGUAGAAUGAAGUGAAAAAAAUUUGAACAUAAAUGCUCCAAUAUAAUUUCGCCCAUGCAAAUUAUGAACUAGUGAAACUUUAAAUCAUCAUAAAAUUGUUUCCACAUAAGUAAUUAGUUUGAAAAAUUGCCAAUAAUGUUUAAAGUGGGAACGAAAAGAUUAUUCUAUAUGAGACACGAUAUUAUUUAAGACAGCUUACAAAUUAUGGGAAAUGUAUUGAUCUUACAAAUAAUAUUUAAUAAGUACAAAUUUCAAAUUAAAUAAUAAACCCUUGAUUUCCUUUUCAUCAGAAUUAUGAUCUUAAUAAUUAAAGUCAUUCAAUCUUAAUCACUUUUUCAUUUUUUUAAACUAUCUAAAUGACAUUGAAAACUUUACUCAAUAUUAAUUUAUUCGAAUGUUCUGUUUCAAAAUAAUUGAAAACUGUAAAUGAAACAAAUGCUUGCAAUCACAAAUGGCCUAAAAUGGGAUUUUUAUUUUUUAAUAUUGCAAUGACUUUGAUCUUGAUAUUGGAAAUUUAUUUGUAACUUAUACUAAGUCUUCAAUUUUAUCAAAAUUAGUUUCUAGAGAUGCAUUUGCCAUAAUGUGUAGUUGUAUUGUAUGAUGAUAUAUUACAUUAGGGUGCAUUGUAUUGAGCUGUAAUGCAAUACUAUUUUAUAUUAAUGUUAAAACUAAAUCAACCUUAUUUAAAUUUAUUAAUAUUUUAGGGUUUUAUUAGUAAUAUCUGAAAUUAAGUAUUAAAUAAUUAUUUUUAUAAUAUACAAAUUAUUUAAUAAUAUUCUACUAUUAAAUAAUAAAAUAUUACAAUAUUAUGUUAUAUUAUUAACAAUUAUUCUGUUAUAAUAUAAUUUAUUUUUAUAUAUUAGUUAUUAUAAUUCACUAACACGAAUUAAUUUCUACCAACAUUACCGAAUGAUUGUAUCGAUUUUUAAGCACGUAAACAUACCAGCUUUCUUUCUUUUACUCUCUAUUUCAUGUUUAUUCAAUUUCAAUCUUCUGCAAGUUUUUGGCUGUUUUAUUAGUUACAAAAUUCUCUAGGAUUGCAUGUAGAUUAUGGUUUUACGUGCAUUUUUUCUUCUUUUUUUUUUUUUUUUUGGGUAAACAUAUUAUUUUAUCAUCUAUCACUAUAAGAAUGAAAUGGAAAUAGUUCUCAUUUAAAGUAUUGACAGCAAUGUUAUACUCAACAUAACGUAUAAAGCACGCAUAAUUUAAUAAGGUUCUGUUUGGGAUUGAGGUGUUAUACUUUUUAAGUUACAGCUGCUGUGAAAAAAAAUUGUAACUCUAGAACAAAAGUUAAUAACAUUUAGUAAAUAUAAAUUUUAAAUAAUAAUUUUGAAAAAAUUAUUAAAGAUAUAAAGAUUUCCAUCAUAUAAGUGAAAAAUCAUAUCAACAUAGCUUCCAAGCUACAGCACUUAGUAUUUACCAAAUAUUCUAGUGCUGUACUUUUAAGUUACAACUGUCCAACCUCAAUCACAAACACACUCUAAAUGGGGUUGCUAAUAUCUUCUUUAAAAGAGAGUUAUCGCAGCCGCGUAAUUGGAAGCUCAAAGGGUUUCCAUAUUAGCCGAACCUAAGUGAUAAGUGUUUACAUAUGAGCCACAAUUUGGGGAAAAAAACAAUUCAAAGUUAAAGAUAAGAAAAGUGUGUCCCGGACGAAUACAAUAAUUCAAGCCACAGAUUUAUCAAACGCAUGGCAGAGACGCUUCAACAUGUUGUCUCAUGGAAAGAGAUCCUUCAGUCUUUGGCGUAAUACUUGGGGAAACGUAAAUUGACUUUACAUUAAAACAAAACAAAACAAACACUGUCGACAAACAUUAAUGUCAUGUAGUUAAGAAAAACUUACUUUAUCUUCGAUAAGUGCAAGAGAGGGGUGGGACAGUUGGACUCAUUUGAUGCAUGAAAGACAAUUAGUCCCAUUUUCUGUCUUGUUUACCUGACUUGGGCGAUUUGCCGUCAACUUUUCUCAUCUACGUCAGGUAAUAUGGCUUUUAUUUGAUAUGAAAAAGCCAAAACUUCGAUGAGCGGGACAUCACUGAUUUGUAUAAUUUUCAGGACUAGAAAAUUAUCUCAAUUUCAAAAUAUAUAAUUACAAUUAUCGAACACCACUAAUUCCAACAAUUUAUCCAAAGAUAUUUUUGAGCUUCAAGGAAUGUAACACUUAUGGUAGAAUGGUCAAAAUUUUCAACUUUUUAGAUAUUUGAUAUAUGCCAUGUUCUAACUUACAAUCAGAAUAAAAUUAUAGUAUAAUUUUUUUAAAUUAGUGGAAUUAUUUUACGAUAAAACUAUCACAAUAAAAUUUAAAUAUAAAGUUAUUCUUUAAUUUUUCACUACUAUUACUGAUAUUCUUAAACUCUUUGCUGAAUGGAGCAUGAAAGGACUACUUAUCUAGAUACGUUUUUUAUGCUUUCACUUCGCUUGAGCUUAGAACUUACAACUCGUAUUUUACGUUUCUCUUACUUUCUCUUCCAUUUUCCCGACACCCAAACACCAUCAAUCCUUGAUGUUGUAGAGUAUUGGCUGUCUAGUUCUACAAACAUGGACCUACUGUUAGUGCUUUAGAUCUUCAGACGGUUAGCUAACUAUUAUUUGAAUAUUAAAAUUAAUUUGUUAAAUAAAUAAAGAAAACAAGAGACAACUGCCAUAUCUAUUCCAUAUUAAUUAGUCACCGUCCCACUGACUCUGUCGAUUCACGCUUUGAUGAAGUGAAACGCUUAACGCACUAUUGUGAUGCGCAGGAGAGGAGGAAAACACAAUUUUAUUAUUGCAAUCCUGACACGCACAAAGAGCUUUCUUACAGGGCUUGGCAGCUAAUUCUUUAAAAUUUGUUAAAAUUCAUUUAAUUGAUGAAUGUGACAUAAAUCUCUAUAAAUAGUUUAAUUUGUAAAAUUGUUAAAAAUUUAAAAUUCAACUAGGGGUAGAUAAAAUGAUUAAUUUUCUCAAUAAUUAGAUAAUUGAUAUAUGUCAUGUUAUUAGGAGUGAAUGAAUGAAAUUUUCAAUAGAAAACACAAUGCUUGUAUUAACAAUUUUAAGUGCGAAUCUAUUUAGCGUAGGUUGUCCAUAAAAGUAGUUGCCGACUUGUCUUGUUUCUCAUUUUAUUUAAUUUUCAUAAAUUGGACUCACAAUCAAUUAUGAGUGAAGAGUUUGUUGGAAAAAUCUGCUCUUCCAUUUAUUGUAAUCAGAUGAGUGUAAUUUAAUCCUUUUUUUUUCUUUUGCUUGAUGUCCUGAAAAUUAUGAAUGGUUUGUACUACAAGAAAAACUAGAUAUAGCAACGAGUAUUUUACGUUUCUAAAACCAUUAACAACAUGCAUCCGCGUGCUGUGGAUCAAGAUGUUGUCUUUGGGUAAGUUACUUCUAACAAUAGCAAGACGCGUUGUUAAAACUCACGCGCUUGUAGUUAAAAAUGCUUUAAACAACGCAAAAUUUCUUUUAACAACAUGCAGUAUGAUCGUCGUGAAUUGUGUUACUUUAUUUUAUUUAUUUUAUAUCCACAUUUUGCUUACAAAAUCCUUUUAUUUAUUUUUUCCAAUAUUUCUUUUUUUUAAUAAAUAUUAAAAACUUACAGCUACAAACAAACUACUAAUUGAAUACAAAAAUUAUAGUUCAUAAAAAAAAUAGCAAUAAAUUUAUUUGAUAAUCACUACAAUUAAAACAAUUUAUAUUACAAAAUUCAAUACUCUCACAAAGAUAUCAUCAUUACAGUGAUCUCUUCAUCACAUACAAAGGCUUUGGAUGGAGCUUCUGAAUGCUGAUAACACCCAAAGCCUGCUUCAUAUAUCAUGUCAUUAGCAAUAAAAUCAAAUCUCCUAGACAAACAAAAUCAAGAUGAAUCGAAAUAUAUAGCCUAGCAAAUGAAAUUUCAAUUCACUCUCAAUAGAAUGAACUUUCUAAGAACUUAUCUUGUCCUAUUAUUAAAAUUAUAAAUUUUACAUAAAAUGAAAAGUUAAUUAUUGGCUAAAAAAUGAUACAUAAAAUGACCGUCCAAUUAAAUUGCAAGUGGGCAUUCCUACCAUUCUUGUCUCAUGCUUGUUAUAUUUAAAUUUACAAAUCACACCAUGUCAGUAUGGUGAUGAUGUAAAAUUGUUUCACCAAAUUUUUUAUCUUGAUAAUCUUGGUUAUAGAAAAAAUAUUGGGCGCUCCCAGUGGAUGCUUCUAUUGAGUGGCAGAAUCAGCAUUUUAUUUCGAUGGUAGCCAUAAUAAUUAAACUAUAAACUUAAGUUGAUUGUGAAAUAAAAUCAACGUUGUAAAUACUGCGUCCACAUUUUAUAUACAAACAUAUAUAUAUACAUACAUACAUACAUACAUAUAUAUAUAUGUAUGUAUGUAUGUAUGUAUUUUCGUUCAAUUAAUUAUUAUACCAUAUGAUGUAUUCAAUUAAUUAUUAUACCAUAUUAUUGUACAAAUUGAUGAUAAUAUGGUAUAAUAAUUUAUUUUAAUUUAUUUUCUUAAAAGAGAAUUCAUCAAUUUGUACAAUAAUAUGGUAUAAUAAUUAAUUGAACGAAAAUACAUACAUACAUACAUACAUACAUACAUACAUACAUAUAUAUAUAUAUAUAUAUAUAUAUAUAUAUAUAUAUUGUAUAAACUAACAUGGCAACAUAUGAUUGGUUAAUAAAAGAAUAAAUAUAUAUCAAGUGGGUUCUACCAUGUUUUUAAUUCAACUAAUGAUAAUAUGCCACAUCAAUUUGUACAACAAUAUUUGUGACUAUAUCAUUACUCGUUAAUUAAUAUGAACGCUAAUUUAUUUUCUUAAAAGAGAAUUCAUCAAUUUGUACAAUAAUAUUUUCACAAAAAUAUUUGUGACUGUAUCAAUACUCAUUAACUAAUAGACCGCUAUUUUAUUCUUCUUGAAAGAGAAUUACUGCAGCGAGGUUGGAGGCUCAAAGAGUUCUCAUUUAGCCAAACAUAAGAGAUAAGAGUUCACAAGAGACGUAAUUUGGAAAAUCAAUUCUAUCCAAUAGGCGAUAGGUCUCAAUGGAUUCGACUCAGUAUACGAUCAUUUGCGAUUUUUUAACGUCUUGUAAUUACAGAUUCCGAUAUCACAUUAUAAUUUUCAAACAAAUCAAAGUGAGUCAACUCAAAUUUAGAAAUUUGAGGUCUACUUUAAACUUUUGACAUUAAAUUUAAGAUAAUUAAGUAAAUGCUAGACAAAAUCUAACUUGUAAAUAUACCUUACUGCACGAUGAACGUUCUUAAAAAUCUUAACUGAUUGCUCACCAAUUAAUUGUUGUUUUAUAAUUUUGAUAUAUCCUUUCUUUUCCCUAAAACUUCUAGUUUCCUAACAUAUUGUUCUCAAUUGGUCUAAUUAUAAUGUAAUUUUUUUUUAAAUAUUAAAAAAAUGAAUUUAUUUAAUGGAAAUUAAAAAAAAAAAAAAGACACUUAUCUAUGCAAGCAAAGUUGCAUUCUGUUUGUGGGGACCUUAAAAGAAAAAGCAUAAUGAUACACUGAUGACGACAAUCCUUAAGUAUUUGUUUUCUUUAGUUACAGUUUGGUUCGAAUGGUUAAGUUCAAGUUCGAAUUUUCUUUAGUUACAUGUCAUAAGAUACUUUGCUCAAAGCUGCAAUUGGGCAACGCCGUGCUGUUCUUAUCGGCCAAUGCAAGCCAUUUACUAUUCUUUCUAAUGGAGCAAAAUAAGAUGAUUCUUACCUGCAUAGAGAAUUAGAAAAGAAAAGGAGGAUUACUGAUCCACAGAGCUGUCAUUUGCUAGAAGCACAUAAAUCUUACACUUAAUUCAUUAUCCAUAUGUAAUGUUCUAAUGAUACUUAAGUAUUACCUAAAUUAGCCUUUCAAAAUUUCACUUCGAAAAAAUCCAAGGUUGUGAUGUGUCUGUAUAAAUUCGCUAAUACAAGUUCUCUCUAUUCCCAAUUGUUUUAAACUCUGUUCUGAACAGAGCAUGAAAGGAUAUAUUCGUUUAUCUAGUUAUAUUUUUUAUGUUCUCACUUCACUUGAUUCACCUUCUCCAUCUUUUAAAACAGUUGUAUAUGUCGGAGUAUCAAGUUCAUCACAAGGAUCAUAUUAUGGCCAACAUAUACAACUGUUUUAAAAGUGUUAGUAGGUCGUAACACUAUAUGCCAUGCUGGCAAGCGUGCUAUGACUGAUUGCUAUUUGCACGUAAAAUUUGCCCAAAACAAAUAGAAUGAGAAUACUUGUACAAAAGGACGAGAUUAAUAAAGUGAAACCUAAGUGAUAAGAUUAAUGCUUGCCAAACCUAAGUGAUAAUAUGAGAUAUAAUUUGGAAAAAAAAAAAAAAUUCAAGUUAAAGAUAAAAAAUCUAUGUUCCUUAAAAAACAUAAUUCAAGCCACACAAUUUUUCUUGUUUUAUUUGAAAAAAAGAAAAUUGUGUUCCUCACAAAAACACUUUAACAUUUGUUGUCUCAUAGAGGGAAAUGUCCUUCACUCUUUGACGUAUCCCUGGGGCAAUGUAAGUUGACUUAAUUUUGACAAGUGCAAGAGAUUGGUGGGACUCAUUUGAUUCAAUUGAAACGUUGUCCACAAACUCUAUCACAAUCUAAUUUAAAAAAAAAAAGUUAUUCUUUAAAUUUCGCAUUACUAUUCCUACUUUUCUUGUUAUACUACUUAAUAGCACGGGUGAAGCCUCAAAUUAUCAAACAAAAGGCAAAAAUAGUUCAAUAUCUGCUGUCCCACUGAGCAUUGUUAAAUUCAUACGAUAAAAUGAGUACUUAUAUUAAAAAAAUAAUCAGUCUCAUUGCGUGCUCUUUCAUUGACAUAGGCAAUUUGCUGUCAACUUGUGGCAUUUUUAUGAAUUUUCAAGACGGGUGAAUUUUUCAAAUUUAAAAGAAAAAAAUGCAAAAAUGUAAUUUCAAUUUAUCCAAAAAUUUGAGUUUCAAGGAAUACAACAUUUAUUAUAUGUCAUGUUAAUAUAGAGAAGAAAAUUUUAAAAACUUAUUUUUGGAUGAAUAAAAGUAUUUUCUGAUAAAUAUUUCACAAUCAAAUUUAAAAAAUUUCACUCCUCUUGUUACAUAAUUUAAGAAUUUAACAUUAUAAAUUAAUCUUUUUAAUCAAAGUAAUAAUCUCUCCUCGGUCUGCAAAUGCUAAAAUUUAAUAUUAUAUCCAUUGACAAUAUUUGCUCCAAAUUCACGAAAAUAAAAUUUCUAACAGAAUUAUGAAAUUCGCUACUAGAAAUUUGUAUAAAAAUUGUGAGAAUAGAAGGUUUGAUCAUAGGAAAUUAAUAUAUCCCUAUCCAAAAUGAUUGUAAAGAAAAAAAAAAGUCAUGGGCUUAUUUAGAAAAAAAGAAAAAAUUACAUUCCAUUUUCCAGUUAUUAAAGUAAUUCUAAAAUCGCUAGGAUCACAAAGGAUAGGCUUUGGUUGACUGAGGUCAUGCCGGUCUUUUUCUUCUCUACAUUCUUAGAAAUUUUGGUUUCACUAUAAAUACUCGGUAUAUAGCAAACUUAUAAGUGUUCUUGAAUUACCAAUCCAACUAAGCACACGCUUACAAUAUAAAUACUCUCAUCUCAUGGAAAGACUUCAUUCUCUCAGGAUGAUGAGCAGAUUUCUCUUACUCCAUUGUUUGAUUCUUAUUUCCUUAUUUAUCGCGGCAGCAACAGCCAACACAAGUUCUACUAUCACAGACCGAGAUGCUCUGUUAGCCCUGAAAGCUCACAUAACUCAUGAUCCGACCAAUUUCUUGGCUAAGAAUUGGAACACAAGUACUCCUGUCUGUAAUUGGACAGGCGUCGCUUGUGAUGUCCAUAGCCAUAGAGUCACAGUCUUGAAUAUUUCAAGCUUAAAUCUCACGGGCACCAUCCCUUCUCAACUUGGGAAUCUUUCUUCUCUACAAUCACUCAAUCUCAGUUGUAACCGACUUUUUGGUUCCAUUCCCUCCGCCAUCUUCACCAUAUAUACACUGAAAUAUGUUAGUUUACGUGAAAAUCAGGUCUCCGGGCAAAUUCCUGCAAAUAUUUGCAGUAAUCUUCCUUUUCUGGAUUACCUUUCUUUGGGCAAAAACAUGUUUCAUGGAGGAAUACCGUCCGCUCUAUCAAAUUGCACAUAUUUGCAAAUCUUACAUUUGUCAUACAAUGAUUUCUCGGGAGCCGUACCUAAAGACAUCGGUAAUUUGAGCAAACUUAAGGAAUUAUAUCUUGGUCGUAACAGACUCCAAGGUGCGAAUAAUCACGGAGUUUAAUUAUGAAAAUUGUUCCACAAGUUGUAGUAUGAAUAAUGUUCCAUAAGACAAUUUGCACACGUUGAUUAAUUUGCAGGAGAAAUUCCUCGAGAGUUUGUCAACCUUACGGAAUUGGAGCGGAUGUCGUUAUCAGAAAACGAACUCCAAGGUAUGAUUAUGAACUUUUUGCAAUUUUAUUCUAGCCUCUGCUUGCAUCUGUAUUCAUUCGUUUGUUCGUCAAUUAUGCUCCAUGUUUUAUUGUUUUUUCUUUCAGAUAUAGAUAAAGCUCCAUGUCUCGCCUCACUCAUUUCAUUCUUUAAAUUAUGCAGAUAAAAAUUUUUAAAAAAUGUUUUGUAAUUUUCAUUUGUCAUAUUGCCGCUUCCGUUUUGAAGCUCCCAAUUAAGUCGAUGAAAAUGAAUGACGUUUCAUUCUUAUUCUUGUCAGCCUAAUUCUUAUAUAAAUGAAGAGUAAAUUGUUAUUACGAUAUUGGUCAGCCAAUAAAUUCUUCGUUUUUUUCCCCAAAUAUGAGUGAUCAAAUUGUUUGCGCAUAUAUAAAUGUACUUAAUUUGCAGGAGGUAUUCCACGGGAAUUGGGGAAUCUUACAAAAUUGGAGGGGUUACAGCUGUUUCGGAAUAAUUUGACUGGUAACUUUCUUUAGGAUAUAUAUAUAUGAGACAUCUUCCACUUCUUAAUUAAAAGAUUUCAAGUCUCUCAUUAUAAAUUCUCAUAUGAGGAUGUGUCGUUAGCACUAUCUAAUAUUAUUCUAUUUUUUUAUUAGAAAUUAGUUUGUGUUAAUUCAAAAUUCUAUAGCAUUUAAAAAAAAUUAAAAACACGUGGAAUAAAUCGUCGAUCUUUCUUCUUUACUGAAUUUGGAUUUCUCAAAAAUUAUCUCAACAAGUAUGCUUCACUAAUGCUAUGCACGUGUGACAACUUCAUAAAAUAUUUUACGUGGAAUCACUAAUUAUCUUUAAAUAAUUAGAGAUACCAUCAGUGAUACAUAAUUUCUUAACAAGCACCAUACCAAAAGAAAUCAACAAUUUUAUUAAUCUUAAAGAGUUACAUGCCUCUGUAUUAAUUCGUUUGUUCAUUAAUUAUGCUGUGAUUUAUUGUUUUUCUUUCAGAUAGAGAUAAAGCUCCAUCUCUGUCCUCACUCAUUUCAUUCUUUGAUUUAAGCAGAUAAAAAUAAAAAAAAAAUGUUUUGUAAUUUUCUUUUGUCAUAUUACCACUUCCAUUUUGAAGCUUCCAAUUAAGUCGAUGAAAAUGAAUGAUGUUUCAUUCUUAUUCUUGUCAGCCUAAUUCUUAUAUAAAUGAAGAGUAAAUUGUUAUUACGAUAAUCGUCAGCCAAUAAAUUCUUCUUUUUUUUUUGCCCCCAAAUAUGAGUGAUCAAAUUGUUUGCGCAUAUAUAAAUGUACUUAAUUUGCAGGAGGUAUUCCACGGGAAUUGGGGAAUCUUACAAAAUUGGAGAGGUUACAACUGUUCUGGAAUAACUUGACCGGUAGCUUUCUUUACAAUAUAUAUACGAGACAUCUUCCGCUUUUUAUUAGAAAUUAUAUAUUCAAGUUAAAUUAUUCCGUUUAUUAUUAGAAAUUAGUUUGUGUUAAUUCAAAAUUCUGUAGCAUUUAAAAAAAUUAAAAACACGUGGAAUAAAUUGUUAAUCUUUGCUCUUUACUGAAUUUGGACUUCUCAAAAAUAAUCUUGACAAGUAUGUUUCACUAAUGAUAUGCAUGUGUGACAACUUCACAAAAUAUUUUACAUGGAAUCACCAAUUAUCUUAAAAUAAUUGGAGAUGCCAUCAGUGAUACAUAAUUUCUUAACAAGCACCAUACCAAAAGAAAUCAACAAUUUUAUUAAUCUUAAAGAGUUACAUCUUCACUGCAAUUAUGACAUAAAUUUUUAGUCAUCAAUCGCAUAAUAUUUUAUCUUAACUGAUGAUGAUGUUCAAUCUUGGAAUUUAUAGUAUCUUGAAGGUUAGUAGCUUUGAAAAUAAGAAAUUGUUCGUUUGCUAAAAAGUUAACUUAGUAUUUAAGUUUUCCAAUUGAAAAUUUUGAAAAAAGCGUUGAGAGCUGGCGCUCCAUAGUAUUUCAGCGGAUAAAUAUGAAAAAUAGGCUAGAAGAAAUUAUUUUACUGAAAUAAGAGUUAAAAAGAUAGGAGAAGUACAGUACUCAUGACUUAGGCUUUCUGUGUGUGCUUAUUCUACUUGGGCUUUGGGCUUGAUUACGCCCGUUAUAAUAAUAGGCUUUUACUUUCACCACACAUGAUGAUUUCUUAACCUUCUCAAUUAGGUUAUAGCAAUUUAUAUAUAAAUAACUAAAGCAUACUAAAGCUAGCUUUGAUGUACGGAUGAGUGGCGUCAAAAGUGUAUCUGUUUUUAUGUAUUAUUUAUUCUCUAAAACAUAUCUGAAUACAAUUCUUUCAAAAUACCGAGGAACUAGCACAGGAAAUCGGAAAUAUUUUAUUGCGAUGAGAAUUCGUAUAUUCAUUGUAGUAGAACAUAUAAAAUAGAUUAUAAAUUUAUUAUUCUUUGAAACAAACCUGAUUAUAAUUCCUUCAAAAUUAAGUUUGUCAUUAAAUGAUUUCUCAGGAGCCAUACCAAAAGAAAUCGGGAAUUUGACCAAACUCAAGGAAUUAUCUCUUGACGGUAACAGGCUCCAAGGUGCGCAUGAUCACAGAGUUUAAUUAUGAAAAUUGUUGCAUAAGUUAUAUGGAUAUCCUUGAUAACCGCAGCAAGCAAACGAAAUCAAAUAAAAGCUAACUGAGACUCGAAUAUCCUAAACCCUGAAAAGGAAUGGUAAUGGUAUAAUAUGGAUUCUGUAGGCAUAUUUCACUGGACUCAACAUUUAUGGUUAAUUUACAACUCUUUGUUGGAAAGUCUGAGAAAUUGCUUUAUAUUAGGGGUGGGGAAAAUAAUGCUGGGCCACGAAUUUCAGGCAGAAUCCAGAUGGGGCCCUAUUAGACUUAUAGCUCAGCUCUGUGUCGAUAUCUGGGCCUUUACAAAUAAUUAAUGGGCCAAUUAAUAAUAAUAAAUAAAUUGAGAAGGGUGUGAGUGAAAUUAGAUAUGAAUGAAUCUGCCAGUGUAUGUACACAUUUUUCUAAUUAAUGCGUUAUGAGCCUGCCGCUGCUGGAAAUUAAAAAAUUUAAAUAUUUUAUAAUAUGGUAAUUAUUUUAUUUUAAGUCUCUAAUUUUUAAUUUAUUGAAAUCAUAUUUUUAUAUCUACUAUAAAAUAAGUAAAUGGGGAAUGGGGUGGGGAUGGGGGAAUCAUUCCCCACGUGGGGAUUCCUCAUCCCCAACUCACUAAAUUUAUUGGGGAAUGGGGUGAGGAAUGGAGGCAAAAAUUUUUAAUGGGAUGGGAAAUGGGGUAGGCAUCCCCACCCCCACCCCGCCCCAUUGCCAUCCCUAGCGUUAUGAGCCUGCCGCUGCCAGCAUGGAAAUUACAGCAACUAAGAAGAGAAUUGACCCAUUAAUUAAAUUAAAAAGAACACUGAAUAUAUAAGCAGUCAAAAUAUAGGUGAAGUAGGCAUGAAUUGUCACAUAACUAACUUUGAGAGUAAAACCGUGACUUGGGUUUGAAUGUUUGAUUAAGUUACUUCUAUUUCAAGUUGCUUAUUUUGCGUGGGCUUCCGGCUUAAUUACACACGGUCGAACACUUACACAGUUCCCCAGACAUAGGCUUUCACUUUUCACCACACAUUUGAUAAUUUCUUAGCCUUCCCAAUUAGAUUAUAGCAAUUUAUAUAUAAAUAACUAAAGCAUACAAAAGCCACCAUUGAUGUACGGAUGAGUGGUGUGAAAAGUGUAUCUUGUUUUAUUUAUUAUUGUUCUAUGAUACAAAUCUGAAUAAUGGAAUAUAAUGCUUUGAAAAUACCGAUGAAAUAGCACAUGAAAUCAGAAAAUAUUUUACUGCAAUAAGAAUUCAUAUAUUCAUUGUAGUAGCACAUAUAAAAUAGACUAUAAAUUUAAUUUUAAAAUACAUUCUUAUCUUCAUAUAAAUUUUACAUUACUAAUUUAAAUUAACAUUAAAAUAUGUUGUUUCUUUCACUAUGUUAUUUUAUUUACACAAUGAUGUGACUAUUGGAAUUAAUAAUACUUAUAAUUAUUUUGUAAAAAUAUAAAUUUAAUACUUUGUUAACAUUUUAUCUACAUAUAAUAAUUAAACUGAAACUUGUAUUUAAAAAACACUAGUUACGCAUAUUCAUUUCAUGACAUAAAAAUGUAUAUUUAUGCUAAUUUACCGGUAUCAACAAAAUGCUUUGAGACAAAUAAUCUAAUUUAUAUUUGUAUAUUUAAAAACUUGCAUUUAUUAUAUUUUGAAAAAAAUUUAUUUGCAAUUAUUUUAAACCGUUGGAAGUUGGAUUCAAAUUUUUGUAGUUAUUAAAGUCAAAGGGUAUAAAUGUGUAAUAGUCAAAAACAGAUUUGUAUGAUCAUUUUUCAAUGUAUAAAUUUUCUUAGUUAGUAGGAAAAUUGGAAAUUGUUGAUUUACUCAUAAAUAAAUUUAAUGUUUAGCAUUUCAAUUUUGGAAAACUUGACCCACGGACCCAUUGAAAGUUUUAUUCGAAUUGAGUUUCCCGGUGCUUACUCAUUUUAUUUACAAAUGAGUUGAUUAGCAUCGAAGUUACUUGAGAGUCUGAGACCAUGCUAGUAGGAGAAAUUUGAAAAGAAAUUAUUUUACUGAAUUAAUUUAUUUUAUCUUGUUGUAACUGAAAUACUACUUUUUUUUUGGGCUGUCACUGGGGCUUGAUUUACUUUAAUAGUAGCAGCCACCGACUUAGGCGUUUUUUACUUCUCACCAGACAAUUUGAUCUUUUAAUUCGUUUUAACCACAUAAUCUAUCUAUUUCUCACCUAUUGCUUACUUAAAUCGCAUACAUAUUUUACCUACUAAUUUUUAUAAAUAUUAGUCAAAUAUAUUUUAUUACGUUUCUCUCGUAACUGCUCCAAAUGUGUACUAUUAAUACUUAACCCUCCCUUUUAAUUUACUGUGCAAUCUAUCUAUCACUUAAGUCACAUAUAUAUAUUUUACCUAGAUUUUAACCCAAAAAAUAUAAAAAUAAAAGAAAAAGAAUAUGUGUAGCAAUUUGCAUAUAACUAACAAAGCAUUGAUGGCGUGUAGCCUUUCAAUACUUCACGAGUGGCUUUUCUUGUGUGUUAGUACUUGUAAUAAUUGUGUAGCGUAUAAAUGACAUUUUAUUAUUAAAGUGCGUCCAUUUUUAGAUAUUACUUAUUAUUUGAAAAAUAAUCUGAAUAUAAUUCUUUUAAAAUACAGGGGAGAUACCACUUGAAAUUAGUAAUCUCCAAAAUCUGGAGGAGUUGGACCUUCGUCACAACAAAUUAGUUGGUACUGUCCCAGCUGCAAUCUUUAAUAUGUCAAUGCUCAAAUUACUUCAUCUUCAAAAUAAUUCUCUCUUGGGAUGUCUUUCGUCCAUUGCAGACGUCCGACUACCAAAUCUUGAAGCGCUUUUAUUGUGGGGUAAUAAUUUCAGUGGCACAAUUCCUCGUUUCAUCUUUAAUGCUUCUAAGCUCUCUAUACUAGAGUUAUCACAGAACUCAUUCUCCGGUUUUAUUCCCAACACAUUUGGCAACUUAAGAAACCUUGAGUGGCUUAAUUUACGAGAUAAUUAUUUGACAUCUUCAACUCCAGAAUUGAGCUUUCUAUCCUCGUUGUCAAAUUGCAAGUCUUUAACAUUUAUUCACUUAUCAGAUAAUCCACUGGAUGGCAUUCUUUCUAAGACGUCUAUCGGUAAUCUUUCUCAUUCUUUGAAAGACUUUUACAUGUCCAAUUGUAAUGUUAGUGGCGGCAUCCCUGAAGAGAUCACCAACUUGACCAACUCGAUAACCAUUGAUUUAGGGGGCAAUAAAUUGAAUGGAUCAAUUCCGAUUACUCUCAGCAAAUUACAGAAGCUUCAAGGUUUGGGUCUUGAUGAUAACAAAUUAGAAGGAUCAAUCCCAGACAGUAUUUGUCGUUUGACUGAACUGUAUGAGUUGGAGUUGGGUGGCAAUAAGCUUUUUGGAUCAAUCCCUGCAUGCUUCAGUAAUCUGGCUUCUCUGAGGAUACUGUCGUUAAGUUCCAAUGAGUUAACUUCUAUUCCCUUAACUUUUUGGAACCUUAAGGAUAUCUUGCAACUCAACUUUUCAUCAAAUUUUUUGACUGGCCCACUCCCAUUAGAGAUUGGAAAUUUGAAGGUUUUGAUUGGAAUUGAUUUUUCGAUGAAUAAUUUUUCAAGCGUUAUCCCAACAGAAAUUGGAGGCCUAAAAAAUCUAGAAUAUCUAUUCUUAGGAUAUAAUAGAUUGGAAGGAUCGAUUCCUGAUUCAUUUGGUGAUUUGAUAAGUUUGAAAUUCUUGAAUUUGUCCAAUAAUAAUCUCUCUGGGGCUAUUCCUACAUCUUUAGAGAAACUCUCAUAUCUUGAAGAUCUAAAUCUUUCUUUCAACAAGCUAGAAGGAGAAAUUCCUAGGGGAGGGUCUUUUGGAAACUUCGCAGCUGAAUCAUUUGAGGGAAAUGAAUUAUUAUGUGGUUCACCCACUUUACAAGUCCUGCCAUGCAAAACUAGCAUCCACCAUACAUCAUGGAAAAAUUCUCUUCUCCUAGGGAUUGUCUUGCCAUUGAGUACUACAUUAUUGAUAGUAGUCAUUUGGUUGAUCCUAAGAUAUCGUAAGAGAGGAAAACAACCAUCGAAUGAUGCUAAUAUGCCACUAGUAGCAACGUGGAGAACAUUUUCAUAUCUAGAACUUUGUCGAGCAACAAACGGAUUCAGUGAAAACAAUCUAAUCGGCAGAGGAGGUUUUGGCUCUGUUUAUAAGGCAAGACUUGGGGACGGGAUGGAGGUUGCAGUGAAAGUUUUCAAUUUGCAAUGUGGAAGAGCGUUCAAGAGUUUUGCUGUUGAAUGUGAAAUGAUGAAAAGUAUCCGUCAUCGAAACCUUAUCAAAGUUAUUAGUAGUUGUUCAAAUGAAGAGUUUAAAGCGUUGGUAUUAGAAUACAAGCCUCAUGGAAGUUUGGAGAAGUAUCUGUAUUCCAGUAAUUGCAUUUUGGAUAUUUUUCAAAGAUUGAACAUAAUGAUAGAUGUUGCAUCAGCUUUGGAAUAUCUGCACUUUGGUUGUUUAGCUCCAGUAAUUCAUUGUGACUUAAAGCCCGACAAUGUAUUGUUAGAUGAUAAUCUGGUUGCUUAUUUGAGUGAUUUUGGCAUCGCGAAGCUCUUAAUUGGAGAAGAUCAGUCUAUGACUCAAACGCAAACACUUGCCACAAUAGGUUAUAUGGCACCAGGUUUGUUCAAUAUAAAUAUUUUCUAUUUCUUGUAAAUUUCCUAAUAAGUUAUUUAUGUUUCAUGAUCUUCAUUAGAUGAGGAAAUUAUUAUUAAUGAUAUAUCUUACUAUUUAACUGUUGCAAUUCAUAGAGUAUGGAAGAGAAGGACGAGUAUCCACAAAUGGAGAUGUUUAUAGCUUUGGAAUUAUGUUAAUGGAAACUUUUACCGGGAAGAAACCCACAGAUGAAAUUUUUAAUGGAGAAAUGACAUUAAAGCAUUGGGUUAAUGACUGGCUACCCAUUUCCACUAUGGAAGUUGUUGAUGCUAAUUUGCUAAGUCAGGAGGACAUACAUUUUGUUGCAAAGGAGCAAUGUGUGUCAUUUGUCUUCAAUUUGGCUAUGGCGUGCACUGUGGAAUCUCAUGAGCAGAGAAUCAAUGCAAAAGAAAUUGUAACAAAGCUCUUAAAAAUUAGAGACUCAUUACUUAGAAAUGUUGGAGGCAGACGUAUAAGUCAACCAAAUUUAAAUUGAUUCUACCCCUCCAUUGCUUGCUAUCCUUUUCAGAGACUUGAACGGUUAUCCUUCAUACCAGUUUUGUUGAUAUGUUUUGUUAUUGCUCUUGCUCAUGUUUGUUUCUCUAUUUCUUUAAUUUGCAUGCAUGUAUUUUUCGUUCUCUUUUAUGUUUUUGUUGGUUUGUAUGUAGUUUGUUUUUAGGGGUAAGGUUGAUUAUGUCCUCCCCUAAUUACACGUAUCCUUUUUAUGUUUAUUCAAUAAAGCUUCUCUAAUACUAUCAAGGUUCAUCAAAAGAAAAUUUUUAAUUAAUUUUCUUUUCUUUGACAGGUAAUGAAAUUCUAAUCUUCAUAGUGAAUAACUUCAAUAAUAGAGUGUAAGAGUGUUAGUAAUUAUGGUUGUUUUUUGAACCUGGAGUCAAGAGCAAUUUAACAGCAACAAACAAGUCUCUUGUAUUAUAGGCAAAAUUCUUUUCAUUAAUCUUAUUUGUCUACAUGUUCUCCUAUUUUCACCAUUAAUCUUCGCUCAAGGUUUCAUGCUUCCUCUUUGAUGAAGGAAAAUAUUACUUGCGAAUAUUUCAAUUUGACAUAAGAGACUGUUUUGCCAUCCAUUUGAUAAAAUGGAUAUGAGUGGAGCUUUCAAUCAUUACCUCCACCAAAAUCCUUACAACGCCACUUUUAAAUUUUAUUUUUUAAAAUACAUUCAGUUUAAUUUAUAAAAAAUAAAUCCAUUUGUUCAAAUUAAUCUUUUUCUCAUAAAUUUCAACCUAAAAAACAUAUUUCUUUUAAAUUUUUAAUUAUAAAAUACAUACAAGUUCUAAACUAUUAUAUUAUUUUCUUCUUAUUAUAUAGUUUAUAUCUCCAUAACUCUAAACUCCUAUAAUUUUUUAAAAAAUGUUUUUAAUUUAAAAAAUAUAUAUAAUAUAGAAUGGAGUGGGUAUAAAAAAAACUUAUUAAAAGAAUAAUUCAUUUAAGUAUUUAACUGAAUUUAAAUUAAAAUAAGAAAUAAAUUAAUUUAUUUUUUAUUAGUUAAGUAAUUUUCAAUUGAAAAAGAGUUGUAUGAGUAAUAUUAUUGAAAUAUGAUUAAAAUUCUUAUGAAUUAAAUAUUUUCGUAUAAAUACUAGUGAUAAUUACAGAGAAAAGACGAGGAACCAAAGAAAACUUGAAUAUAAAUACUCCAGUGUAAUUUUACAUAUGCAAAUUAUGAACUAGUGAUCUUCAGAGCAUCAUAAAAUUAUUUUGACACAAUUAUUUAUUUUGAAAAAUUGCCAACAAUGUUUAAAGUGGAUUGAAAAGAUUAUAAUACUUAUAUAAGACAUGAUAUCAUUUAAGACGGCUUAUAAAUUAUAAGAAAUAUAUUGAUCUUACAAAUAUUUAAUACGUCAAUUAGACAGGUCCAGCUACCUUCCACCCGCUGGAAGGUACAACUUAUUUUGUCCUCUAGUGUUGUGGCCAUUGGAUAUUUGAGAAGUUGAUCUAACGGUUCUUGUUCGGCAGCGUGAAAUUGAAUUUCAAUUGGCAACCAUUUCAUGAACUUUGUAAGAGAAUUAUCUACAUAAACAUUAAAAAAAGAAGGGAAAAGGACACAGAGACCCUCAACGUUUAAAUAAGGUACAUAAAACUCCCUAAUGUUUCAAAAAAGACACUCAGACCUCCAUUGCUUAACAGAAUCCGUUUCUUUUAACAGAAAUUAUAAUUUUAAAGUGCAAUUACCAUUAUACCCUUAUAGCAUAUUAAAACUAAUUGUUCAUUGUCCAAUUUAUCCCUAUAUUAUCAAUAAAAUUACGAAAAUAAAUUUGAUAAAGAUAUUUCCAUGCACAUCUAAAAAUUGAUAAAGAAAAAAAAUAACAAAAGUAAUUAGCAAGAAAUCUCCAAUAAACUGAACAAAUUAAGAACUCUGUUCAUCAAACAACCAUAAACCAAAAAAAAAAAAUUUCUCGUAAUCAUUUAUUUAUAUUCUUGCACAUACAUCACAUAUGCAUCAAACAUGCUAGAGAAGUUAAUUUAGUAAAAAAAAUGAAAAUUAAAGAGAAUUCAAUAGGCAAGAUCAGCAACCGAACGCGAGCACAAGCAGCAGCCAAAAGCGAGCACAAGCAGUAGCCAAACACGAGAUUCAACAAGCAAGAUCAGCAACCAAACGCGAGCACAAGCAGCAGCCAAACGUGAGCACAAGCAGCAGCCAAACGCAAGCAAUUCCAGCAGCCAAACGCGAGUAGUUCCAACAACCAAAUGCGAGAUUCCAGCAGUUCCAACAGCACAAGCAGUAGCCAAACGUCGAUCGCGAGCAGAUUCGGCAACCAGAUGCGGUCUCGAUUGACGCACGAGCAGUUCCAGCAACUUCCGGUAGCGUGAGCUGUUCCAGCAACUUCCGGCAGUCCCAGCAGCUUUCGGCAAGGCAAACCGUGAGUGUGUGUUAAAAGAUUUGUCUGGAAUCAAUGUGUGUGUGUGGGGUUUGUUUGUGCGUGUGAUGUGUGUGUGGGUUUUUAGUCAAUUCACUUGUUUUUAAUUUGUAAUUAUGAUAUAAACCUUGUAAUGAUUUAACGAAACGAUUUCCGAUAAGCAAUGGGGGUCUGAGUGUCUUUUUUGAAACAUUAGGGAGUUUUAUGUCCCUUAUUCAAACGUUGAGGGUCUUUGUGUCCUUUUCCCAAAAAAGAAAACCAAUUUUUCCCUUUCAUCAGCCGCCGCCGCCACCCACAACCCCUUAAUAUCAUCAUCACCAUCCCAAUCUUUAGCUGCCAUCCACAAGCUCUAACAACCACCAUGACCGCCAUCACAAUCACCACUCCUCACAACCCCUAGCCACCACUACAAACAUUUACAAACUCUAACCAUCAUUGACUCAUUGUCAGUUCACCAGCCUUAUCUUCCAUUGCCGCGGCCUACCAAUCAUUCACAACACCUAACCGUCGUCACCAACAAACUUUCGCCGCCGCUUCCUACAAGCAAGCCUCACCACCCACCGCCGCACACACACAAAGCCAUACCAACCGCCAUACUAUUGCAAUAGAGGCCACAAUGUAGACAAGAUCCAGCAGAUGAAGGAUGUUUUCCUUCUCCAGCUGACUAUUCUUUUUUAUCCUUUUUUUUGUUUUUUAAUUGUUAUAUUACUUUUAAUUAUUUUGGUUGUUAGAUUGUUUUUGUUAUUGUUGCCGGCGGCAAUGGAGUUGCAGCUCGUGAUGAUGAUGGUGAUGUUGGUGUCAUUUAAUCGAGAUGAGAGAGAUUCAGAGCUAAACAAAAAAGUGGAGGCUGUGGAUGAGUAUGAGAGCGAUCUAGAUGAAGUGAAACACUCUCUCGUUUUACGUAGAAUGGAAACAAGCAAUGAUGAGGAGGAGUAGACAGAAUUUGAGCGUCGAAUAAAUUGAAGGGUCCAGAUUCACUCUUACAUUGAAUCUGAUAGCCAAAGUGGUGCUCCAGCUGAGUAUGAUGAUGAUGAAGAGGACGAAGAGGAACAUGACAGAGAAUUAGAAGAAGAAGAUGAAGAAGGGGAUGUUUAUGAGUAUGAAGAGGAAGACGAUUUUUAUGAAGAAGUGGAAAGGAAUGACGAGGCGGUUAAAGUCAAAGAAAUAGAGGGUAAUGAUGCAAGAGGAGUACAGAGGGCGCAGUGGAAGUGAGUAAAGGGAAUUAUGAUAAUGGCAAUGGUGCUAAAACAAUGAUGCAGCGAAUGAGGGAAUAGAGGAAGGGGAGAAGGAGAGUAAUGAGCCUUUUGCACAGCAGCCGGGGCUUUUUAUAUGGGACAAUGUUGCAGGUCGACACAGGUAUUAUUUGAUUUGAGUGAUCUAUAAAUAACUGAUAGCUGUACUUUCGUUAGGCUUGUCGAUUAGUCUAGUCUCGUUUUUUGGUGCUGUCUAAUGAUUGUUUGCUGGAAUUUGUGUAGAAGGCUUUUGGCGUAGUAGGUUGAAAGGAGAGAAAGUUCUCAAGUAAAGAUCUGUGCUUUGUGGUGUCAAAAGCAGCCAUCUAGAUGGUCUAAAGCAGCCAUCUAAAUGGUCAGCAACAAUUUGUUCAAACAAGAAGAAUUUGGUAGCAGCAAAUAUGGAAUGAAGAAAAUUGAAAAAAAAAGAAGUUUGAAGAAGAAAAUGGGGAACACAAUUUUGACGAGAAAAAAAAAAUUAAUUAUUAUUUUAAUAGCCAAUUUUGGCUAUAUAAAGGGAGCUCUUCAUUUGGUUUUCUGCAUUCAAUUCCAUUGAGAGAGAAGCAUUGCCUUGCUUUAGAGUUGAGAGUAUUAAAGAGUUUAAUAAACUCUUGAGUGAUUAGUGUUAUGAGAGUUUGGGUGUAUUGGGGUUUUGGAAGUGAGCUAAAAUACUACAAUACUUGUAACUCCUUUUCACUAGUAAAAUAUUUCCUUUUGUCUUCGCCCGUGGAUGUAGGCUGAAAGCCGAACCACGUAAUUUCUGGUGUCCUCUAUUGUGCUUAUUCUUUAUUUUUCUACCAAUUUUGCUUUAGCUGCGGUCCUACUUCACCCAUCAAUUUCCUAACAGUGGUAUCAGAGCUAUUGGUUGUAUUUUUGGAGUCGGGAACUGUUCACGUAAGGGGUACUAUUCACGUAUAUGGUACUGUUCACGUAUACAAUACUGUUCACGUAUACGGUACUAUUCACGUAUACGAUACUGUUCACAUAUUUGGUACACUAACUUGUGUGCAGUAUUGAUCAACAAAAUGGCGACAAAGUAUGAAAUUGAGAAGUUUAACGGAAAUAAUUUUUCGUUGUGGAAAAUGAAGAUGAAAGCUGUAUUGAGGAAAAAUAAUUGCUUGGCAGCAAUUGGAGAAAGGCCCAUGGAGAUAACUGAUGACAAGUGGAACGAGGUAGACGGCAACGCCAUUUCUGAUCUACACUUGGCACUUGCGGAUGGAGUAUUAUCCAGUGUGGUAGAGAAAAAUAAGGCGAAGGAAAUAUGGGAUACUCUCACAAAAUUGUAUGAGGCCAAGUCACUACACAACAAAAUCUUCUUGAAGAGAAAACUCUAUAUUCUUCGAAUGGCGGAAUCUACAAUGGUGACCGACCAUAUCAACACAUUGAAGACUCUAUUUUCACAACUCACAAUGUUGGGUCAUAAUAUAGAGGAAAAUGAACGUGCAGAGCUUCUACUUCAAAGUCUACCAGAUUCGUAUGAUCAACUUAUCAUCAACCUGACGAACAACAAUCCAGUGGAGAGUCUAGUUUUCGAUGAUAUUGCAGCCUCCGUAUUAAAUGAGGAAAGCAGGCGAAAAAAUAAGGAAAAUAGACAAGCAAGUUCGCAGCAAGCAGAAGCGCUAUCGGUGACGAGAGGGAGAUCAAUGGAACGUGGCCCCAGUGGGAGUCAAAAUCUGAGUAGAUCAAAAUUCAGAAGUAAGAAGAAUGUUAAAUGCUACAAAUGUGGCAAGAAAGGGCACGUCAAGAAAGAAUGUUGGAGUAACUAGAAGAGAAAAGAGGGCAAAGAACCUGAGUCAUCAAAUGCUCAGGGUUGUGUAGCAAGCACCUCGGAUGAUGGCGAAAUUCUUUACAGCGAGGCAACAACUGUUUCAGAAGGCAAAAAACGACUUUCUGAUGUCUGGCUUAUAGACUCAGGAGCUACCUGGCACAUGACCUCUAGGAGAGAAUGGUUCCACACAUAUGAACCUAUCUCAGGAGGAUCUGUAUAUAUGGGAGAUGAUCAUGCCUUGGAGAUCGCUGGUAUUGGUACUAUCAAAAUAAAAAUGUUUGAUGGUACAAUUCGCACAAUUGGAGAGGUACGACAUGUCAAUGGCUUGAAGAAAAAUCUAUUGUCUUUGGGAUAAAUGGAUAGUCAUGGGUACAAAACUCAUGUGGAGAAUGAAAUUAUGAAGAUCGUUAAAGGCGCGCUUGUAUUGAUGAAGGCAGAAAAGAUCGGUGCUAAUCUAUUCAUGCUUAAAGGAGAAACACUACAGGAGGCUGAUGCGUGUGUCGCGUCAAAUGGAGAAGAAUCAACGAUGAUGUGGCAUCUCAAACUUGGCCACAUGUCAGAAUAAGGUUUGAAGAUUCUCUCUGAGGGAAAAUUGCUUCCGGGGCUCAAAUCGGUAAGUUUACCAUUUUGUGAGCAUUGUGUUACAAGUAAGCAACAUAGAUUAAAAUUCAGUAGAUCUAUUGCUAGAAGUAAAUGCAUUCUAGACUUGAUUCAUUCUGAUGUUUGGGAAUCACCGGAUAUAUCCAUGGGAGGUGCAAAGUACAUGGUGACUUUCAUUGAUGAUUAUUCCAGAAGAUGUUGGGUGUAUCCAAUUAAGAAAAAGUCAGAUGUAUUUAUAGUGUUUAAAGAAUACAAAGCGCGGGUGGAACUUGAAUCUGGUAAAAAGAUCAAGUGCUUGAGGACAGAUAAUGGUGGAGAGUAUACAGACGGCGAGUUUCUUGCUUUCUGUAAGCAAAAAGGUAUUCAGAGGCAGUUCACGGUAGCAUACACUCCUCAACAAAAUGGAGUGGCAGAGCGGAUGAACAGAACUCUUACAGAAAGAAUAAGAGCUAUGUUGAGGACUGCUGGUCUACCCAAUUCAUUCUGGGCAGAAGCAGCCAAAACUGCCUGUUAUAUAGUAAAUCGGUCGCCAUCUACAGCUAUUGGGUUGAAGACGGCAAUGGAGAUGUGGACUGGAAAGCCAACUGAUUAUUCCUACCUACAUGCAUUUGGAUGUCCUGUGUACGUGAUGUACAAUGCCCAAGAAAGAACAAAGCUGGAUGCAAAAUCUAGAAGAUGUAUCUUCUUGGGAUAUGCUGAUGGAGUAAAGGGGUAUCGUCUGUGGGACCCCACUGCCCACAAGAUCGUCAUCAGCAGAGAUGUUAUUUUUGUAGAAGAUCAACUGCAAAGAAAAGAUGGAGAUGACGACACUGUAAAAGAAAAGUCAAAAACUAUGCCGGUAUAUGUCGAAAAUAAUCCAGAAAAUUCAGAUUCUUCUAAAGCAGCACCAGAGCACAAGAACAAGAACCAGUCGAGUCUGAGGCUCUAGAAGUUCGUCGGUCAACUCGUGAGAGACGACCGCCGGCGUGGCACUCGGAGUAUGUCACAGAGAUCAACGUUGCAUACUGUCUUCUAACAGAGGAUGAAGAGCCUUCAACUUUUCAUGAAGCUUUAGAAAGCUCAGAUAUUGCUUUGUGGAUGACAGCAAUGCAGGAAGAAAUUGAAGCUCUACACAAGAACAAGACAUGGGAACUUGUACCACUACCACGUGGAAGAAAAGCCAUUGGAAACAAAUGGGUCUACAAGAUCAAGCGUGAUGGCAAUGACCAAGCGGAACGGUAUCGUGCAAGAUUGGUGGUGAAAGGAUAUGCUCAGAAAGAAUGUAUUGACUUCAACGAGAUAUUUUCUCCGGUGGUUCGACUCACAACAGUCAGAAUAGUCUUGGCGAUGUGUGCUACAUUUGAUCUACAUCUUGAGCAGUUAGAUGUGAAAACUGCAUUUCUUCAUGGAGAACUUGAAGAAGAAAUAUAUAUGCUCCAACCAGAAGGUUUUGCAGAAACAGGAAAGGAGAACUUGGUUUGCAGGUUGAACAAAUCUUUAUACGGUCUCAAACAGGCGCCGAGGUGUUGGUAUAAGAGAUUUGAUUCCUUCAUCAUGAGCCUUGGAUACAACAGACUCAGUUCAGACCAUUGUACAUAUUACAAGAGGUUUGAAGAUAAUGAUUUCAUUAUUUUGCUGUUGUAUGUGGAUGACAUGUUGGUAGCAGGUCCCAACAAAGAUCGAAUCCAAGAAUUGAAGGCACAUUUAGCUAGGGAGUUUGAAAUGAAGGACUUGGGACCAGCAAAAAGAUUCUAGGGAUGCAAAUUCACCGAGACAGAAAUAACAGGAAAAUUUGGCUUUCGCAGAAGAAUUACUUGAAGAAAAUCUUGCGACGCUUCAACAUGCAAGAUUGUAAGUCAAUUUCUACCCCACUUCCUGUUAAUUUCAAAUUAUCCUCAAGUAUGUGUCCUAGUAAUGAAGUAGAGAGGAAGGAGAUGUCUCGAGUACCGUAUGCAUCAGCAGUGGGAAGUUUAAUGUUCGCUAUGAUAUGUACAAGACCAGACAUUGCACAAGCAGUGGGAGCAGUCAGUCGAUACAUGGCGAAUCCUGGUGGAGAGCAUUGGAUAGCUGUGAAGAGGAUUCUGAGAUACAUUAGAGGAACCUCAGGUGUUGCAUUAUGUUAUGGAGGAUCAGAGUUUACUGUCAGGGGCUAUGUAGAUUCAGAUUUUGCAGGAGACCUUGAUAAAAGGAAAUCCACUACUGGUUAUGUGUUUACACUUGCGAGAGCAGCUGUAAGCUGGGUUUCAAAACUGCAGACCGUUGUGGCUUUAUCUACAACAGAAGCAGAGUACAUGGCAUCUACACAAGCUUGCAAGGAAGCUAUUUGGAUACAAAGGUUAUUGGAGGAGCUCGGGCACAAACAAGAGAAAAUUUCUGUGUUUUGUGACAGUCAGAGUGCUUUGCACAUUGCAAGGAAUCCAGCCUUUCAUUCCAGGACAAAGCACAUAGGAGUUCAGUAUCACUUCGUUCGAGAAGUAGUGGAAGAUAGAAGUGUGGAUUUACAGAAAAUCUAUACCAAAGAGAACUUAGCAGAUGUUUUGACCAAGCCGAUAAAUACUGAUAAGUUUGUCUGGAGUAGAUCCUCUUGUGGCCUAGCAGAAACGUAGGCAACAUGAUUAUGGCGAAGCAGAAAGGAUGGUGUGGAGAUUGAUUGAUUCUCAAUCUAAUCUCCAAGUGGGAGAAAUGUCAAAAGCAGCCAUCUAGAUGGUCUAAAGCAGCCAUCUAGAUGGUCAGCAACAAUUUGUUCAAACAAGAAGAAUUUGGCAGCAGCAAAUAUGGAAUGAAGAAAAUUGAAAAAAAAAGAAGUUUGAAGAAGAAAAUGGGGAACACAAUUUUGACGAGAAAAGAAAAAUUAAUUAUUAUUUUAAUAGCCAAUUUUGGCUAUAUAAAGGGAGCUCUUCAUUUGGUUUUCUGCAUUCAAUUCCAUUGAGAGAGAAGCAUUGCCUUCCUUUAGAGUUGAGAGAAUUAAAGAGUUUAAUAAACUCUUGAGUGAUUAGUGUUAUGAGAGUUUGGGUGUAUUGGGGUUUUGGAAGUGAGCUAAAAUACUACAAUACUUGUAACUCCUUUUCACUAGUAAAAUAUUUCCUUCUGUCUUCGCCCGUGGAUGUAGGCUGAAAGCCGAACCACGUAAUUUCUGGUGUCCUCUAUUGUGCUUGUUCUUUAUUUUUCUACCAAUUUUGCUUUAGCUGCGGUCCUACUUCACCCACCAAUUUCCUAACAUGUGGAAUAUAAUUAAUAGGGACAAAGUAUACUAAAUUACUUGAUAGAUAGAUGCCGAGCUAAUCAUGAGCUAUGAUAGCAUUAUUCGUGCUUUGUGUAUUUUUAUUAGGGCUUGUCUAUUUCAAAGUGUGGAGUAUAGAAUUUUUGGGUUAAGUUUGAGUGAUGAAGUGUUAGAUAGGUUUCUGUUUUGCAUAGUUAAGCCGUCAAUACGAGCUAUCGAAACAGAUAUGGAGCAGGAUAUCUAGUUUUGGGUUUGGUCUUAGUUUGAAGAUGGCUACUGAUUAUGCAGCUAGGUACGUAUUCGUGUUUGUGGAUUUCUAAAUGCUUUCUGUCAAAUGUGACUAGAUUAUUACUAAAAGUGCAUGGAUCUUACACUUAAUUAAUUAUAUAUCCAUUUGUAAUGUUCAAAAUGAUAAUGUACUUUUGCUUGAAAUUAUGCUUUCAAGACAUCAUUUUGAAAAUCCAUGGUUAUAAUGUGUCUCUAAAUUCAGUAAUACAAGUUCUGUCAAUUGCUGUUGGAUGCAGUGACCUGAAUAGUUUAAUAUUCAUUUGCAGAAAGGAGUUGAGAAAGAAAACUAAAAAUUUCUGUGCGUGCUGCUGGAAAUUUAAAUAGCUUCAUUUGAGCAUUAAUUGCCGGCAUGAUCUCUUAGACUUCUCUUGCAUUGAAUGAAUGGAUGAGUGCUAAUCCAUGCAAAGACUUCCAUGCAUGCACAAUGAAUGCUACAUCAAAGGUAUGGUAAAAUGUCAGCAAGCUUGGCCCAAAUUAUCAAGCUGGUUUGGUGGCUGCUAGAUUUGUUCAUCCGGAUUUUGGACCAUUUUCCUUGACAAUGAGAAAAGCUCCAAGAUCUGUAAAUCGAAAACUCAUUGAAAUGCCAAAAGAGAGAUGGAAGUGAAUAAGUAGAGUGUUAGUGAAAAGAGGGUGUAGUGAUUGUGUGGGAAGCUUUGGGUAUAACUGGGGUUUGGAUGUGAGAUAAAAUAUUUUGAGAGUGAAGUUGUAACAAUUUUGUACGUAGAUAAAUUUUUUGUCUCGUUGUCCUUGGCAACUGUGGUUUUUUAUUUGGGUAAUAGAGUUUUUCAGGUAACUCUUUUGUUGUGUGAUCCGAGUAUUCUCUGUUGUAUUUCUUUUAUUUGUUAUUUAUUUGACGUAUUGCUAGCAGAGAUCUUGGGUGGGAAUAAAAAAUUCCCAACAAUUGUCAGUUGUUUUAAACUCUAUUCCGAACAGAGCAUGAAGGGAUUCACUUAUCUAAUUAUGUCAUUUAUGCUUUAACUUCACUUCAUUUCAUCUUGUCCGUCACCUUUACUAAAGUUGUGUAUGUUGGAGUAUUAGGUUCAUCACAAGGAUCAUAUUAUGGCUAAGGAAGGAGCACAGUUUAUUAGCUACACUCAAGUGUAGCAGAGUAUUUGGAUUCAAGACUGUUAUAAGGUUGUUACAGAUGCAAUGCUGUUGCUGUGCAACUGUAUGCCAUGCUCGCAAGUGCGCUGUAACAGAUUGCUCAGCAGGCACCGGAUAUUUUAAGCUAAUUUUGGUAAUUAGUCUAGAGUGUUCUGAUUUAUUCUAUAAAUAGCUCAUUUGAGCGUAGAUAUCGUACAUUUCUGUUACUUCUAAUAAAGAAAUUCUUUAUUCCUUUUUCUUUCACUUUCUCUUUCAUUUUCAUGAUCCCCAAACACCAUCAAACAUAGAAUUGCUGUUUUAAUUCCCUCCUCUUGUCGAUAGAUGUUUGCCGAAUUUUUUCAUUUAAAAAAUAUUAUAUUGGUUAAUAGAAUUUGAAGUUUUACAAAAUAUAAGUUUAAUUUAAAAAAUAUAUAUUUGUUAAUUUAAAUUUUUUAUUUGGUGGUUGUGUUUGAGAAAAUUUUAGGUAUACUUGGAUAUACUCUCUUAUUAUUCAUUGAAUUUGGGCAUUUAAACAUACUAGUAUGCAAUAUUUUUAAGUAAUUACCAGAGAAGUAUACAUGAGAAAAAUAUAACACGUGAAACAAUACACAAUGAAAUUAUCUACAAUUUUCCAUUGACUUAGUCAACUCUUCAUUAAUUUCAUUGACUUGAUCAACUCAUGAUCUAACUUGACAACUUGAAAAUUAAAUUAUGCUAGUAAUUCUGUAAAAUAUGCUAGUAAUUCCGUAAAAUUAAAAUUUAUCUCCCAAAAUUGAUAAAUACUGUGUCACUUUGUCAAAUUACUUAGGGUAAAAGCUCUGUGGCUAAAAACUUUUAACAUUAGUUGUAUGCUAAUUGAGAAGGACAAGACACGAAAGAAUUCAAUGAAUGCCACAUCAUGUAACACUAAUACUAACACUACUUACUCUUAACAAAUUCUUACAAACGUGAUUCAUGAAAUUAACUUGACUUUUUGUCUAAAAAAGGCCUAAAGAAACAUGCCAAGCAACAAAUAAAGUAGUCCAAACGUGAUUCAUGAAACUUGAUAGGCACUAUCUAAAUAGUAUUAAUAUGGCAACCAAAAACAUGCGCGCAAAGUAGACUUUCUUGGACGAUCCAUGCCAAUCAGCAUAUAAAGUAGUCCAAACGUGAUUCGUGAAACUUGACUUCUUGUCUAAAAAGGCCUAAAGAAACAAGACCAAAAUUUCCAUGCAAUAGCAAUAUGGUGGCCACAAUGCACUUUUUAAGCCAUUUUUCAAAACUAAGUUUCUUCGUAUCACAUGCACUAUUCAAGCAAUUUUUCAACAUUUUCUCCUUCCCCUAAAAGCUACAUGCAUGAAUCAUGUCCCAAUCAAUUUCUUGGCAAAAAUUGGAACGCAAGAACCGAUUGGAGCAUAAGGACAAUGUCGCGAUUCAAGAUUCUCAGCAAGACCACGUCACAAUGCAUCACUUUUGGAAAGUAAUUUAGCAAUUUCCAAUGCCUUAGCUGAUUAAUGGCUUGACCAUGUGACGAUUGGUCCACCUUAUGCACAUGGCAAGAUCAAAGAAAAUAUCACAGCUAGCUCGACGACUACUAGCCAAAAUAACAAGACAAUGACGGCCAGUUACAAACUCUAUACGAAGGAAAUACCGAAAUAUGAAUAUCCCUCCUAAUCACUUUCUUAUAUUAUCAUUAUUUUGUACAUGUAACAGAACACGUUCUCUCUUGUAAUGAAGUCAAGAAAACGGUUUUAGUUUUUAUAUCAAUAAUGGAAUCCAAAAUCUUUCACAGCUUGCUUCUCCUUUGGACGCUUGAAAGACUUUCUUACCUGGCUAAAACUGUGAAAAUUGUUCAAACUAAUUUGAUUGAUAACUUUCUGACACUAUAUUGUAUAUGAAGGCUGCAUUUAAAUGUGAAAUAAAAAUGAGUGCUUAUAUUAAAAAACAAUCAGUCUCAUUGCGUCCUCUUUCAUUGACAUAGGCAAUUUUGCGGUCAACUCGAGGAGUUGUUUGAUUUUAUGUUUCAAAUUAAGUACCAUAGCAUUACUACUUCUAUAAAUAACUCAUUUGAGCUUCGAGCUUGUUAUUUGUAUUUUACGUUUCUGUUUCUCUUCAUAAAGAUUUUUUUUUUUCAUUCUCUUUUUCUUCCACUUUCCCGACUCCCAAACACCACCAGUCUUUGAUUUUCCUAGAGUAUUAACUGUCUGUUUACACGAACAUAGACCGACUGUUUGUCUAAUUACUGACAAGAAACAGCAUACUCUGUCUCGGGGUCUCAUCGUUUAUUGACAUGUCACUUGUGAACGGGCUAAUUAAAGGGCGUUCCUUCCUUCAAGAAAGAAUGCCAAGAAAGUACCAUCCAUUAGACACGUUAAGAAUUAUUUAACAUUAAAAAUGAUAAUAAUCAUAAUAAUCGGUUUAGUGUUACCCCGUUAUUAGGUAAUGACUGUCCGAUUGUCUUCGCUUUCAUUGACUUCGCAACUGUGAAUUCUAAGCCGGGUUAAGGAUUGACAAAAUGUUAUAACCCAUAAACACUACAACAAACAGUUAUAUCACCGACGAAAUAUUUCCGAGGGCGUAAAAUACCUUUGAUAAUAAGUACUUUUUUCUAAGGUGUAAGAUGGCCGUCGGAUAAGGAUGAAAAUAUGAUCAAUAUUUCCGAGGGCAAUUUGCCCUUGGUGAUAAUGAAUACUUCGUCGAAAAUGCCUGCUAGACUUAACUAGAAGCACCCCAGAAUUUACACACUUCGGGCCCGGCCUUUGGAGUAGAGUACUAAAACCACAAGCCCGCAGCCAUAACUUCCACUAAUUGUUUUUUUUAAGAGUAGCGUACUUGGAAAUUUUUUUUCUUGUAAAUUUAAUUACUCUUGGUAAAAUUAAAAACCUAAAAGAAUGAAAUACAAAUAAAAAGCUAAGAAAAUACAGAAGAAACGAAAAAAUAAACAAAAGGAAAAAAAUUAAAACAGAAGGGAAAGUUCAAAAGAAAACGAAAAAGAACAAAGUUAAAGAGAACGAAUAAGAAAGAAAAAGAAGGGGAAAGUUCUUCAAUCAUUGCAGCGCAAGCACUCACAUCUCUCACUUUUCAAUUUCUCAUUGUCUAUUGCUCGCCCAAUCGCUUUGGUAAUUAUUUCACUGUUGCUUUCUCUAUUUGCGCUAGAUUUCAUCUUUUUUUUUUCCUUCAAUUAACUUAGGGUUAGGUUAUAGUUUCCAUCAUUGAUGAUGAGUCUGAAGGCUAAUUAUUUCUCUUAAGUUUGUAAUUGUUACCAUCUCUUGCAUAAUCGCUCACUCUAUGCUUCUAAUUUUGUUUUUAAUUUGUUUUUGCUGCUUCCGAUUUUGUUUUAGGCCAAAUGGUAGCUUCCUAUAAGUUCGGUGAAGCUAUUGCAUUUUUUUUUUUUUAAUUUUUAUUUUGGAGCCCUUACUUGUGAUGCUAAUUAUUUAGAAUUCAUUGUUUGUUAUCUGAUUUGGAUUAAUUUUAAUGAUCUUUUUGCUGGAUUUCAUUAAUUUUUUUUUCCAUUUUUAAUGUUAUGUGAUGCUAAGUAUGGACUCUAAAGGAUGUUGAUAUUUUUUAAUUUUGAGGAGUUGUAGGGAGAUGAAGUGAAAUAAACAUUUAGGGGGUCAUGUGUAUAUAGAAUUGUUUGAUAGAGCUAACAUGACUAAAAAAUGUAAGUUAAUGCUAUACUAAAGCGAUGGUUAACUUUGUACUUUGAAUUUUGCAGCAUGAAUUUAGUAUAUUGGUAUUUUCAUUUUAUGUGUACUAAAAAACUAAAAAGGAAGAUAAAAAUAGAUGAGUUACCAGGGAGAUAAAAUUCAAUCUGCGGUGAACUAGUUGUAUUUCUUUUUCUCCUUUUUUUUUUUUUUUGCCCCACUUUCUAUGCAUCCUCAUUUUAAAUAGUUAGUAUUGCUGGUAUUGGUUUUAUCAUAAUCAUAACUUGUGAGAUGAAUUUUGUGCUUAAUUUUUUUUUUGUUUUGUUGAAAGGGUGUAUAAAAUUUAAUAGUAAUAUCAAGAACAAGUUUCUUAAGCUUUGAACUGAAUAUAUAUUAAGCUUUUAAACUUUUCCUGGCUUGCUGCAAUGAUUUCUUUUCUAAGCUUUUCCUUCCUUGUUAAAGCACUUAUUCACAUGUUUCAGGCUUUGAUUGUUGUACUACUAUAUGAAGUAGCUCUAUGCUUUGUAGGGGAUGCCUUCUUGAUGAUAUUCUGCAGGUUAGAAUCUGAUUCUCUAAAAAUUCUUAUACAUGUAGAGAACAGGAGCUUAAAGAUGUCGUAGAACUUCAUGUAAAAAUUCGUUUUUCAGAUUGGAUGUCAGAGCUGAGGAGGGGAAUUUUUAAGAAGUAUCCAACUGUUGGAGAGCAUUAUGCACAUGCUCCUGAGAAUGUGCCUCCAAGAAUAUUGAGACAAAUGGUUGACAAAUGGAUGGAUGAGGGGUGGAAGGUACCAAUAAUGACUAUUAGCAUAAUAUUUUUCUGUCCUUUUCUUUCCUAAGCUUUGCUGUUAUUUUAAUUCAUCAGUGAAUUAUAGUUGCUAGAAUCAUUAUAGAAAUAGGAACUGAUAAAUCUUAUCCAUGUGCUUUGUACAUGAGUUGUUCUUGGCGGGUUUAGAAUAACCAAGUUGAUUUUAUGUUUUUUUUUAACUUAUAUAUAGAAAACAAGCACAACAAACAAGAGGAACCGAACCAAGUCCAAACUUAUUCACACUAUAUAUUCCUAUAUUUAUUUUUUUUUUGGCAUGAUUUCAUUACUAUAUGCACUCAGACAAAUGUAUGUAUUUAUUAUAGGAAACAAUGGAAUCAAUAUGAUCAACUGUUAUAGAUCAAGGCUUGUCAGUUGAUGAAUGGAAAAUAUUUCGAGAAGUAACAGGAGAACCAGCACAUGGUCGUGUUGUUGGUUGGAGAGCCGGCAUCAAAGGCAAGGAUGUGUAUGGUUCUCCAGGUCAAGGAGGUAACAAGCAUCAAUGUACUAAUUUGGAAGUGAAAGUAAAAGACUUAGAGAAGAAGUCAAGAAGUUGAAAAGACUGAUAAAGCUCGUUCUUGGAAAAUCCGCACAAGAAUCAUCUCAAAAGGUAUAGGUUGUUUAUUUCAUUUUAUUAAUAGAUUAAGUGAAUGAGUAUGUUCUAUGUUUUGAGUUCUCAUGGAAAAUGAUUGGUGACUUGUCAUUGCUCUGUUAGUUAAUGAACUGAAGUGAUUAUGGACAAGCUUAUAAUAUAGGUGGAUGAUUGAAUAAUUAUUAGAUUUUUUUUUUUUGAAACAGAGACUGCAUUUAUAUAGAGUUUUUUUUUAUUGCACAAUUUUUCUCAUUAGUCUCAGCUUCUUUAUUAUAUUUUAUACCAGUUUUUGUUUUGGUAAUAAUAGUGCUUAAAAUUUUUUCUUUUACCUAGGAUAUUGUUUUGACGGAAGAAGAUGACAGGUAUGAGGAUGAUGAAGUUGAGCCAAACGAUUUAGAAAUUGAAGAAGUUGCUUUAGAGGAUGAUUGAACACAUUCAAGAUAUGAUGAUAUCAUUUUGUAUAUACAUUUGGUAUUUUUUUGCAUAAAAGAUACGAUAAAAUUGAAUUUUUUGUUGUAUUCUUGAAUGAUGAAUGUGAUUUUAUGAAUUUUUAAAAUUAAUGAAGUUACAUUUAGUAAUUUCGAAUAUUAUUAUUACUUUUGUUACAUCACUUCUCUAAUAUAGAUAUUUCAACAAUAAAAAUAAAAAAAUUAAUGAAAUAUUAUUAUUAAAUAAAAUAAAGGGGGCCAUUAAACAACAAAAUAAGUUUAUUUUCGACGGUAUAUCUUUUAUUUCCGAGGGCAAGUUGCAGAUGAAAAUAAAAAUAACCAGGUUUAUUUAUCUUUUUUCCGAGGGCAUUUAAUUCCAUUUCCGACGGCAAUGCGCUCGGAAAUAAUUUUUUUCUCUGACGACUCGUCGGAAAUUCGACAUUUCCGAUAAGACUUAAUACGGCGACGGUCGACGGCAUACCACGCUCGAAAAUGAGUUUUUCUAAGGGUUUUUGUGUAUUUCCGACUCCGAGGGUAUUUGCCCUUGGAAAUGACCCAUUUUCUUGUAGUGAAAGCACAGAUAAUUAAUCAAUGGGCCACUGAUUUCUUCUUUCAUAAAAGAGAACUUUUCCAGGGAGAUUGGAAUAAAAGGCUAAUUCUUGGUAAAGAUCAGAAAGUUCUCAAAUAAAAAUUCGGCUUUGUGGAAAUUAAAUUAAAAGCAAUUAAGCAUUAUAAAUUACUUAACAGCUUAAUCGAGUUUGGUUUUGAAAAAUAUAUCUUUAAAUCUCUUGUAAUUAAAGAUAAUUAUCAUAUUACCGUCUCAAAUGGACCGAUUUCAAUCAAAUGAAAUCUAGAAAAUUGAGCAGCUCAUUGAUGUAUUUGGUGGAAUUGUGACUUGUGUCAGAGUCUUCGUUUUAGAAGAGUGCACAGCAGCUGCCAGGUCCACUUGGCAGUUGGCACGCCAAAAUUUUUCUGUUGACCAAUAAUUUUGAAAGGGAUAUUAUUAAUUCACUAUCAAAUAUUUUCGAACACAUCACUUUACUAUCAAAAUUUUUUGACAAUAAUUUUUUGUCAUUUAAUAUUUCAAUUUUUAUCAUUUUAUCAUUAAAAAAAUAGUAAAUACAUGCUUAGCGUAAGUUAUCCAUAAAAAUGGUUGUUGAAUUGUCUUGUUUCUCAUUUGGUUUAAUUUUCAUAAAUUCGACUCACACAAUUCAAUUAUGAGUGAAGAGUUUUUUUGGGAAAAAUCUGGUCUUCCAUGUACUAGAAUCAGGUCUGUUUGAUUUUAUUAUUUUUCUUUUGUUUGAAAUAUACGUGGAAAAUGUUGAACACUUUGUAGGAUUUAGAAGAAUUUGAAAGUUUGAAUGCAUAUAGUUUACUAUCGAUCAGCUAGUGCAUAUUCUGUAUUUUAUGAAAUCAAAGCUGGUUGAUUGAGAAAUGGACCUUAUUACAUGUCAUAAGAUUUUACAGUGCUUUCUAAUGGAGCAAAAUAAAAUGAUUCUUACCUGCACAGAAAAUUAGAAACGAAAAGGAGGGUUACUGAUCCACAGAGUUGUUAUUUACGAGAAGCACAUAGAUAUUACACUUAAUUUAUUAUCCAUCUGUAUUGUUUGGAUGACACUGAAGUAUUACCUAAAUUAGCCUUUCAAAACUUCUUUUUCAAAAAUCUAUGGUUGUGAUGCGUCUCUAUAAACUCACUCGUACAAAUUCUGUCUAAUGCCAAUUGUUUUAAACCCUGUUCUGAACAGAGCAUGAAAGGAUAUGUUCACUUAUCUAAUUAUGUUUUUUAUGCCUUCACUUCACUUGAUUCACCUUGUCCCUCUUUUAAAACAGCUGUAUAUGCUGGAGUGCCAAAUCCAUCACAAGGAUCAUAUUAUAUCCUACGGAAGGAGCACAGUUCAUUGGCUGCACUCAGUUUACAGAGUAUUUCGGGAUUCAAGACUGUAGGUUGUUGCGGAUGCAACUUGCAAGGCUGUUGCUGUGUGACUGUAUGCCACGCUGGCAAGUGUGCUCUGACAGAUUGUGGAGAUGGCACCAAAGAUUGUAAACUAAUUAGUACUGAAAAAUCAUAUUUGCACAUAAAAUUGCACAAAAUAAAUAGAUUGAGAAAAGUUGUACAAAGAAAUAAGAUUAAUAAAGUAAAUAAAUUUAUCUUUUAACAAAAUAUUUCUAGUCUUUUGGCGUUUUUGUGUAUUUUUGUGUAAGUGCAAAUAGCAUUACUCAUUAGUGAUUAACCUAGAGUGUUCUGAUUUCUUCUAAUAAGUAGCUCGUUUUAGCCUAGGACCUGUAAUUAUGUUUUACCUUUCUGUUACUUUCUCUUAAAUAUUAUCUCAGUUCUUUUCUUCUUUUCUUUCACUUUCUCUUCCAUUUUCCUGACUCCCAAACACCACCAAUCCUUGAUUUUCUAGAGUAUCAGCUAUCUAUUUCUACAAACACAAAACUGUUAUUUUUUUUUUUUUUUGAAGUCUGUUAUACACAGAUAUUACUGACAUUACAUCAGACAUUACAAUUAAUAUUUACAAUCAUACUAUAUAACUGGGAUUACCAUCAUACAUUGACACACUGAAGUAUAUGCUCAGAUAUUUUAAACCCUCUCUAAUAUUCGAGGGAUGCCUAUCCACUCACAUUUCGUGAGAGAGAGACUGUCUCCACUCAAUUAAUUGAUAAUUGAGGAAGAACUGAAACUAACCUCCAUAAUGCUUUUAUAGAGGCUCGAACCCUUACACUCAACAUUGUAAGUGCAAGGCUUCUCCCAUUGGACCAAAGGCCCAUUAGUACAAAAAAACAAAACUGCUAUUUACUUUCAAGAAAUAACAUAUUCUGUGGUUUAUUGGCUUAUGCCUCGUGAAUGGGGCUAAUGUUGGUCUAACUACUCCCGUGAAACAACGUACUCUGUGGCUUAUUGUCUCCUCUUCCAUUGACUCUGCCAAUUCACGACUUUGACACGCACACUAGAUGCUAACUGCCUUCUCCAUUCGACGUGCAAAAACUUUCUUGAGUCGGGUUAAAAUUAAUUGAUCAUUUUAUUUGGUGAUAAUGACUUAGUUGUCAAGUCAUGAGUUUGAUGAUGAAGAGGACGAAAAAUAUUAUUUUAUUAUUUAAAAUAAGACUAUCAAUUAUUUCGAUGGUCAUCUUAUUUUCUAAAAUAACUAAAUGGAAUCUUACAGAAUUAAAGUGCUUGACGUCUUCAUACCUUGCUUGACUUCUUUUUACAGAAUUAUAAAGUGAAAAAGGAAAUUAAGAAAUUAAAUACUUUUCAUGCGAGUGGAGAAGAUUGGGUAGCGAUUACAUUAAAUAAAAGAAAAUUAAUUUAAAAGUACAACACUUUAAUAAUCUCAUUCCCAAUCAUAUCGGUACAAAAAUUCUGUAGAUUUAUUGAAUAACUAUUUAUUUUACUUUGGUAAUUUCUUUCUAAAAGUGAGGUAAACAUUUUUAUUUUCUUUGCAUUCGAGCUUUCUUUCUUUUGCGCUGGCCUUCACUUUUGACCGUAUUUCAUGGGGCACAUUCAAUCUGAAUUUUCUGCAAGUUUGUGGCAGUUUUGUUAAUUACGAACAUUUGUAGGAUUUUAUGUAGAUGAUACAUUUUUCUUUUCUUUUUUUCUUCGGUGAACAAAUUAAAAUUUUAGUUUUUGUCAUCAUGACUAGUGAAAUGAAAAUAGUCCUCAUUUCAAGGAUAUACCGAUUAAUGGGGAACUAAUUUCGUCCUCUUAAAAAAGAAUUAUUUGCAGCGUGGUAAUUCGGAGAUUUCUGUAUUAUAUAGCCAAACCUAAGUGAUGAGAAAAAUGAGAAAUAAUUUGGAGGGAAACAAAAAAACUAAUUCAAGUUAAAGACCAGGAAUUGGUGUUCCUCACAAAAACAAUAAUUCAAGCCUCGCAAUAAUUUUUUUGAUUUAUUUAAAAAAAAGUUGUUUUCCUCACAAAACAUUUCAACGUCUAUUCUCUCGUACAGGGGAAUAUCCUUCACUCUUUGGCGUAUCCCUGGGGCAAUGUAAGUUGACUUUACAUUAAAACAAAAAAUAAUUACAAUCACAUAAUUACAAUUAUCAUCACUGAUUUGUAUAAUUUUCAGGACUAGUAAAUUAUCCCAAUUUUUAAAAAACAUAAUUACAAUUAUCGAUCGAACACCACUAAUUCCAACAAUUCAUCCAAGUUUUUCAACUUUUUAGAUAUUUGAUAUAUGUCAUGUUUUAACUUGGUACGAGAAAAAAAUUAUAGAAUAUUUUUUUUUCAAAUUAGUGGAAUUAUUUUGCGAUAAAACUAUCACAAUCACAUUUAAAAACAUUCUUUAAAUUUUCACUAUUUCUACUGUUAUUCUUUAAACUUUUUUCUGAACAGAGCAUGGAGGGUCGCUUAUCUAAAUAUGUUUUCUGAGCUUUCACUUCACUUGAUUCAUCUUGUCCCUCUUUUAUAGCUUCUAUCUCGUGUGAGCUUAGAACCUGCAACUCGUAUUUUACGUUUCUGUUACUUUCUCUUUCAUUUUCCCGACUCCCAAACACCAUCAGUCCUUGAUGUUAUAGAGUAUUAGCUGUCUAUUUGUACAGACAUAGAGCUACUGUUCCCACUGUAGAUCUUCAGAUGGUUAGCUCACUAUUGUUUGAAUAUUAAAAUUAAUUUGUUAAAUAAAUAAAGAAAACAAGAGACAAUUGCCAUAUAUAUUCCAUAUUAAUUAGUCACCGUCCGAUUGUCUCCACUUCCAUUGACUCUGUUGAUUCAUGCUUUCAUGAAGUGAAACGCUUAACACUCUGUUCUGAUCCGCAGGAGAGGAGGAAAAACAUAAUUUUAUUAUUUCAUUCCUGACACACGCAAAGAGCUUUCUUAAUUGAUGAAUGUGACAUGAAGCUCUAUAAAUAGUUUAAUUUGUAAAAUUGUUAAAAUUUGUUAAAUUUCAUUUAAUUGAUGAAUGUGACAUGAAGCUCUAUAAAUAGUUUAAUUUGUAAAAUUGUUAAAAAUUUAAAUUUCAAGGUAGAUAAAAUGAUUAACUUUUUUCAAUAUUUAGAUAAUUAACAUGUGCCAUGUAACUAUGAAUGAAUGAAUGAAAUUUUUGAAGUGCGAAUCCAUUUACAAGUUACAGACUUGUCUUAUUUCUCAUUUUACUUAAUUUUCAUAAAUUUGACUCACGAUCAAUUAUGAGUGAAGAGUUUGUUGGAAAAAUAUGGUAUUCCAUUUAUUGUAAUCAGAUGAGUGUGAUUUAAUUAUUUUUUCCUUUUGCUUGAUGUCCCGAAAAUUAUGAAUACUUUGUAGGAUGCAGAAGAUUAAAAAUUUUAACGCAUAUCUAUAGUCAAAACUGAGGAAACAGAACAUUAUUGCUUCUAUAAAUAGGUCAUUUCAACUUAAAACUUGUUACUUGUAUUUUAUAUAUUUUUUUUUUAACUUUUUCUUCCAUUUUCCCAAACACCACCAAUCCUUGAUUUUUUUCUUAGAGUAUUAGCUGUCGAUUGUUAUAAACGUAGACAUACUGUUUGUCUAAUUACUAUCAAGAAACAACAUACUCUAUCCUGGGGUCUCUUCGUUUAUUUAAUAUUUAGGUUUAUUAAUAUACUAUAUUAUUAAUUAAAUUAAUUAAUAUUAAUUAAUAAUUUAAAUUAAUUAAAUAAUAAAAGUUAAAUGAUUAUAUUGAAAAUCCAAGUAGUAUUUUAAUGUAAUGAAACCUAAAUCCCACCUCUAUACCACAUUUGUUACACAAUGUAAUUAUAUAAAAAUAAUAUUUUAAUACAAUAUAAUACAAGUAUAAGGCUGUGUAAGGCUGUAAUAUUAAUUAGCCUGUGUAAUAGUAUGCCAUGCUGGCAAGUGUGCUAUAACAGAUUGUCGAGCUGGCACCAAUUAUUUUAAACUAAUAUUAGUAAUUAGUUUAGAGUGUUUCGAUUUAUUCUAUAAAUAGAUCAUUUAAGCUUUGAACCUGUGAACUUGUAACGUGUACUGUACUUUUCUAUUACUUCUAAUAAAGAUUUUCUCUAUUCCUUUUUCUUUCACUUUCUCUUCUGUUUUCCCGACCCUCAAACACCGUCAAUCCUUGAUUUGAACUACUGUUUGUUUGUCUAAUUACUUUCAAGAACAAUACCCUCCAUCCCGCGGUCUCCUCGUUUAUUGACUUGUUACUUAUGAACAGGGCUAAAUAAAGGGCAAAUAAGAUGUUGGGCCAAUGGACCCAACGUCACAGAUCUUGAAUUGAUUGCCUCUUCUUUUCUCUACAAAUCUUUGCUUAAUUUUUAUGUUUCCUCAACUUUUUCCCCCCUUUUGUGCUAAAAUUAUUUUUCUGAUACUUUAUGCAAAAAAUAUGAUGAAAAUGAAUUAGUUUAGAUUAUCAAUAAAUUUUUAUUACAUUCAAGAUAAGGACAACUACUCUUAGAUCACUUUUAUUUAGUUGAAUUAUAGGUAAUAAAAUUGGUUUUAACAAAAUAUGAUUCUUAACCCUUGUAAUUAAAGACUGGUGUUAUUUAGUUUAGUUGUAACACCAUGCAACAGGUCAUCUUGGUGGGUUCAAAUUAAUAUACGAUCAUUCUCAAUAUUUAAUAGUUCGUAAUUAAAAAUUCCAAUAUCACAAUUAGAAUUUACAAACAUGUCAAAGUGAGUUAAAUCAAACCUAUAAAUUUAAGGUUUACUACAAGCUUCUAACAAAUUAAAAUUUAAAAUGAUUAAUUAAAUGCUAGACAAUAUUUAGCUUAUAAAUGUUCCCGACCACAUGAUGAAUGUACUUAAAACAUCCUAAUUGGUCGCUAAUUGAUUGGUUGUUAUUUUUUCAAUUUCUUUUUAUAUAUCUUUGAAGCUUCUAGUUUCAUAACAUGUUAUUUGCAAUUCGUGUAAAUUAUUAUUUUUUAAAUAUUAGAGCAACAACCAGUAUAAAAAUAAAAUGCACUCAUUUAAUGGAAAUUUUUCUAGAUGCUUCAAUGGCAGAAUCUCAUUGGUCUAUAACUCUCAAUAAAUUUUUCUAGAUGAUUCAAGAUUCAAUUUCAAACCAAUGCCGAACAAACAGUAUAAACCUUAAUAAGAUAGUUGAAUAACCAUCUCUUACGUCGGGUGACCGAAUAACCAUCGCUUACGUCGGAAUUUAAACUUAAACAAAGCUACAUCCCACGUGUUCCCCACUUUCUUCAUAUUUCCAAAAAACCCCUACCAGAUCCAGAUAAUCACCUUAACUUUUCUCGUAUAAAUAGAGAAGACGACGACGAUUCCUGCAAAGCCAGGUGAGUCACGUGAACGUUACGGCCAUGGGACAUUGGAAUUGGAUCAAACCACUGGAAUGCACAGCAAAAUUAACCCGAAUAAACUAGGUUGAGUUAAGAAUUACUUUUCUUUUCAUAAUAAAUUAGAUUGAGUUAAUAAUAUUUGCCUGUGUGAAAUGAAUAAUCAGUUUAGUGUCACCCCAUUAUUAAUUUGUGACUGUCCGAUUGUCUCCUUUUUCAUUGACUUUGCAACUGUGACUUCUGAACCGGGUUAAGAGUUGACAAAAAUGUUAAUGUUAAUAUGUUAUAAUUCAUAAAACACGCAUAAUUAAUUAAUGGCCCACCAAUUUCUUCUUCUCAAAAGAGAAUUUUUGCAGGAGAUUGAAAAAAGGCUAAUUCAUGUUAAAUAUCUUAGAUGAGUGUCUAUCACGGAUACAAGUCAAGCCACACGAUUUUUCUUGUUAUACUAUUUGUUGGCACUUGUGAAUCCUUGAAUUAUCAAAUGAAUAGCAACAACACUUCAAUAUCUAUUGUUACACGGAGAGAAAUCCGUUCUCUCUUUGAUGUACUACUUGGCAAUAUACAUUGAUCUUUCACUAAAACAAGCAUUCUCAUAUUGUUGAGAAAAACUCACGUUAAACUAUUCAAUUUAAUCAUUUAUUAAACGGAUAUUUGGUUUGAUUCAUUUUAUUCAUUUAGUAGAAUUAAUAAACGAAUCGAAUCGAAUCCAGAUUCAUUUAUUCUAUUACAAAUCUACAACGAAUUGAAUCGAAUCGAAUCAGAAUUCAUUUACAAUUCGUUUAGAAAAAUAUAAUUGAUAAACAAAAUUAAGCAAAAUAAAAUAUAAAAAAGCCGCAAAUUUAAUACCACUUCCUACACCAUAUUCCUAAUUAGCUAGGGAUAGUCUACCAUGCAAUGGCUGCUGUCUUCAUUAAAUAAAAUAUGUGCUUUUAUACGCCCUCUCAAAGAAUAUCGAUCUCCUCAAGACUUUACAUAUUUGUUUUUGAAUAUAAACACUUGUUCACUUCUACAUAUUUUUUUUUAGCUACAUCCAUAGAAUUGCUCUAGCCUCUACGUUGGACAUAGCUGCUGUCUUAAUUAAAUAAAAUAUGUACUUUCAUACGCCCUCUCAAAGAAUAUCGAUCUCGUGGAGGCUUUACAAGCUUCGGUGGGAUCUUUAGAAAACGUCUCGACGACUCAAAAGACUACACUCCCACUUUCAAAAGUGGCACGAUUUGAACUUAUCCUGCCAACCUUCUAGAAGAGUAGUGAUAAACUUCAAGAUCAUUCUUUUAAUUUUCUCCCUUUUAACAUUUUGGUUUCAGGUAAGGACCAAUCACUUGGACACUUCAAUUUUACUUUUGGACCUUUCUUAUAAUGACAACACCCUCCAUCCCUCGGUCUCUUCGUUUAUUGACUUAUUACUUGUGAACAGGACUAAAUAAAGGGCAAAUAAGAUGUUGGGCCAAUGGACCCAACGUCACAUAUCUUGAAUUGAUUGCCUCUUUUUUUCUCCAUAAAUCUUUACUUAAUUUUUAUGUUUCCUCAACUUCCCCCCCCCCCCCCCCCCUUUUGAUGAAUUAUUUUUCUGAUACUUUAUACAAAAAAUAUGAUGAAAAUGAAUUAGUUUAGAAUAUCAAUAAAUUUUUAUUACAUUCAAGAUAAGGACAACUACUCUUAGCUCACUUUUAUGAAAUUCGUUACUAGAAAUUUGUAUAAAAGUCGUGAGAAUAGAAAUUUUGGUAAAACAAAAGUCGCGGGCUUAUUUAGAAAAAAGAAAAAAUUACAUUCUAUUUUCCAAUUACUAAGGUCAGCCUUAACACAUGCCGGUCUUUUUCUCCUCUACUUUCUAGAAAUUUUGGUUUCACUAUAAAAACUCGGUAUAUAACAAACUUAUGAGUGUUCUUGCAUUACCAAUCCAACUAAGCACACGCUUACAAUCUAAAAUACUCUCAUCUCAUGGAAAGAGUUCAUUCUCUCAGGAUGAUGAGCAUAUUUCUCCUACUCCAUUGUUUGAUUAUUAUUUCCUUAUUUAUCGCAGCAACAACAGCCAACACAAGUUCUAAUAUCACAGACCGAGAUGCUCUGUUAGCCCUGAAAGCUCACAUAACUCAUGAUCCGACCAAUUUCUUGGCCAAGAAUUGGAACACAAGUACUCCUGUCUGUAAUUGGACAGGCGUCGCUUGUGACAUCCAUAGCCAUAGAGUCACAGUCUUGAAUAUUUCAAGCUUAAAUCUCAGAGGCACCAUCCCAUCUCAACUUGGGAAUCUUUCUUCUCUGCAAUCACUCAAUCUCAGUUGUAACCGACUUUCUGGUUCCAUUCCCUCCGCCAUCUUCACCAUAUACACACUGAAAAAUGUUAGUCUCGGUAAAAAUCAGCUCUCUGGGCAAAUUCCUACAAAUAUUUGUAGUAAUCUUCCUUUUCUUGAAUUUCUUUCUUUGUCCCUAAACAUGUUCCAUGGCGGAAUACCGUCCACUCUAUCAAAUUGCACAUAUUUAAGAAUCUUAAGUUUGGCAUACAAUGAUUUCUCGGGAGCCGUACCUAGAGAAAUCGGUAACUUGACCAAACUUAAGGUAUUAUAUAUUGGCGCGAAUAGACUCCAAGGUGCGUAUGGUCAUGGAGUUUAAUUAUAAACAUUGUUCCAUGAGUUGUAAUAUGAAUAAUGUUCCAUAAUACACUUCUGAGCCCGAAAUCCUUUCCUUUCCUCCUUGACUCUCCUAUCGUCGAGCUAAGUGACUCUGUCAUGCCGCUUCAAGUAAUACAAACGUUGAUUAAUUUGCAGGAGAAAUUCCUCGAGAGUUUGGCAAUCUUACCGAAUUGGAGCAGUUUUCGUUACCAACAAACAAUCUCCAAGGUAUGAUUUUAAACUUUUUGCAAUUUUAUUCUAGCUCUGCUUGCUUCUGUAUUCAUUCGUUUGUUCAUUAAUUAUGCUAUGAUUUAUUGUUUUUCUUUCAAAUAGAGAUAAAGCUCCAUGUCUCCCCUCACUCAUUUCGUUCUUUGAUUUAUGCAGAUAAAAAUAAAAAAAAAUGUUUUGUAAUUUUCUUUUGUCAUAUUGCCACUUCCCUUUUAAAGCUCCCAAUUAAGUCGAUGAAAAUGAAUGAUGCUUCAUUCGUAUUCUUGUCAGCCUAAUUCUUAUAUAAUUGAAGAGUAAAUUGUUAUUAUGAUAUUCGUCAGCCAAUAAAUUCUUUUUUUUUUCUCAAAAUAUGAGUGAUCAAAUUGUUUGCGCAUAUAUAAUUUUACUUAAUUUGCAGGAGGUAUUCCACAGGAAUUGGGGAAUCUUGCAAAAUUGGAGAUUUUACAGCUGUUCCAGAAUAACUUGACCGGUAACCAUCUUUACUAUAUAUAUAUGAGACAUCUUCCGCUUCUUAAUUAAAAGAUUUCAAGUCUCUCAUUAUAAAUUCUCAUAUGAGGAUAUGUCAUUACUACAAUCUAACAUUAUUCCCUUUUUUAUUAGAAAUUAGUUUGUGUUAAUUCAAAAUUUUGUAACAUUUAAAAAAAAAUUAAAAACACGUGGAAUAAAUCAUCAAUCUUUCUUCUUUAUUGAAUUUGGAUUUCUCAAAAAUUAUCUUGACAAGUAUACUUCACUAAUGAUAUGCAUGUGUGACAACUUCAUAAAAUAUUUUACAUGGAGUCACCAAUUAUCUUUAAAUAAUUGGAGAUGCCAUCAGUGAUACAUAAUUUCUUAACAAGCACCAUAUCAAAAGAAAUCAACAAUUUUAUUAAUCUUCAAGAGUUGCAUCUUCACUGCAAUUAUGACAUAAAUUUUUAGUCAUCAAUCGCAUAAUAUUUUAUGUUAACGGAUGAUGUUCAGUCUUGGAAUUUAUAAUACCUUGAAGGUUAGUAGCUUUGAAAAUAAGAACUGUUCAUUUGCUAAAAAGUUAACUUAGUAUUUAAGUUUUUCAAUUGAAAAUUUUGAAAAAAGUCUUGAGAACUGCCCUCCUUAGUAUUUCAGCUGAUAAAUAUGAAAAAUAGGCUAGAAGAAAUAUUGUUGUGUGUGCUUAUUCUACUUGGGCUUUGGGCUUGAUUACAAGGUCGAGCCUUGAUUACAAGGUCGAGCACUUACACCUGUCAUAAUAAUAGGCUUUUACUGUCACCACACGUUUAAUAAUUUCUUAACCUUCCGAAUUAAGUUAUAGCAAUUUAUAUAUAAAUAACUAAAGCAUACUAAUGCUAGCACAAAGUACUCAUGACUUAGGCUUGUUGUGUUACCUAUUACACACGGUCGAACACUUACAUCUAUUAGAAUAACAAUAGCAUCCGCGGAUCGACUAUCAGUGAUCAAAUUGUUUGCACAUAUGUAAUUUGCAGGACCAAUUCCACGGGAGUUGGGAAAUAUUACAGGAUUGGGGAUCUUAGCGCUGUCUGAUAAUUUUUUAACCGGUAUCAUUCCUUCAUCUAUCUACGAAUUGCUUUUCUCUAUUAAAUUUGGAACUGUCAUUUAAUAACUUAACAGGUAACUUCCCUUACAAAAUGUCUGUGUGACAUGUUUUGCUUCUAAAUUAAAAUAUUUCGCGUCUCUCAUUAUAAAUUCUCAUAGGCGGAUGUAUUGUUACUACUAUUUAACAUUAUCUCAUUUUUUUAUUAGAAAUUAAUCUGUGUUUAUGCAAAAAAAUUUAGCAUCUAAAAAAAGUAUAAAAACACGUGGAAUAAAUCGAAAAUCUUUCUUCAUUACUGAAUUCGGAUUUCUCAAAAAUUAUCAUGAGAACUUCAUAAAAUAUUUUACAUGGAAUCAGUAAUUAUCUUUAAAUAGUUGGAGAUGCCAUCACUAAUAAAUAGUUUCUUAAAAAGCAUCAUACUAAAAGAAUUCAAUAAUUUUAAUAAUCUUAAAGGGUUACAUCUUCACUGCAAUUAUGACAUAAUUUUUUAUCUAAAUAUAUUUUUAGUCAUCAAUCGCAUAAUAUUUUAUCUUGACGGAUGAUGUUCAAUCUUGGAAUUUAAAAUAUCUUGAAGGUUAGUAGCUAUGAAAAUUAGAAAAUUUUUAUUUGCUAAAAAAUUAACUUAGUAUUUAAGCUUUUCAAUUGGAAAAUUUGAAAUAAAUGUUGAGAACUGGCCCUCCUUAGUAUUUCAGCGGAUAAAUAUGGAAAAUAGGCUAGAAAAAAUUAUUUUACUGAAAUAAUAGUUAAAAAUAGAGGAGAAGUACAGUACUCAUGACUUAGGCUUGCUGUGUACUUUUUUUUACUUGGGGUUCGGGCUUGAUUACACACGGUCGAAUACUUACACAACUCCCCCCACAUAGGGUUUUACUUUCAUCCCACAUUUGAUAAUUUCUUAACCUUCCCAAUUAGAUUAUAGCAAUUUAUAAAUAAAUAAAUAACUAAAGCAUACUAAAGCUAGCAUUGAUGGAUGGAUGAGUGGUGUCAAAAGUGUAUCUGUUUUUAUGUAUUAUUGUUCCCUGAUACAAAUCUAAAUAAUGGAAAAUAUAAAUUUAAUACUUUAUUUAAUACUCUGUUAACAUUUUAUCUAUAUAUAAUAAUUAAACUGAAACUCGUACUUAAAAAAAUUUUGGUUACGCAUAUUCAUUUCAUGAUAAAAAAAUGUCUAUUUACACUAAUUUACCAUUAUCAAUAAAAUGCUUUGAGACAAAUAAUCUAAUUUAUAUUAGUAUAUUUAAAAUACUUGCAUUUAUUAUAUUUUGAAAAAAAACUAUUUGCAAUUAUUUUAAACCUUUGAAUUCAAAUUUUCUUAGUUAUUAAAGUCAAAGGGUAUAAAUGUAUAAUAGUCAAAAACAGAUUUGUAUGAUCAUUUUUCAAUGUAUAAAUUUUCUUAGUUAGUAGGAAAUUAAAAAUUGUUGAUUUACUCAUAAAUGAAUUUAGUGUUUAGCAUUUCAAUUUUGGAAAACUUGAACUAAAUGUUGAUAACUUCGAAUCCAUCGAGCCAAGUUUCGCUUCCUUGACACACAGACCCAUUCGAAUUGAGUUUCCAAGUGCUUAGAAAAAGCAUUUCUUUUCCAUGUCACUAUAAUUUAUUCACAAAAGAGUUGAUUAGCGUCGAUGUUGCUGCAGAGUCUGAGACCAUGUUAGUAGGAGAAAUUUGAAAAGAAAUUAUUUUACUAAAUUAACUUAUUUUAUCUUGCUGUAACUGAAAUACUACCUUUUUUUUUUUUUUGUUAUCACUGGGGCUUGAUUUACUUUAAUAAUAGCAGCCACAAGCUUAGGCUUUUUUACUUUUCACCACACAAUUUGAUCUUUUAAUUCGUUUUAACCACAUAAUCUAUCUAUCUCACACCUAUUGCUUACUUAAAUCGCAUACAUAUUUUACCUACUAAUUUUUACAAACAUUAGUGAAAUAUAUUUUAUUACAUUUCGCUUGUAACUGCUCUAGUUGUGCACUAUUAAUACUUAACCCUCCCUUUUAAUUUACCGUGCAAUCUAUCAACAACUUAAAUUACAUAUAUAUUUUAUCUAUAUUUUUCCCGAAAAAAAAUAUAAAAAUAACAGAAAAAGAAUAUGUGUAGCAAUUUGUAUGGAACUAACAAAGCAUUAACGGUGUGUAGCCUUUCAAUACUUCAUGAGUGGCUUUUCUUGUGUGUUAGUACUAGUAAUAAUUGUGUAGUGUAUAAAUGACCUUUUAUUAUUAAAGCGCGUCCGUUGUUAGAUAUUAUUUAUUAUUUGAAAAAUAAUCUGAAUAUAAUUCUUUCAAAAUACAGGGGAGAUACCAACUGAAAUCAGUAAUCUCCGUAAUCUGGAGGAGUUGGACCUUGCUCGAAACAAAUUAGUUGGUAUUGUCCCAGCUGCAAUCUUCAAUGUGUCAACACUCCAGCAUCUUGGUCUUCAAGAUAAUUCUCUCUUGGGAUGUCUUUCGUCCAACGGAGACGUCCGACUUCCAAAUCUUGAAGGGCUUUAUUUGUCGGGUAAUAAUUUCAGUGGCACAAUUCCUAGAUUCAUCUUUAAUGCUUCUAAGCUCUUUAAGCUAUCGUUGCAAAGGAACUCAUUCUUUGGUUUUAUUCCCAACACAUUUGGCAACUUAAGAAACCUUAAGUGGCUGUCUUUAUAUGAUAAUUAUUUGACAUCUUCAACUCCAGAAUUGAGCUUUCUAUCCUCGUUGUCAAAUUCCAAGUCUUUAACAUUUAUUGACUUAUCAAAUAAUCCACUAGAUAGCGUUCUUCCAAAGACAUUUGUCGGUAAUGUUUCUCAUUCUUUGGAAUUCUUUGUCAUGUCGUAUUGUAACAUUAGUGGCGUCAUCCCUGAAGAGAUCACCAACUUGACCAAAUUGACAACCAUUAUUUUAGGAGGCAAUAAAUUGAAUGGAUCAAUUCCGAUUACUCUCAGCAAGUUACAAAAGCUUCAAUAUUUGGGUCUUGACGAUAACAAAUUAGAAGGAUCAAUCCCAGACAGUAUUUGUCGUUUAGCUGAACUGUAUGAUUUGGAGUUGGGUGGUAAUAAGCUAUCUGGAUCAAUCCCUGCAUGCUUCAGUAAUCUGGCUUCUCUGAGGACACUGUCGUUGGAUUCCAAUGAGUUAACUUAUAUUCCCUUAACUUUUUGGAACCUUAAGGAUAUCUUGUACCUCAACUUUUCAUCAAAUUUUUUGAUUGGUCCACUCCCAUUAGAGGUUGGAAAUUUGAAGGUUUUAGUUGGAAUUGAUUUUUCGAUGAAUAAUUUUUCAGGCGUUAUCCCAACAGAAAUUGGAGGCCUACAAAAUCUAGAAUAUCUCUUCUUAGGAUAUAACAGAUUGCAAGGAUCGAUUCCUGAUUCAUUCGGUGAUUUGAUAAGCUUGAAAUCAUUGAAUUUGUCUAAUAAUAAUCUCUCUGGGGCUAUUCCUGCAUCUUUAGAGAAACUCUUAUAUCUUGAAGAUCUAAAUCUUUCUUUCAACAAACUAGAAGGAGAAAUUCCUAGGGGAGGGUCUUUUGGAAACUUCUCAGCUGAAUCAUUUGAGGGAAAUGAAUUAUUAUGUGGUUCACCCAAUUUACAAGUCCCGCCAUGUAAAACUAGCAUCCACCACACAUCAUCAAAAAAUUCUCUUCUCCUGGGGAUCGUCUUGCCAUUGAGUACUACAUUUAUGAUAGUAGUCAUUUUGUUGAUCCUAAGAUAUCGACAGAGAGGAAAACGACCAUCGAAUGAUGCUAAUAUACCACUAGUAGCAACAUGGAGAAUGUUUUCAUACCUAGAACUCUGUCAAGCAACAGACGAAUUCAGUGAAAAUAAUCUAAUUGGCAAAGGUGGUUUUGGCUCUGUUUACAAAGCAAGACUUGGGGACGGGAUGGAGGUUGCAGUGAAGGUUUUCAAUUUGCAAUGUGGAAGAGCAUUUAAGAGUUUCGAUAUUGAAUGUGAAAUGAUGAAAAGUAUUCGCCAUCGAAACCUUAUCAAAGUUAUUAGCAGUUGUUCAAAUGAAGAGUUUAAAGCGUUGGUAUUAGAAUACAUGCCUCAUGGAAGUUUGGAGAAGUAUUUGUAUUCAAGUAACUGCAUUUUGGAUAUUUUUCAAAGAUUGAACAUAAUGAUAGAUGUUGCAUCAGCUUUGGAAUAUCUGCACUUUGGUCAUUCAGCUCCAAUAAUUCACUGUGACUUAAAGCCCAGCAAUGUAUUGUUAGACGAUAAUAUGGUUGCUCAUUUGAGUGAUUUUAGCAUCGCAAAAUUGCUAACAGGAGAAGAUCAAUCUAUGACUCAUACACAAACACUUGCAACAAUAGGCUAUAUGGCACCAGGUUUGUUUAAUAUAAGUUAUUUAUAUUUCAUGAUCUUGAUUAGAUGAGGAAAUUAUUAUUAAUGAUAUAUCUUACUAUGUAAUUGUUGCAAUUCAUAGAGUAUGGAAGAGAAGGACGAGUAUCCGCAAAUGGAGAUGUUUAUAGCUUUGGGAUUAUGUUAAUGGAAACAUUUACUGGGAAGAAACCCACAGAUGAAAUGUUUAAUGGAGAAAUGACAUUAAAGCAUUGGGUUAAUGAUUGGCUACCCAUUUCCACUAUGGAAGUUGUUGAUGCUAAUUUGCUAAGUCAGGAGGACAUACAUUUUGUUGCAAAAGAGCAAUGUGUGUCAUUUGUCUUCAAUUUAGCUAUGAAGUGCACUGUGGAAUCCCCUGAGCAAAGAAUCAAUGCAAAAGAAAUUGUAGCAAAACUCUUAAAAAUUAGAGACUCAUUACUUAGAAAUGUUGGAGGCAGAUGUAUAAGACAAUCAAAUUUAAAUUGAUUCUGCCCCUCCUUCAUUGCUUGCUAUCCUUUUCAGAGACUUGAACAGUUAUCCUCCAUAGAAGUUUUGCUGAUAUGUUUUGUUAUUGCUCUUGCUCAUGUUUAUUUCUCUCUUUCUUUAAUUUGCAUGCGUGCAUUUUAGUUCUCUUCCAUGUUUGUGUUGGUUUAUAUGUAGUUUGUUUUUUGGGAUAUGGUUUAUUAUGUCCUCACCCUAAUUAGAUGUAUCCUUUUGAUUUUUAUCAAUAAAGCUUCGCUAGUACUAUCGAGGUUAAUCGAAAGAAAAUUUUCAAUUGAUUUUCUUUUCUUUGACUAAUAAUGGAAAUUCUAAUCUUUAUAGUGAAUAACUUCAAUAAUAGAGUGUAAGAGUAUUAGUAGUUGUGGUUGUUUUCUGAACUUGGAGUUAGAGUAGUUUAACAGCAACAAAUAGGUCUCUUGUAUUAUAGGCAAAAUUCUUUUCAUUAAUCUUAUUUGUCUACAUUUUCUCCUAUUUUCUUCUUUAAUCUUCGCUCAAGGUUUCAUGCUUCCAUUUUGACAUGUGAGAUUGUUUGUCAUCCAUUUGCUAAAAUGGAUAUGAGAGGAGCUUUCAAUCAUUACCUCCACCAAAAUCCUUACAAUGCAACUUUUAAAUUUAUUUUUUAAAAUACGUUCAGUUUAAUUUAUAAAAAAUAAAUCCAUUUGUUAAAAUUAAUCUUUUUCUCAUAGAUUUCAACCUAAAAAAUAUAUUUCUUUUAAGUUUUUAUUUUAAAAUACAUACAAGUUCUAAACUAUUAAAUUAUUUUUUUCUUAUUAUAUAGUUUAUAUUUCCAUAACUCUAAACUCCUAUAAUUUUUAAAAAAUAUAUUUUUAAUUUAAAAUAUGAAUAUAAAAUAUAGAAUGGAGUGGGUAUACAAAGUUUUGUUAAAAGAAUAAUUCAUUUAAGUAUUUAGCUGAAUUUUAAUUUAAAAUAAGAAAUAAAUUAAUUUAUUUUUUAUUAGUUAAGUAAUUUUUAAUUGAAAAGAGCUUAUAUUAUGGACAUAUGAUUAAAAUUAUCAUGAAUUAAACAUUUUCAUAUAAAUACUAGUGAUAAUUACAGAGAAAGUACGAUGAACCGAGGAAAACUUGAAUAGAAAUACUCCAAUGUAAUUUUACACAUGCAAAUUAUGAACCAGUGAUCUUUAGAGCAUCAUAAAAUUAUUUUAACACAAUUAGUUAGUUUGAAAAAUUGCCAAUAAUGUUUAAAGUGGGAUUGAAAAGAUUAUACUAAAAAUAUAAGACAUGAUAUCAUUUAAGAGCUUACAGAUUAUGAGAAAUAUAUUGAUCUUACAAAUAAUAUAAAAUAUGUCAAUUAGACUGAGUCUAUGCAAUAAAAGUUUCAAAUUAAAAAAUAAACCUUUAUUUUCUUUUAAUCAUUAAUGUGAUCUUAAUUAUUAAAGUCAUUCAAUGUCCAUUACUUAUUUAUUUUUUUAAUUAUUUAAAUGACAUUGAAAACUCUACUCAAUAUUAAUUCAUUCUAGUGUUUUGUUUUAAAGUAAUCGGAAACUACAAAUGAAACAAAUGCUUGAAAUCACAAAUGGCCUAAAAUUAGAUUUUUAUUUCUUAAUGUUGUAGUGACUUUGAUCUUGAUAUUGAAAAUUUAUUUGUAACUUAUAUAAAGGCCUCGAUUUUAUCAUAAUUGAUUAGUAAGGCUAUGUACGGGAGCAUGGAUAAAUUUUGAGAUUGGAUUAUAUUUUUGGAACUAAAAAAUUAAUUUCAUCCAAUGUUAUGUAUAGCUGUUGGGACUAGCAAAUUAGUCUAAAAUUAUUGAAAUUAUUAGUCUUUUAAAUUAUAAUUUUUUCGUUCCCACUUUAAAAACAAAAAAUAUUUUGGUGGAAAACUGUACAAUGAUUAAAAACAAAAAAUUAUCAUUUUCCAAUGUUUACAAAGAAAACAAGAGACAUUUUAUUUCACUUUUACGCUCGGGCCUCACUAUCUUAACUUUUGUAACAUAGUGUAAUAAAUUACGUGGGCCCAUUUAAUAAAGAAAUAAUCUAAUAAAUAAACUAAUAUAACAAAAUUUAAAAAUAAUAGCAAGAGUUUAUUCCAUACCUUGGAGCUUAACUACUUAAUAGAUUACCCAAAUAGUUUUAAAUAAAAAGUAAUAUCAUAUAAUUAUUAUACUAAAUUAUUACAUUGUUCGACCAAUAUGCAGUUAUUUAAAAAUUAUUACAAAUUUUCAUAUAUUAAUGAAAAUAUUUCAAUAAUAAAGUUACUUCUUGACAGCUAAUAUAAAUAAAUAUAUGAUAAUUAUGAAAUAAUUUAAAAUUUUCUCAAUUAAUAUUAUCUUAUAACUACAAUUUAUUUACAUAAUUAAAAGUUUUUAAGAAAUCAUAAAAUAUCAUCGUACCUAUAUGCAUUUAUAAUAAUAUAUAAUACAUCAUAAUAUAAUAGCUAAAUAGAUAAAUUAUUAAUGAUAUAAAAUAUAUAUUUAUAUUCACUGUAUUAUAUUAUUCUUUCAUAAUUGUUUCAUUAAAUAAUUCCCUAUUCUCUCUCUCUUUUUGUCUUCAUUUUUUCAGAUAAGCAACCAAAAAUCAUUUCACCUUUUUUAUUUUAUUUUCAAGUACUGUUUUUAAAAUAAGGUACCAAACAUGUUUUUAUUUUUAAUAAAAACUAAUCAUUCUUAUUUCAUAAAAUAAAUUCAAAAACACCAUUUAAAAAAUAAUACCAAAUGCACCCUUAGAAACUAUGAGAAAUAUACUGAUUUUGCAAAUAAUAUUUAAUACGUCGAUUAGACUGAAUCUUUGGAAUAAAAAUUUCAAAUUAAAUAAUAAACCCUUAGUUUCCUUUUAAUCGUAAUUAUAAUCUUAAUUAUUAAAGACAUUUUAUUUUGUGCUUGUCUUUUUUUAUUCACUUUUUUUUAAUGAAAAAUAUUGCUCUGCAUGCAAGUCUUUGGUCGCGGGCCUAGGCGUCCCAAACAUCCAGCUGACAGCGACGUUUCCACUUUGAUUAUCCGCACUUCCCAGAAGUCGCAAGGAAAGACUUAUUCGAGUAGUUUGAUUGGUUUGAAGAUUCAUGAGACUGCUUUUCACUAGAAUUCCACGGCCUCAUUCAUUUUUUUUUUUAAUAAUCUAAAUGACAUCGAACACUCUACUCAAUAUAAAUUUAUUCGAAUGUUCUGUUUCAACCUAAUCGGAAAUUACAAAUGAAACAAAUGCUUGCCAUCACAAACGGCCUAAAUGGGAUUUUUGUUUUUAAAUGUUGCAAUGACUUUGAUCCUGAUGUUGAAAAUUUAUAAUGGCUUCAAUUUUAUCAUAAUUGGUUUAUAAUGCUCUGUUAGGAAGCAUGGAUAAACUGUUGGAUUAGAUUAGAUUUUAGGACUAAAAAUUAAUUUCAUCCAAUGUCAUAUUUAGCUGUCGUGACUAAUAAAUUAGUCCAAAAUUAAGAUAAGAUUUAUAAUAUUAAAUGAAAUAUUUUUGUUCUCUUUAUCACUCUUUUCUUUUUCAUUUAAAUUAAAUAUAAACAAUAAUUUCAUAAUUUUUUAUGUAGAAUUUUAUAUUAUACUAAAUAUCGAAAUUCUAUUCAAUAAUUUAUUUUAAGUUGUAUUUACUUAAGAUUAGUUAUCUAAGUUUAAUACAAUAAUUUAUUUGAAUAGUAUUGAAUAUUAAACAUUAAAAAUUAUUCAAUUAUUUGUUUAAAAUAAAAUUGAAUAUUAAAUAUUGAAAUAAUUAUUUAAUAGCAUAUUAUAUUAUUUAUAUAAUUAUUUAAUAGUCCAAUCUAAUGUUGUACAAAACAUGCACAAUACUAUAUAUAAUCCAAACUAAUCCAAUUCAAUCUUAAUUAAUAAUUCAAUCCAAUCUUGUGAGUCAAAAUUGGCCUAAGGUUACCAAUUGUGCAAUAAUCUUUAUAGCCCGUUUCCCAGCCACACACCCUUUUGUAUUAGUAUUCUCACAGCCAUUGGAAAUAUGGCUCGUAAUCUAACAAAUGACAUUAUACGGCUGUUACUUGCUAGUUUUUAUAAGGUGGCCAAGGCCUUUUAUCAAACACUAUAGGAUCAACUAGUACAAAAUGAAUUCAUUUGGGAUGCAUUUAACGUACUGUGUUAGCUAUAUCGUAUUAUAAUGUAUUGCAUUAACAUGCAUUAUAUUAAGUUAUAAUGUUAUACUUUGAUAUAGUAUAAAUUGUAUUAUAUAAGGUAAUGUUUUAUAUUAAUGUUAAAACUAAAUUAAUAUUAUUUAAAUUUAUUAAUAUUUUAGGAUUUUUAUUAAUUUUUUAAAUUAAGUAUUAAAAAUUAUUUUAUAGUAUAUAAAUGAGUUAAUAAUAUACUAUUAUUAAAUGAUAAAAUAUUAAAGUACUAUGUUAUAUUAUUAAAAAUUAUUAUAUUAUAAUAUAAUUUAUUUCUAGAUAUUAAUUAUUAUAAUAUAGUAUAAUCAUAUAAUAAUAUAAUAUAAGUUAAUAUUAUAUUGUAAAAAUAUAAUAUUGUACAAUUAUUUAAUGUAAUAUAAAUUAAUUUAUACUAUAAUAUUAAAUUAUAAAUUUAUUUUUAUUAAUUAAAUAAAAUUAAAAUACUUUUAUGUAUUUAAACUAAAUAAUUAAAAUAAUUUAUGUAAUAGAAGUAUGAUAAUGUAUUAUCAUUUUCUCAUUAAAUAUUUUAGGUUUAUUAAUUUGUUAAAUUAUUAUUUAAAUUAAAAUUAAUUGUUUAAAUGUAAAUAUAAAUAUAAAUGAAUGUUUAAUAAAAUCUACUCCUAUGGAUCUAUUUUAUACACUUUUUAUUCUAUAAAUCACGCUUAUAAUGUAGUUGUAUAAUAGAAACUGGAUAUUUAAUGGAAGCAAAAUCGCGCACGGUUUGUGGGUUAAAAGGGUCAGGAUUCUCUCCUGAUCUGAUCUUCAUUUGAGCAAAUUCUGUUAAUAUGAUUAGUGGUUAAUAAGUUAAAAAGAAAAAGUAGUUAAAUCAUAAUCAUCCAAUUUGAUACACUGAUUUUGUCCUCUUUAAUAUUUUUCUAGAUGCUUCCAUGUCAUAAUCUCAUUGGUCCAGUUUUCUUCACUGCUUAGAUUCAACUUCAAAAAUCAAUUUGAAGCAAACACAACAAUUCAACAAAUAUAAUAAGCGUCGAUAAGCUUGUGGCUGACUGGCUGUGGCCAAGCAAAACGUACCUCAUGGUUACCGAAUCAUAUCUUACGUCAGAAUUUUUAACUUAAACUAUGUUACCGUUCCACGUGUCACUCUCCAAAAAAUCCCCAAACUUUUAUCGUAUUUCCAAAGAAACCCCUAACAAAUCAAGGUAAUUACCGUCACUCUGCUCAUAUAAAUAGUCUCCUUGAUUCAACUGAUGUAGGGAUGGCAAUGGGGUGGGUUGGGGUGGGGGUGCGGAAUGGGGUACAUUAAAAUUUUUUGUCUCCAUUCCCCACCUAUUCCCUAAUAAAUUUAGUGGGUUGGGGAUGGGGAAUCCCCACAUGGGGAAUGGUUUCCCCAUCCUCACCCCAUUCCCCAUUUACCUAUUUUAUAGUAAAUAUAAAUAUAUUAUUUCAGUAAAUUAAAAAUUAGAAACUUAAAAUAAAAUCAUCACCAUAUUAUGAAGUAUUUAUUUUUUUUUUAAAAAAUCUCUAAAAGUUUGAAACAAUAUCUUAAAAUGAUAUUAAAAGUGAAAAAUAUUUAAAGACAGCAACACCUUAAAAGAGAAAAGAAAACAUAAUAAUGUUUUAGAAUUGAAAAAUAUUGUAGGAUUUUCUUUUAUUCAUAUCUUGUUUAUAUUACAUAAAAAUUUAAAAAAAUUAUUAAUUGACAUUAUAGUUGAUAAAAUAAAAAUUACUAAAUAAGAAUUAAAAAUAUAUUUAUAUAUAAUGGGGAUUGGGGUAGGGGUGGGGUGGGGAGUGCAAUACCAAACCCCACUCCGUUAAUAAUUUGAGAAUUAUUUUUCCCCCACUCCCCACCCCAUUCCCCAAAAAUUAUUAAAAAAAUUUUCUAUUUGGGGUGGGGCUUCAUGGGGUCUCAAACCCGUGGAGGAUUUUGCCAUCCCUAAACUGAUGACAUAUCCUCAUAUAAAUAAAGACUAUGACGACAUUUAUUUAGAAGGGAAAAUUAUAAAAAAAAUCUCCUCUUUCUCUGAAAAUAUAGGGUUUCUCAAGAAUAGCUAAACCUACAUCCCUAUCCUGCAAAAUCUCAAUUUAACCUCUCUAGGGUUUCGAUUGAAGAGCAUACGCUUCAAAAUUUAUUAUUCUUUUAGUGGAUUUUGGUUGUCGCGUAUCCUUCAGUUGUUAGUUCGGUUCGGAUAAUAAUUUGGAAUUCAGUUUGAAGGGUUAAGUGCAAUUUCUAAUUUUUUAUACAAUUUAAAUUGAAAUUGAUAGAACAAUUGGGCGGUUAAUAAUUAAUUGAUGGCUAGUGAUACUACAACGGCGCCCGCGCCCGCAGCUCCGGAAAAAGCGGAGGCGGUGGAGGAGUAUGAUAGCAAUCCAGAUGAAGUGAAACGCUGUCUUGGGACACGCAGAAGGGAAGCCAGCGAUGACGAGGACGUGGAGGAGGAGAGAGAUUGGGACACGCAGAAGGGAAGCCAGCGAUGACGAGGACGUGCAAUACCAAACCCCACUCCGUUAAUAAUUUGAGAAUUAUUUUUCCCCCACUCCCCACCCCAUUCCCCAAAAAUUAUUAAAAAAAUUUUCUAUUUGGGGUGGGGCUUCAUGGGGUCUCAAACCCGUGGAGGAUUUUGCCAUCCCUAAACUGAUGACAUAUCCUCAUAUAAAUAAAGACUAUGACGACAUUUAUUUAGAAGGGAAAAUUAUAAAAAAAAUCUCCUCUUUCUCUGAAAAUAUAGGGUUUCUCAAGAAUAGCUAAACCUACAUCCCUAUCCUGCAAAAUCUCAAUUUAACCUCUCUAGGGUUUCGAUUGAAGAGCAUUUGCUUCAAAAUUUAUUAUUCUUUUAGUGGAUUUUGGUUGUCGCGUAUCCUUCAGUUGUUAGUUCGGUUCGGAUAAUAAUUUGGAAUUCAGUUUGAAGGGUUAAGUGCAAUUUCUAAUUUUUUAUACAAUUUAAAUUGAAAUUGAUAGAACAAUUGGGCGGUUAAUAAUUAAUUGAUGGCUAGUGAUACUACAACGGCGCCCGCGCCCGCAGCUCCGGAAAAAGCGGAGGCGGUGGAGGAGUAUGAUAGCAAUCCAGAUGAAGUGAAACGCUGUCUUGGGACACGCAGAAGGGAAGCCAGCGAUGACGAGGACGUGGAGGAGGAGAGAGAUUGAGGGCUUCCAAUGGCGAAGUGUCCACAUUCCUGCGGGAGAAGCGGAGGCUGUGGAUGAGUACGAGAGCGAUCCAGAUGAAGUGAAAUACUCUCUUGUGAUGGGCAGAAUGGAAGCAAGCGAUGAUAAGGAGGAGGAGGAUAAAGAAUUUGAGCGUCGAAUGAACCGUAGGGUCCACAUUCAUUCUUACGAUGAAUCUGAUGGCCAAGGUGGUGUCCAGCUGAGUAUGGUGAGGUUGAUGAUGAAGAAGAUGACAGAGAAUUAGAAGAAGAAGAUGAAGAGGGGGAUGUGAUAUGACUUCAUAUCAUUUAAUUUGUAUAACCGUGACGCCAAUCCCAUUGAUCCUGGUCCGACCCGAACGGAUCUUGUUGAAUGAAUUGAUCCAUUGUUGUAUGCCUUACUUCUUAGUGAUUUUUUUCCUACUUGGAGCCGCCUUUGAGUACUCCUGGGAGAUAAAGUGGAAACGUUUUUUUAUGGUGAAGAGUGGGGAGUGAAAAGACCAAUUCAGCAGAGAACGACCGCAUGAAUCGGAAUCCAAGAAAGGCUCCACGUUCUCCAAGUGAUUGAUCUUAGCGUAGCGUGCUAGCCGCUGCUUCAUUUCGUAUAGUGAUAACGCUUUCUUAGCGCUCCGCCGCCCCCCCCCCCCCGGCGGCCGCGCCCGGGGUAUAGUAGGGGACUGGUUGCGCGGCUUUCUCUUAUAGGGGUCUAUUUUCCCUUACUUUACUCAACUUGAGUCGGUUAGAGUAUCGCUUUCAUACGGCAAGAGUUAUUGAUUCAAAUCCAAUAGUAGGUAAUAAUGCUGUCAAUGUCGGUUAGAGUAUCCAAGAGUUAUUGAUUCAAACGCAGUUGUCAACCACAUUCGAAUAACCCUUCUGCUACCUUCUAAAAACCCUUGCAUGGGCAUUAAUGCUGGCAUAAUCUCUUUGACUUCCCUUGCAUUUGAAUGAAUGGAUGAGCGUUGCAUUUGAAUGAAUGGAUCAGUGUCAAUGCAGGCUAAGAUUUUCUGGACUUUCAUGGAUGCACAAUAAAUGCUACGUCAAAGGCCUGGUAAGAUGUCAGCAAGCUGGUCGAAGAUAUCAACCUGAUUUGGUGGCUGCAAGAUUUGUUCAUCCAGGACCAUUUUCUUUGACAAUGAGAAAGCCCCAAUGUCUAUAAAUUGAGAACUCACUGAAUUGUAGAGAGAGGGGAAAGUGAAUAACGGGAGAGCCAGUGAAAAGAGAGUGUGGGAAUAUUUGUGCGUAAUUGGGGUUUGGGUGUGAGAUAAAAUAAUCAGAGAGUGGUUGUAAUAAUUUUUUAUAUAGUGAAAAUUUUUGUCUCCUUGUUUUUUGCAGUGGUGGUAAAUUUUGUCUCUAAUAAAGGAGUCUUCCAAGUAAAUUUUGUGUGUUAUGAUUGGGAUAUUCACCAUUUUAGUUUUUUAUUUAUUAUUUGUUUUACAUAUUGCUAGCAAAAAUCUGGGGCGGGAACCGAAAAUUCCCAACAAUUAUUAAUUAUUUUAAACUCUGUUCUGAACAGAGCAUGAAGGGUUUCACUUACCUAGUUACGUUUUUCAUUCUUUCACUUCACUUGAUUUCAUCUUGUCCCUCUCCUUUAUAGAAGUUGCAGAGCUUGGAUCUUUACUCGAACAGUUUCACUGGCUCUAUUUCUGACACAUUGGGCAAGCUGAAGGAAUUGCAAUUCCUGUAUGAUAAUUUCCCCAACUAUUAUUUGAAUAAUUAUUUAAUGCCGUUCAUUCCAGCACUGUUUGGCUGUCAACUUUAUUUUGUUAUUUAUGAGGAGAUUCAUUUCCCACCUGAAGCUAGAAAUUUACGGAUCAAUGACUUUUUUUUUUUCGGGGGCCAAUUGCAGUUUUGAUAACAACUAAAAUCUGUGUGGUCCGGUUACCACAAAGCCUUGCCCCAGAUCCCUGCCAUUUUCUCCUCCACCUCCAUUUGGGGAAAUUACUACUUACUUUUUGCAAGUUUUUCUUGAAAUAUUUAUUUUGAUAAGAAAACCAAUAAUACAUUUUAAGAUUUGGGCUGUUUCAAAGAUUUCGCUUGAUGUCUCUGCUACUGGUUUUCAGCAGAGUGCCCAAAAAUAGUUUUCAGCAGUACAAAAAGUAUAUAUUUUGUACCUUCCAUACAUUUUGCUUUGUUAAUGUUAUUAUUUGAUAACAUGUUUGUCGAGUUGCACAGUGUAUAAAUGCUAUACAAAUACACUCCUUUCAUUUUAUACAACUUUGAUCGAUCAAGUUGUAUCUCUUUGAUAAUAUGUUCAAUCUCCUUUCAUUUUAAACUUCAAUUGAGUUGCUAUCUAUUUAACAUUGGCAAGUCAGAGAGAGGGAUGGGACUGUCCAAUUAAAAUUAAGUUCCAAGUGCCAAUCCCACCAUUGUCGUCUCUUGUUUGCCAAAUUCAAAUUUGAAAAUCUCACCAAGUCAGUAUGGUGAUGUUGUGGGAUUGUCUCGCCUAGGUUUUUAGCCUCAUGACCUCCUUUAUUAGAAAAUGUCUUAAGUGUUCUUACUCAAUGGUAGAAUCAUAAUUUUACUUCAAUGGAAGCCAUAAUGAUUAAAAUAUACUCUUUUGAUUAAUUACUUAUUUGAUGUUGCUCUCUCUACCUUCAUCUCCUUCUUUAUGAAAAAUUUAUUGUAAUACAUGGAAGUAUAUAUUGCAUUGAAUAAAAUGAAAUUGUUCAAAAAUUAACAAAUUCAGCUUUAUUAUAAUCUAAAACAAAGUAAAUAAAAUAAUACCCAUCAUGUAAAAAUUAAAAAAAUAAAAAAUUUUGUACCACUUUGAAUCUAUUUUAAUUUUUUUGGUCAAAUCUCAGAAGCACAAAAUUUGACCAACAAUAAUAGGUAAAAACUAAUAAUCUUAUAAUAAAAAGUAAUAUUUAAAAAUUGAAAAUUAAAUUAUGCUAGUAAUUCCGUAAAAUUAAAAUUUAUCUCCCAAAAUUGAUAAAUACUAUGUCACUUUGUCAAAUUACUUAGGAUAAAAGUUAUGUGGCUAAAAACUUUUAAGAUGAGUUGUAUGCUAAUGGAGAAGGACAAGACACAAAAGAAUUCAAUGAAUGCUACAUCACGCAACAAUGCUUACUCUUAACAAAUUAUUACAAUUUACAAACGUGAUUCAUGAAACUUGACUUUUUUGUCUAAAGAAAGGACUAAAGAAACAUGCCAAGCAACAAAUAAAAAGUUGAUAGGCACUAUUUAAAUAGUAUUAAUAUGGCAACAAAAAACAUGCGAGCAAAGUAGCCUAUUCCUUUAUUCUAUAAAUAGCUCAUUUGAGCUUAGAACCUUUAAAGUGUGUCGUACGUUUCUGUUACUUCCAAUAAAGAUUUUCUCUAUUCCCUUUUCUUCCACUUUCUCUUCCAUUUUCACGAUCCCCAAACACCAUCAAUCCAUGAUUUUCUAGAGUAUUAGCUGUCUAUUUCUACAAACAUAGAAUUGCUGUUUUAAGAAACAAAGUAGUCUGUCCUGUCACCCAUGAUUGCCUCUUUCUUUUCUCCACAAAUCUUUGGUUAAUUUUUAUUUUCCCUCAACUUUUUUCCCCUUUAGCACCAAAAUUGAUUUUUGAUACUUUAUGCAAAAAUUAUGAUGAAAAUGAGUCACUUUAGAACAUCAAUAAAUUUUUUUUUACAUCCAAAAUAACGACAAUUACACUUAGAUCACUCUUAUUUAGUUGAAUUAUAUAUGUAAUAAUGUUGGCUUAACAAAAUAUAAUUCUUGAUCGUUGUAAUUACGAGCUGGUAUUCUUUGGUUUUAGUAGUAGGGCUUAUAACGCUGUGCAACAAUUCUUGGUGGCUUCGAAUUAUUAUACGAUCAUUCUCAAUUCUUUACGGUACGUAAUUAAAAAUUCCUAUAUCACAAUUAGAACUUACAAACAAGUCAAAGUGAAUUAAAUCAAACGUAUAAAUUCGAGGUCUAUUACAAACUUCUAAAAAAAAUUUUCUCUGCUCUUUUUUCUUUCACUUUCUCUUCCAUUUUGCCAAUCCCCAAACACCGCCAAUCCUUGAUUUUUUAAGUAUUAGCUGUCAAUUUCUACAAACAUAGAACUGCUGUUUGUUUGUCUAAUUACUUUCAAGAAACAAAACUCUCUGUCAUGUGGUCUCUUCGUUUAUUGGCUUGUGAGCAAAUAAGAUAUUGGGCCGAUGGGCUUAACGUGACAAGUUCUUGAAUUGAAUGGCUCCUCUUUUUUUCAUAAAUCUUUGCUUAACUUUUUUGUUUCCUCAACCUUUUUUGGCCUUUCGCGCUAAAAUUCUUUUUUUGAUACAUUAUGCAAAAAUUAUGAUGAAAAUGAGUUACUUUAGAACAUCAAUAAAUUUUUAUUACAUCUAUAAUAAGACAACUGUAGUGAGAUUUCUCUUAUUUAGUUGAAUUAUAUGUAAUAAAAUUAGUUUAACGAAAUCUAACCCGUCAAUAUUCCAUAUGACAUAAUUAACGUAUUUAAAAAAUCUUAGCUGUUCCGUCGCUUGUUUUACAAUUCUUUUAUAUAUCUUUGAGACUUUCUGCUUCCUGACACAUCAUAUUGUUCUCAAUUCGUCUAAAUUAAUUUUUUCUUCAAACACUGCAGCAACAACCGGUAUAAAAUAGAAUGAACUCAUUUAAUGGGAAUUUUUCUCAUUGGUCUAUUUCUCUUCGCACCUUAGGUUCCUCUAACAAACUUAAAAGAUGUUCCCCAUCCCACGUGUCCCCAAAUCUUCGUAUUUCCAAACAAACCCCUGCCAAAUAGAGAAGAGGAUGGCUUUUAUUGCAACCUGUAUGAACGUUAUGGCCAUAGGACAUUGGAUCAAAAUCAAACCAAUGGAUUGUAAAGCAAAAUUACCAAUUAAAAAUUCAACCAAUUGAAUCGGUUUGGUGUCACUUAAAAAAUAAAUAAUAUAUAAAACAACACAAUUAAAUUCAUUCAGUCAGUAUUUUUCUUUUCUCAUUUUCAAUGAAUGCUUAAUAUGGAAAACAAUCUGUCCCAUUGAGCACUGUUUAAAUCAUUCCCUAGUUUGUUCAACAAGCAAAGAAUAUUCUUAUUCGGCUCGGCAGCCAAUCCGUUAAAAUUUGUAAAAAUUCAUUUAAGUGAUGACUGUGAUAUGACUCGAUCAAUCGUUUAAUUUAUAUAAUUUAUAAAAAUUUGAGCUUCAAGUAAUGUAGAUAGAAUGGUUAAUUAUUUUAAUAUUCAGAUAAAUUGAUAUAUGUCAUUAUAUUAUGAGUGGAUGAAAUAUCCAAUAGAAAAAAAAAAAAAUGUUUGUAUUCGUCAUUUUUAAUGGGAAUCUAUUUAGUUUAACUUAUCCAUAAAAAUGGUUGCCAGACUUAUCUUGUUUCUCAUUUUGUUUAAUUUUCAUAAAUUUGACUCACGAUUAAUUGUGAGUGAAGAAUUUUUUGAAAAAAAUCUGGUCUUCCAUUUAUUUUGUAGGAUUUAAAAGAUUAAAAAACUUUAAUACAUAUAAUUUUAUGCUCGAAACUAAAUACUCGUAGCAUUGCUGCUUCUAUAAAUAACUCAUUUGUGCUUCCAACUUGUUAUUUGUAUUUUACGUUUUUGUUUCUCUUCAUAAAGAUUUUCUUUUUUUUCUUUUUUCCUUUCACUUUUUCUUCCAUUUUCCCGACUCCCAAACACCACUAAUCCUUGAUUUUCUAGAGUAUUAACUGUCCGUUUCUACGAACAUAGACCUACUGUUUGUCUAAAUACUAUCAAGAAACAAUAUACUCUGUCGCGGGAUCUCUUCGUUUAUUGACUUUUGACUUGUGAACGGGGCUAAUUAAAGGGCAUUCCUUUCUUCAAGAAAGAAUGCAAAGAAAGUACUAUCCAUGAGACACGUUAAAAAUUAUUUUACAUAAAAAAUGAUAAUAAUCAUAAUAAUCGGUUUAGUGUAACCCCGUUAUUACUUAGUGACUGUUCGAUUGUCUUCUCUUUCAUUGACUUCGCAACUGUGACUUCUAAAUUGGGUCAAGGAUCGACAAAAAAUGUUAUAACCUAUAAAGCAUGGAUAAUUAAUUAAUGGGAAUGCACCUCUCAUCUUUACCAUUCUCUUUGUCAUUUUCAUAAUUCAGCUGUUUAUUAAUAAAGUGAAUAAAUUUAUCUUUUAAUAAUAUGUUUCUUGGCUGUUUUUUGUGUAUUUUUGCGUACAAUUUUGUGUGCAAAUAGCAUUAUUCAUUAGUAAUAAGUCUGGAGUGUUCUAAUUUCUUCUAACAAGUAGCUCAUUUUAGCUUAGGACAUGUAACUAGUAUUUUAUGUUUCUGUUAAUCUUUAAUAAAGAUUUUCUCUAUUUUUUUUUUUCCUUUCACUUUCUCUUCCAUUUUCCCCGACUCCCAAACACCACCAAUCCUUGAUUUUCCAGAGCAUUAGCUCUCUAUUUCGACAAAGGCAUAAUUAGUCACGGUCCGAUUGUCUGACUUCUCCGUUGACUCGGUCAAUUCACGACCUUGACCUGCACAGUUGAUACAAACGGACUUCUCCAUUUGAUGUGCACAAAACUUUCUUGGGUCAUUUUGUUUGGUGAUGAUGAAUUGGAUGUCAGUUCAUGAGUUUCAUGAUGAAGGGGACCAAAAACAUUAUUUUAUUAUUUAAAGAAGACUAACAAUUAUUUCGAUGGUCAUUUUAUUAUUAUUUUUUAAAUAUCCAAAUGGUGAAAUUUUAAAGAAUUAAGGUGGUUGACUUCUUUACACAGAAUUACAAAGCAAAACAAUUAAGAAAUUAAAUACUCGUCAUCCAAGUGAGAAGAGAUUGGGUUGUUGAUACAUUAAAUAAAAGAAAAAUCAAUUAAAAGCACAACAAUUCAAUAAUUUCAUUCUCAAUCAUAUCAAAAAUAAAAUUUACUGUACAUUGUUGUUCGGUUCUGUAAAAAAAAAAAAAUUAUUAGGGAUUUGCAGUUUUUUUUAGUGUAAUUCUCGUUAAUUAAAGUUUAGUCUGAAGGGUUAAGCACAUGGAUCAUAAUCAUAUUAUGGCCUAAGGAAGGAGCACAGUUCAUUGGCUGCACUCAGUUUACAGAAUAUUUUGGGAUUCAAGACUGUAGGUUGUUCCGGAUGUAACUUGCAAAGGCUGUUGCUGUGUAACUGUAUGCACUGCUGGCAAGUGUGCUAUACACAUAUUGUUGAGAUAGCACCAAAGAUUGUAAACUAAUUAGAACCGGAAAAUCCUAUUUGCACAAAAAAUUGCACAAAAUAAAUAGAAUGAGAAUACUUAUGCAAAAAAAAAUAAGAUUAAUAAAGUGAAUAAAUUUAUCUUUUAAUAAAAUAUUUCUAGUCUUUUAGUGUUUUCGUGUAUUUUUGUGUACGUGCAAAUAACAUUACUCAUGAGUAAUUAUGUUUUAUGUUUCUAUUACUUUCUAAUAAAGAUUUUCUCUGUUUUUGUUUUUUUUUUUCCCCUUUUACCUUCUCUUCCAUUUUUCCAACUCCCAAACACUACUAAUCCUUGUUUUUGGUUUUUUUUUCCAACUCCCAAACACUGCUUUCAUGAAACAACGUACUCUGCGGUUAAAAUUAAUUGAUCAUUUUAUUUGCUGAUAAUGAAUUGGUUGUCAAGUCAUGAGUUUGAUGAUGCACAGGACGAAAAACGUUAUUUUAUUAUUUAAAAUAAUACUAACAAUUAUGUUGAUGGUCAUUUUAUUUUUUAAAAUAUGCAAAUGGAAUCUUACCGAACUAUAGUGCUUGACUUCUUCAUACAGUGAUUGACUUCUUUGUACAGAAUUAUAAAGUGAAAGAAAUUACGAAAUUAAAUACUUUUCGUGCGAGUGGGGGAGAAAUUCUGUAAAUUUAUGAAAUAACUAUUGAUUUCACUUUGGUAAUUACUUUUUAAAAGUAACGUAAACAUUUUUAUUUUAUUUGCAUUCGAGCUUUCUUUCUUUUUCGCUGGCCUUUACACUUGACCGUAUUUCAUGGGGCAUAUUCAAUCUGAAUCCUCUGCAAGUUUGUGGCAGUUUGGUUAGUUACGAACUUUUGUAGAAUUGCAUGAAGAUGACGCUUUUAUAGACAUUUUUUCUUUUUUCAUUUUUUCUUCAGUGAACAUAUUAAAAAUUUAGUUUUUUGUCAUCGUGACUAGAACAGUAAAAUGAAAAUAGUCCUCAUUUCGACGAUUGACAAAAAUGUUGUACUCAUACCGAUUAAUGGGCCACUGAUUUCGUCUUCUUAAAAAAUUAUUAUUGCAGUGAGGCAAUUGAAUCGAAGAUGGACGAUUUCCAUAUUUGCCUAACCUACGUGAUAAGAAUUUUCAUAUGAGACAUAAUCUGAUUUAUUUUGCUUGACUGUAUGCCAAGAGACAGUCAUAUCUACUAAAUGAAACAAAUCUUGCUUUUCUAGAGAAAUAAUGCAAUAUGCAAUUAUGCAUGAAGGUACGCAUCCAUGUGAGAAAGUUGACGAAAGCUUCUUUUUCAGUAUUGGAAGUGCAAUCCACUGCGGAACAUUGGAUAAAACCAAUGGAAUGUAAAGCAAAAUUACCGAUUAAACUAAAUUGAAAAUCCAACUACUUGAAUCAGUUCAGUGUCACUCAAAUAUAUAUAUAUAUAUAUAACAACACAAUUAUCAUAUUAAUGAGGCACUGUUAAAUUCGAAUAUUUUUCUUUUUCAUUUUUAAUGAAUGUUUAAUAUGACAAACAAUCUGUUCCAUUGAGCACUGUUUAAGUCAUUCAAUGAAGAUGAAUACUUCUAUAACAAAACAAUUAUUCCCUUGAUUAUCUGACACACAAAGAACUUUCUUGCUCAGCUCGGCGGCCAAUCCUUUAAAGUUUGUUAAAAUUCAGUCAAUUGAUGAACGAGACAUAACCCGAUAAAUCGUUUAAUUUGUGUAAUUGAUAAAAAAAUUGAACUUCAAAUAAUAUAGAUAGAAUGAUUAAUUUUUUUCAAUAUUUAGAUAAUUGAUAUAUGUCAUGUUAUUAUGAGUGAAAGAAUGAAGUGUCUAUAGAAAACACAAUGUUUAUGUUUGUAUAAAAAAUUUUAAGUGCGAAUCUAUUUAGUGUAUAGGAUAUAAAUAAAAAUAGUUACCAACUUGUCUUGUUUCUCAUUUUGUUUAAUUUUCAUAAUUUGACUAAGGAUUAAUUAUGAGUCAAGGGUUUAUUGGAAAAAUAUGAUCUUUCAUUUACUAUUAAAGAUUAGCGUGAUUUAAUUAUUUAAUGGUCGUUCAAUUUUAUUGGUUACCAAAUUCUCUAGGAUCGCAUGUAGAUUAUACUUUUAUAUAUAAAAUAUAUAUAAAAACAAACACUGUACCAAUAAAGUGUUGGCUCCACUGGCAAUGGAGUCCCCUUAAGUGGCUUGACUGUGUUUGCUCCUCAGUUCGAGUCGCAGGGAAGUCGCCUUUGUUGGGAGAACCUGUGCCUCCCGGUUCGAGCGGGGACUUCUAGUCUGGGUUGUGGUACGGGCUUAAAGGUGCCUCCCACAGUUGGGGCCCUCCCCAAGAUACCUCGUGAUUAAGAUCAAAAAAAAAAAAAAAACAAACACUGUCAACAAGCAUUAAUGUCAUUUGACGCAUGAAAGACAAUUAGUCCCAUUUUUUGUCCUGUUUACUUGAACACCACUAAUUCCAACAAUUUAUCCAAAAAAAAAUAUAGUUACUCUUCUUCUUUUUUUUCCGAUCUGUUAAUGAAUGCUCCUACUCCUAUCAGUUCUAUAUCCAACUCGACCUCGGAAGCUAAUUCGCGUGGGCUUUGUUGGAAUAAUGGUAUCGAUUGGAAUUGUAAGGAAAGAGGUCUUCGUGUCGUGGACAGCUCAACCGAAGAGAGCAGAUGAAUAUCUUAUGUGAAAUUCAUUGAUGAAUGCCCUUUGCAGAAGCAGGAAAUAAGCUGCCUAAAAGUAAGCAUUAGAUGAAUGCCCGAUCGAACACCACUAAUUCCAACAAUUUAUCCAAAAAUAUCUUUGAGUUUCAAGGAAUGAAUGUAGCACGAAUGGCCAAGUUUUUCAAGUUUUUAAAUAUUUGAUAUAUGUCAUGUUCUGACUUAGUACGAGAAGAAAAUUAUAGAAUUUUUUUUAAAUUAAUGGAAUUAUUUUACGAUAAAACUAUCACAAUCACAUUUAAAAAUAUUCUUUAAAUUUUCACUAUUUCUACUGUUAUUCUUUAAACUCUUUCUGAACAGAGCAUGAAGAGUCACUUAUCUAAAUAUAUUUUUUUGUGCUUUCACUUCACUUGAUUCAUCUUAUCCCUCUUUUAUAGAACCUGCAACUCGUAUUUUACGUUUCUGUUACUUUCUCUUCCAUUUUCCCGACUCCCAAACACCAUCAAUCCUUGAUGUUACAGAGUAUAUUAAUUAAUUAAUGGGCCACUAAUUCUUCUUCUUAAAAGAAAAUUUUUGUAGGGAAAUUGGAAAAAAGGCUAAUUCAAUUUAAUUUUGAUAGGUGCGAGAGAAGGAUAGGACCGUCCAAUUAAAUUGCAAGUGGGCAUUCCCACCAUUCGUGUCACAUGCUUGUCAUAUUUAAAUUUAAAAAUCACACCAUGUCAGUAUGGUGAUGAUGUGGAAUUGUUUCACCGAAAUUUUUAUCUUCGUAACUGUUGUAGAAAAAAGCGUGCUCCCAGUGGAUGCUUCUAUUGAGUGGCAGAAUCAGUAUUUUAUUUCGAUGGUGGCCAUAAUAAUUAAACUACUGAUUAAGUUGGUUGUGACAUAAAAUCAAUGUUGUAUAAUUUUUUGGAUAUUAUCUCAAUUUUACUUCUGUAGGUUUGUUGUUUGUAUAUUAUCUCAAUUUUUAAAAAAAUGUAAUUGCAAUUAUCAAACACGACUAAUCCCAACAAUUUAUCCAAAAAUUUUUUAUGAUAGAAUGGCUAAUUUUUUUAAUCGACUUUCUGGAUAAAUGAUAAUUUUUUGAUAGAAAUGUUACUUAAGUAUUACAGGAAGAAAAUUAUAGAAUAAUUUUUUGAAUUAAUAGUAUUACUUUACGAGAACACUAUCACAAUCUAAUUUUAAAAAAAUAAAGUUAUUCGUUAAAUUUCGAAUUAUCAAGCAAAAGGCAAAAAUAGUUCAACAUCUGCUGUCCCACUGAGCAUUGUUAAAUUCAUACGAUAAAAUGAGUACUUAUAUUAAAAAAACAAUCAGUCCCAUUGCGUGCUCUUUCAUUGACAUAGGCAAGUUGCGGUCAACUUGUGGCACUUUUAUGAAUUUUCAAGAUGGGUGAAUUUUUCAAAAUUAAAAGAAAAAAAUAAAGAAAUGUAAUUUCAAUUUAUCCAAAAAUUUGAGUUUCAAGGAAUACAGCAUUUAUUAUAUGUCAUGUUAAUAUAGAGAAGAAAAUUUUAAAAACUUCUUUUUGGAUGAAUAAAAGUAUUUUCUGAUAAAUAUUUCACAAUCAUAUUUAAAAAUUUUCACUCCUCUUGGUACAUAAUUUAAGAAUUUAACAUUAUAAAUUAAUCUUUUUAAUCAAAGUAAUAAUCUCUCCUCGGUCUGCAAAUGCUAAAAUUUAAUAUUAUAUCCGUUGACGAUAUUUGCUCCAAAUUCACGAAAAUAAAAUUUGUAACAGAAUUAUGAAAUUCGUUACUAGAAAAUUGUAUAAAAGUUGUGAGAAUAGAAGGUUUGAUCAUAGGAAAUUAAUAUAACCCUAUCCGAUGCAAAAAUGAUUGUAAAGAAAAACAAAAGUCACGGGCUUAUUUAGAAAAAAGAAAAAAUUACGUUCCAUUUUCCAGUUAUUAAAGUAAUUCUAAAAUCACUAGGAUCACAAAGGAUAGGCUUUGGUUGACUGAGGUCAGCCUUAACGCUUUUCUCCUCUACAUUCUUAGAAAUUUUGGUUUCACUAUAAAUACUCGGUAUAUAACAAACUUAUAAGUGUUCUUGCAUUACCAAUCCAACUAAGCACACGCUUACAAUCUCAUGGAAAGAGUUCAUUCUCUCAGGAUGAUGAGCAGAUUUCUCUUACUCCAUUGUUUGAUUCUUAUUUCCUUAUUUAUCGCAGCUGCAACAGCCAACAGAAGUACUAUUACCACAGACCGAGAUGCUCUGCUUGCCAUGAAAGCUCACAUAACUCAUGAUCCAACCAAUUUCUUCACCAAAAAUUGGAAUACAGGUACUCCUGUCUGCAACUGGACAGGCGUCACUUGUGAUGUCUAUAGCCAUAGAGUCACAGUCUUGAAUAUUUCUCGUUUAAAUCUCACCGGCACCAUCCCUUCUCAACUCGGGAAUCUUUCGUCUCUACAAUCACUCAAUCUGAGUUUUAAUCGACUUUCUGGUUCCAUUCCCUCCGCCAUCUUCACCACGUAUACACUGAAACAUGUUAGUCUCAGUGAAAAUCAACUCUCUGGGCAAAUUCCUACAAAUAUUUGUAGUAAUCUUCCUUUUCUUGAAUUUUUUUCUUUGACCGGAAACAUGUUCCAUGGCGGAAUACCGUCCACUCUAUCAAAUUGCACAUAUUUGCAAAAAUUAGGUUUGGUAAACAAUAAUUUCUCGGGGGCCAUACCUAAAGAAAUCGGCAAUUUGACCAAACUUAAGAUAUUAUAUCUUGGCGGUAACAGGCUCCAAGGUGCGCAUGAUCACGAAGUUUAAUUAUGAAAAUUGUUGCAUAAGUUGUAGUAUGAAUAAUGUUCCAUAAUACAGUUUACACACGUUCAUUAAUUUGCAGGAGAAAUUCCUCGAGAAUUUGGCAAUCUUACGGAAUUGGAGCGGAUGUCGUUGGCAGGCAACAAUCUUCAAGGCAUGAUUUUAAACUUUUUGCAAUUUUAUUUUAGCGAUGAUUUAUUGUUUGAUUAUGCGAUGAUUUUAAACUUCUGUAUUCAUUCGCUUGUUCUUUGAUUAUACGAUGAUUUAUUGUUUUUCUUUCAGAUAGAGAUAACGCUCCAUGUCUCCCCUCACUCAUUUCAUUCUUUGAUUUAUGCAGAUAAAAAUUAAAAAAAAAAAAUGUUUUGUAAUUUUCUUUUGUCAUUGCCACUUCCGUUUUGAAGCUCCCAAUUAAGUCGAUCAAAAUGAAUGAUGUUUCAUUCUUAUUCUUGUCAGCCUAAUCUAUAUAUCUAUCUAUCUAUAUAUAUAUAUAAAGUUGAGACUUGAGGAGGUGAUGUGGCAUCACCAUUUCUCUUCUUUGUAUAUUCUCUAUUAUCUAAUAAAUUGAGAAAUUUUCUUUUAGAUUUGACUUUUCAUCUUCUCAUAAUUAAUUUGAUUGUUAUUAUACAAUAACAAUUAUGUAAAAAUUUUAAUUUUAAUGAGACAUAUUCUUUGUAAUGAAUAUCCAAAGAGAAGUGUUAUGAAUUUAUUAAAAUAAAUGUAAAUGUUCAUAACAUAUAUCUCUUAGUCUCCCCACUAUCUCUCAUUAGCAACCUUUAGCUUCCCUAUAACUCCCACUAUCUCACAAAGAAUUAUGAUCCAUAAUUUUUUAUUAAUUUCAUGGAGUGAUUAUAUAACUAUAAAAGGAGAGCUCAUCUUUUUGUUUUGUACACACACAAUUGGAAUGAAUAAAAUCACUCUAUAAUAAAUUAUCUCAUUGUAUUUUGUAUCUUGCAUUGCGUAUUUAUUUGUAUUGCUGGCUAAUAGCUUUUUUUGUUUUUUAUAAGGUUGCCUCAUCUUAAAAACAAUCAAUUCAUAUUUUUUAUCAGUUUCAUCAAGUGUAAAGUAACAAAAAAAAAAGAUAAUACUAAAUUCUUUUUUCAAAGCCGCGUGAAACGCGGGUAUAUUUUCUAGUUCUUAUAUAAAUGAAGAGUAAAUUGUUAUUACGAUAUUCGUCAGCCAAUAAAUUCUUCUUUUUUUUUCCCCCCAAACAUGAGUGAUCAAAUUGUUUGCGCAUAUAUAAAUGUACUUAAUUUGCAGGAGGUAUUCCACGGGAAUUGGGGAAUCUUACAAAAUUGGAGUGGUUACAGCUGUUCCGGAAUAACUUGACCGGUAACUUUCUUUACAAUAUAUAUACGAGACAUCUUCCGCUUUUUAUUAGAAAUUAUAAGUUCGAGUUAAAUCUUAAUUAAAAGAUUUCAAGUCUCUCAUUAUAAAUUCUCAUAUGAGGAUGUGUCGUUACCACUAUUGAUCUAACAUUAUUCCGUUUUUUAUUAGAAAUUAGUUUGUGUUAAUUCAAAAUUCUGUAGCAUUUAAAAAAAUUAAAAACACGUGGAAUAAAUUGUUAAUCUUUCUUCUUUACUGAAUUUGGAUUUCUCAAAAAUAAUUUUGACAAGUAUGCUUCACUAAUGAUACGCAUGUGUGACAACUUCAUAAAAUAUUUUACAGGGAAUCACUAAUUAUGUUUAAAUAAUUAGAGAUGCCAGCAGUGAUACAUAAUUUCUUAACAAGCACCAUACCAAAAGAAAACAACAAUUUUAUUAAUCUUAAAGAGUUACAUCUUCAUUGCAAUUAUAACAUAAAUUUUUAGUCAUCAAUCGCAUAAUAUUUUAUCUCAACGGAUGAUGUUCAGUCUUGGAAUUUAUAAUAUCUUGAAGGGUAGUAGCUUUGAAAAUAAGAAAUUGUUCAUUUGCUAAAAAGUUAACUUAGUAUUUAAGUUUUCCAAUAAAAAGCGUUGAGAACUGGCGCUCCAUAGUAUUUCAGCAGAUAAAUAUGAAAAAUAUGUUAGAAUAAAUUAUUUUACUGAAAUAAGAGUUAAAAAGAGGGAAGUACAAUACUCAUGACUUAGGCUUGUUGUGUGUGCUUAUUCUACUUGGGCUUUGGGCUUGAUUACCCCCGUUAUAAUAAUAGGCUUUUACUUUCACCACACAUGAUGAUUUCUUAACCUUCCCAAUUAGGUUAUAGCAAUUUAUAUAUAAAUAAUAAAGCAUACUAAAGCUAGCAUUGAUGUAUGGAUGAGUGGUGUAAAAAGUGUAUAUGUUUUCAUGUAUUAUUUAUUCACUAAAACAUAUCUGAACAGGGGUGGAUCUAGGAAUUUGUAUUACCCCGGGCUAAAUUAAAAAAUUUAUAUUUUAAAGUGAACAUAAAAAUUUAUAAGUAGAAAAAACUGCAUCAAAUAAGGGGGGCACGAAAAAUCUUAUCGCUAUAAGUUAUAAACAAAAAUAGUUAUAUAAAAAGAGUAGAAAACAAAAGCAAUUAAAAAAAUAAAACACUAUUUUACAAUUAUGAAAUCUGACUCUAAUAAAAUGUGAUUAUACAAGGAUUAUAUAAGGUUUAAUAUAUUAAUUAAGGAUUUUAAGCUGAAAAAAAUGAAUACAUGUAAUUACAAUCAAUUAAAAAUUGAAGUAAAACUUUAAUGUUUGAAGUCAAGUACUUAAUUACCAGGUUUCAAUAAAUUAAACAAUUCAAAUUUAUUCCUCUUUUUAAAUUAUAAAAAUAUUAUUAGUCAAAAGUUUCAAUUAUAAACUAAAUUCAACCUAACAAAAAUGUAUUUGGGUGUUGUUGUUUCUUUGCCAAACGCUCUAACUCUCUUUAAAGAACCAGUUGUUGAUGAUUUUUCUAUCAAAUUAAAGCUCCUCAAAAUAUUCAAAUUUUAUCUUAGUUAAUAUAACUAAUAAAUAAAAUCUCAAAAUUUACAUAAAAAGUUUAUGAAAAUGUUGAUAAUUGUUACUACAUGUUUUUUUUAAGUUGUUUAAUACUAGUGACAAUUUUAUAUUAGAUUGACAUACUUUUUUUCAAUUAGAAUUUUUUUAAAAUAAAUUAAAGUAAUAACAUUUUACCCCCUAAUGUUUUUUAUCUACAUUGUAAAUAUAUAAUUUACUCAUUUUAUAAAAUAAGUCACUAAUUUCAAUUGGAAAAAAAUAUAAUUGAAUUAAGGACAUAUUUAAAAAUAAAAUAAAAACUCUAUUAUAGUAUAAAAUUAAUGAAAAUAUAAGGAUAAUUAUAUUAGGGACAUGCAUGAAAACAAAAUAAAAUCUCUAUUAUUGUCUAUAAUUGAUAGUAAAAUAAGGGGUAUGAAUGAUUGUUUCCUAAGUUUGACCAGGCUACAGCCCGGUCUAGCCUUGCUGCAGGUCCGCCACUGUAUCUGAAUACAAUUCUUUCAAAAUACGGAUGAAAUAGCACAUGAAAUCGGAAAUAUUUUAUUGCGAUGAGAAUUCGUAUAUUCAUUGUAGUAGACUAUAAAUUUAUUAUUCUUUGAAACAAAUCUGAUUAUAAUUCCUUCAAAAUUAAGUUUGUCAUUAAAUGAUUUCUCAGGAGCCCUACCAAAAGAAAUCGGGAACUUGACCAAACUCAAGAAAUUAUCUCUUGGCGGUAACAGACUCCAAGGUGCGCAUGAUCACGAAGUUUAAUUAUGAAAAUUGUUGCAUAAGUUGCAGUUUGAAUAAUGUUCCAUAAUACACUUUACACACGUUGAUUAAUUUGCAGGCGAAAUUCCUCGAGAGUUUGGCAAUCUUGCCAAAUUGGAGGUGAUGUUGUUAUGGGAAAACAAUCUCCGAGGUAUGAUUAUAAACUUUUUGCGUUUUUUAUUAGAAAUUAAUUUGUGUUAAUUCAAAAUUCUGUAGCAUCUAAAAAAAUUAAAAACACAUGGAAUAAAUCGUCAAUCUUCUAAUUUGGAUUUCUCAAAAAUUAUAUUGACAAGUAUGCUUCACUAAUGAUAUACAUGUGUGACAACUUCAUAAAAUAUUUUACAUGGAAUCACCAAUUACCUUUAAAUAAUUGGAGAUGCCAUCAGUGAUACAUAAUUUCUUAAUAAGCAUCUUAUCAAAAGAAAUCAACAAUUUUAUUAAUCUUAAAAAGUUACAUCUUUACUGUAAUUAUGAAAUAAAUUUUUAGUCAUCAAUCACAUAAUAUUUUAUCUUAACGGAUGAUGUUCAGUCUAAGAAUUUAUAAUACCUUGAAGGUUAGUAGCUUUGAAAAUAAGAAAUUGUUCAUUUGCUAAAAAGUUAACUUAGUAUUUAAGUUUUUCAAUUGAAAAUUUUGAAAAAAGUCUUGAGAACUAGCCCUCCUUAGUAUUUCAGCGGAUAAAUAUGAAAAAUAGGCUUGAAGAAAUUAUUGUUGUGUGUGCUUAUUCUACUUGGGCUUUGGGCUUGAUUACACGGUCGAGCACUUACACCUGUCAUAAUAAUAGGCUUUUACUUUCACCACACGUUUGAUAAUUUCUUAACCUUCCGAAUUAAAUCUGAUUAUAAUUCUUUUAAAAUACAAAUUAAAUAGCACGUGAAAUCGGAAAAUAUUUUACAGCGAUAAGAAUUCAUAUAUUCAUUGUACCAGCACAUAUAAAAUAGACUAUAAAUUUAGUUCCAAAAUACAUUCUUAUCUUCAUAUAAAUUUUACAUUAUUAAUUUAAAUUAAUAUUAAAAUAUGUUGUUUCUUUCACUAUGUUAUUUUAUUUACACAGUUUACACACGUUGAUUAAUUUGCAGGAGAAAUUCCUCUAGAGUUUGGCAAUCUUGCCGACUUGGAGUGGAUGUCGUUGGCAGGCAACAAUCUCCAAGGCAUGAUUUUAAACUUUUUGCAAUUUUAUUUUAGCUAUGCUUGCUUCUGUAUUAAUUCGUUUGUUUAUUAAUUAUGCAAUGAUUUAUUGCUUUUCUUUCAGAUAGAGACAAAGCUCCAUGUCUCCCCUCACUCAUUUCAUUCUUUAAUUUAUGCAGAUAAAAAUAAAAAUAAAAUCUUUUGUAAUUUUCUUUUGUCAUAUUGCCACAUCCGUUUUGAAGCUCCCAAUUAAGUCGAUGAAUUAGAAUGAUGCUUCACUCUUAUUCUUGUCAGCCCAAUUCUUAUAUAAUUGAAGAGUAAAUUGUUAUUAUGAUAUUUGUCAGCCAAUAAAUUCUUUUUUUCCCCCCAAAUAUGAGUGAUCAAAUUGUUUGCGCAUAUAUAAAUGUACUUAAUUUGCAGGACGUAUUCCACGGGAAUUGGGGAAUCUUACAAAAUUGGAGAUAUUACAGCUGUUCACGAAUAACUUAUCCGGUAACUUUCUUUAUGAUAUAUAUAUAUAUGAGACAUCUUCCGCUUCUUAAUUAAUAGAUUUCAAGUCUCUCAUUAUAAAUUCUCAUAUGAGGAUGUGUCGUUACCUCUAUCUAACAUUAUUCUGUUUUUUAUUAGAAAUUAGUUUGUGUUAAUUCAAAAUUCUGUAGCAUUUAAAAAAAAUUAAAAACACGUGGAAUAAAUUGUUAAUCUUUCUUCUUUACUGAAUUUGGAUUUCUCAAAAAUAAUCUUGACAAGUAUGCUUCACUAAUGAUAUGCAUGUGUGACAACUUCGUAAAAUAUUUUACAUGGAAUCACUAAUUAUCUCUAAAGAUGCCAUCAGUGAUAAUAUUUUAUCUUAACCGACGAUGAUGUUCAGUCUUGGAAUUUAUAAUAUCUUGAAGGUUAGUAGCUUAGAAAAUAAGAAAUUGUUCAUUUGCUAAAAAGUUAACUUAGUAUUUAAGUUUUCCAAUUGAAAAUUUUGAAAAAAGCGUUGAGAACUGGCGCUCCAUAGUAUUUCAGCGGAUAAAUAUGAAAAUUUAUCCAAUUGUUCAUUUGCUAUAAAUUCAUUAUUCUUUGAAGCAAAUCUGAUUAUAAUUCCUUCAAAAUUAAGUUUGUCAUUAAAUGAUUUCUCAGGAGCCAUACCAAAAGAAAUCGGGAAUUUGACCAAACUCAAGGAAUUAUCUCUUGACCUUAACAGACUCCAAGGUGCGCAUGAUCACAGAGUUUAAUUAUGAAAAUUGUUGCAUAAGUUAUAUGGAUAUCCUUGAUAACCGCAGCAAGCAAACAAAAUCAAAUAAAAGCUAACUGAGACUCGAAUAUCCUAAACCCUGAAAAGGAAUGGUAAUGGUAUAAUAUGGAUUCUGUAGGCAUAUUUCACUGGACUCAACAUUUAUGGUUAAUUUACAACUCUUUGUUGUAGAGUCUGAGAAAUUGCUUUAUAUUAGGGGUGGGGAAAAUAAUGCUGGGCCACGAAUUUCAGGCAGAAUCCAGAUUGGGCCCAAUUAGACUUAUAGCUCAGCUCUGUGUCGAUAUCUGGGCCUUUACAAAUAACUAAUGGGCCAAUUAAUAAUAAUAAAUAAAUUACACACGGUCGAACACUUACACAGUUCCCUAGACACAUGCUUUCACUUUCACCACACAUUUGAUAAUUUCUUAGCCUUCCCAAUUAGUUUAUAGCAAUUUAUAUAUAAAUAACUAAAGCAUACUAAAGCUACCAUUGACGUACGGAUGAGUGGUGUCAAAAGUGUAUCUUGUUUUAUUUAUUAUUGUCCUAUGAUACAAAUCUGAAUAAUGGAAUAUAAUGCUUUGAAAAUACCGAUGAAAUAGCACAUGAAAUCGGAAAAUAUUUUACUGCAAUAAGAAUUCAUAUAUUCAUUGUAGUAGCACAUAUAAAAUAGACUAUAAAUUUAAUUUUAAAAUACAUUCUUAUCUUCAUAUAAAUUUUACAUUACUGAUUUAAAUUAACAUUAAAAUAUGUUGUUUCUUUCACUAUGUUAUUUUAUUUACACAAUGAUGUGACUAUUGGAAUUAAUAAUACUUAUAAUUAUUUUGUAAAAUUUAAUACUUUGUUAACAUUUUAUCUACAUAUAAUAAUUAAACUGAAACUUGUAUUUAAAAAAUUCUAGUUACGCAUAUUCAUUUCAUGACAUAAAAGUGUAUAUUUAUGCUAAUUUACCAGUAUCAACAAAAUUCUUUUGAGACAAAUAAUCUAAUUUAUAUUUGUAUAUUUAAAAUACUUGCAUUUAUUAUAUUUUGAAAAAAACUUUAUUUGCAAUUAUUUUAAACUGUUGGAUUCAAAUUUUCGUAGUUAUUAAAGUCAAAUGGUACAAAUGUAGAAUAGUCAAAAACAGAUUUGUAUAAUCAUUUUUCGAUGUAUAAAUUUCUUAGUUAGUAGGAAAAUUAGAAAUAGUUGAUUUACUCAUAAAUAAAUUUAAUGUCAAUUUUGGAAAACUUGAACUAAAUGUUGAUAACUUCGAAUCGGUCGAGCUGAGUUUCUCUUCCUUGACCCACGGACCCAUUGAAAGUUCUAUUCGAAUUGAGUUUCCCGGUGCUUAUAAAAAGCAUUUCUUUUCCUUGUUGCAGUAAUUUAUUCACAAAUGAGUUUAUUAGCAUCGAAGUUACCGGAGAGUCUGAGACCAUGCUAGUAGGAGAAAUUUGAAAAGAAAUUAUUUUACUGAAUUAAUUUAUUUUAUCUUCUUGUAACUGAAAUACUACUUUUUUUUUUUGGGCUAUCACUGGGGCUUGAUUUACUUUAAUAGUAGCAGCCACCGACUUAGGCAUUUUUUACUUCUCACCACACAAUUUGAUCUUUUAAUUCGUUUUAACCACAUAAUCUAUCUAUCUCUCACCUAUUGCUUACUUAAAUCUCAUGCAUAUUUUACCUACUAAUUUUUAUAAAUAUUAGUCAAAUAUAUUUUAUUACGUUUCUCUUGUAACUGCUCCAAAUGUGUACUAUUAACACUUAACCCUCCCUUUUAAUUUACCGUGCAAUCUAUCUAUCACUUAAGUCAGAUAUAUAUUUUACCUAUAUUUUACCCCAAAAAAUAUAAAAAUAAAAGAAAAAUAAUAUGUGUACCAAUUUGCAUAUAACUAACAAAGCAUUGACGGCGUGUAGCCUUUCAAUACUUCACGAGUGGCUUUUCUUGUGUGUUAGUACUUGUAAUAAUUGUGUAGCGUAUAAAUGACAUUUUAUUAUUAAAGUGCGUCCAUUUUUAUAUAUUACUUAUUAUUUGAAAAAUAAUCUGAAUAUAAUUCUUUUAAAAUAUAGGGGAGAUACCACUUGAAAUUGGUAAUCUCCAAAAUCUGGAGGAGUUGGACCUUCGUCAAAACAAAUUAAUUGGUACUGUCCCAGUUGCAAUCUUUAAUGUGUCAACACUCAAAUUACUUGGGCUUCAAGAUAAUUCUCUCUCUGGAAGUCUUUCGUCCAUCACAGACGUCCGACUACCAAAUCUUGAAGAGCUUGUUUUGUGGGGUAAUAAUUUCAGUGGUAGAAUUCCUCGUUUCAUCUUUAAUGCUUCUAAGCUCUCUAUACUAGAAUUGGAAGAGAACUCAUUCUCCGGUUUUAUUACCAACACAUUUGGCAACUUAAGAAACCUUGAGCGGCUUAAUUUACAAGAUAAUUAUUUGACAUCUUCAACUCCAGAAUUGAACUUUCUAUCCUCGUUGUCAAAUUGCAAGUCUUUAACAGUUAUUGGCUUAUCAAAUAAUCCACUAGAUGGCAUUCUUCCCAAGACGUCUAUCGGAAAUCUUUCUCAUUCUUUGGAAGAUUUUCAAAUGCACAAUUGUAACGUUACUGGUGACAUCCCUGAAGAGAUCGGCAACUUGACCAACUUGAUAACCAUUGAUUUAGGAGGCAAUAAAUUGAAUGGAUCGAUUCUGAUUACUCUUAGCAAAUUACAAAAGCUUCAAGGUUUGGUUCUUGAUGAUAACAAAUUAGAAGGAUCAAUCCCA
rnacentral:lncRNA from 1 species